GAUGAAGAAUGUCCAUCGAGACGAGAAUUCACCGGUUGAAAUAAUUGGCGAAGGACUGAAGAGGCUCCGCAGGAGUGAAAUUAAUUCUCGAAAGAGACUCAGACUCCGGGAAGGAAAAGGGUUGGGAGGGCGGGAAAAACUAAGGCACCUGGAAGGGAGAAUCGAUGAAUAACUUGAAGAGAAAACACAGGUUGAAAUCAUUAAGGAAAGAAAGCAAAGACUUCGCACGAGUAGGAUGGAUACUCGAUUACGGAGUCCGGCUUCAAGAAGAAAAGGGAGGGCGGGUGGGAAAAUAAAACAACUAAGGAUUGAACUUGGCAACGAUGAAGAGGCUCGAGUCGACUUGACGAGAAAUGCACCGGAUGAAAAGAGCUGAGAACCAACGAUCGGAAAACCAACUGCGUGAUCCUAAAGAAAGUUUGAAAGGGAAGAGAAGUAAUUCAAAACACCUACGUCAAGAUUUCUUACUAGAGCGACAAAGAGGCUGAGGAGUAAAAAGAAUUCCUACUCUCCGAUAUAACUAGACUCCGAAAACAGUUUUCUUCUAGACUCAACAACGGCCAAACUACACGAUCAAUCGAGGGGGCUCCUAAGGUCGGUCGAGGCUCUGAUACCAACUUGUCACGCUCAAUAUGUGACCCUAUCCAAAAGGAACUCGAAGGUCCCACCAAGGAUAGACCCGCAUAUUGAAACGCUUUUGCAAGGUGGAUAUCAUUACAUCAACAUUACAUAAUAGAUGGGCAUACAUACAAGAGGCAUACAAUGCCACACGAAUACAACAUCACCAUACAUUAGAGCAUCAUCCGACUACGGAUGAAACACAAAUAGAAAACCCAACAACAUCCACCCUGCUAGCCCAGGCUGCCGACCUGGAACUUAUCCCCUGAUCGAAGAAGAAGCAGAAGAAGAACUCCAAAACAAGCAAACAUCGCUCUCGCGUCAUGAUCAUCGCAUAACAUGUACCUGCAACUGUUGUUGUAGUAAUCUGUGAGCCACGAGGACUCAGCAAUCCCAUUACCAUGGGUAUCAAGACUAUGAAAGCUUAAUGGGAAAGGAAGGGGUAAAGUGGUGAGGCUGCAGCAGCGACUAAGCAUAUACGGUGGCUAACAUACGCGAAUAAGAGCGAGAAGAGAGUAAAGGAACGGUCGUGAAGCUAGCAAUGAUCAAGAAGUGAUCCUGAACUCCUACUUACGUCAAACAUAACCCAAAAACCGUGUUCACUUCCCGGACUCCGCCGAAAAGAGACCAUCACGGCUACACACGCGGUUGAUGCGUUUUAAUUCGUAUCUGGUGUCAAGUUAUCUACAACUGGACAUUAACAAAUUCCCAUCUGCCUAUAACCGCAGGCACGGCUUUCAAAAGAUUAUACCCUACAGGGGUGUCCCAACUUAGCCCAUGAUAAGCUCUCGCGAUCAAUGAAGGAUAUACCUUCUCCCAGGAAGACCCGCUCAGACUCGGAAUCCCGGUUUACAAGACAUUUCGACAAUGGUAAAACAAGACCAGCAAGACUGCCCGAUGCGCCGACAAUCCCGAUAGGAGCUGCGCAUAUCUCGUUCUCAGGGCAACACCGGAUGAGACAGGCUACGAGUAAAACCAGACUUCGAGUUUCCCCGAGGUGGCCCCGCAGGCGGCUCGAUUCGGACCAACACUUAGACAAGCACUGGCCCGGGGGGGCUAAAAUAAAGAUGACCCUUGGGUUAAUUACUCCCAAGGGAAAUAUAGGCGGUGGUGAGGCAAAUGGUAAAACCAAUGUUGGCCCUUGCUAGAGGAGUUUUAUUCAAAGCGAACUGUCAAGGGGGUCCCAUAAAUCACCCAACCGCGUAAGGAACGCAAAAUCCGGGAACAUACAACCAGUAUGACGAAACCUAGGGUGGCAAGAGUGGAACAAAACACCAGGCAUAAGGUCGAGUCUUCCACCCUUUACCAAGUAUAUAGAUGCAUUAAUAAUUAUAAGAUAUAUUGUGAUAUCCCAACAUAAUCCUGCCACCAUGGGGAAAUCUUCAACUUCACCUGCAACUAGCAACGCUAUAAGAGGGCUGAGCAAAGCGGUAACAUAGCAAAGUAAUGGUUUGCUAGGAAGGGUGUCAAAGGCUAGAGGUUCAUGGCAAUUUGGGAGGCUUGAUGAGCAACAGAUAGGUAACGCAACAUAGCGAUAGAAUGAAGCAACUAGCAUAGCAAUGAUAGUAGUGAGAUCCAGGGUAGCGGUCAUCUUGCCUGAAAUCCCGCAAGGAAGAAGAACGAGUCCAUGAAGAAGAUGAAGCCACGAAGACGAACCAAGCGUAGACGAACGAAUCCUCACGAUCGCAACGAAGCGGGAACUAUCGAGAAGAAGCACACAACAUGGUAAACACACCACACAUAAAAAUGACAUGAUGCACAAACAAGUAUGAUGCAAGACAAGACUACAUGAAGCUACUCAUGGCAAGGGAUGAUGCAAAACAAAACAACACAUCAAGGCAAGUUUAAAUGAGGCCGGGAACAACAUAUAACAAUUCCGGUAAGUCCUCAUAUGCAAAUUUCGAAAUUGGUCCAGAUCUGAACAAACAUUAUGUUCAAGUUGUUAAACAGCAAGUUAAGAUGCACCAAGAUGAUCUACACGAGAUUCUAGUCAAGUUACAUAUAAACUUCAUUUAGUUCGGAGCUACGGCCUAGAAGAUAUGAGCAAAACAAGUUAAACACGACAUUGAUGCAAAAUGCAUACAAACAUCAAGCAAACACCUCAAAACAUGGAUGCAACAUGAUAAUAUGAAACUACGUGCAAAAUCAAGCAAGUUUCAUAUAGAGCACACUCAAAACGGAGCAACGGUUCAACACACACACAUGAAACAAGUUAUAGCAACAAUCUGUCCAAAACAGCAACUAGGCAUAUUGCAAGCAUCAAAACAACAUGCUACAGCAGCUCAACAAGAUAACAAAAGGCAUGGAUAUGAUUUACAGGUAAAGCAUAACAAAACAUGAACACUGAGCUAUCUCCAUAAAUCACUAGAACAUGCUCAAACACACAUGGCAAGAUUGCAAAUAAUAUCAGUUUCAGACUUUGCAGAAUUAACAUCAUGUUGCAAUGUUUAGAGCUAUCAAACAACAUGUUACAAGAACGUAUCAUGGCAAACAAACGCAUGGCAUGAAUCUACUAAAUGCAUAGAACAAAAGUCCCUUACUGACCAUAGGCCAAAAAGGAUCAGAAAAUAUGAUGGCACCCAUGUAAACAUGGCAAGUUAUAAUACAGAUUCAUACAUGGCAGGAACAACAAUAAGUAGGCAUGUUGGUGAGCUUGUACCACUCACCACAGAGCAAUAAAAGGCAUGGCAAGGCAACCAACAGUAAGAAGACAUGUUUUUGAAGCUAAGCAUGGCAAGAGCAAGUUCAUAGGGUACGUGGAUCACUAAAAACAAUCAUGGCAACAACUGAACUUAAUGUUAACAGGCUGACAACAACAUUAUUUAGCAACUUUGGAGCAAGAUUACAACAAGCUACAGCAGGACAUAAUUGCAACCAGGGCAUGGAUGGAUAUAGCAUAACAUGUAGAACAAAACACCCUUAGUGAACAUCUCCAAAUUAUGCAUAGAAUGAUUUGUAGCAGCAGGUUUACAUAGCAUCACGAAAUAACAGAUUCAGCCUAGCAAAACAGUAACAGCAAGUACACUACUUAACAAGCUUGAUUCACUCACCACAAGUCAUUGCAUGACAAGAUAAGCAUAGCAUCAGCAAGAAGACAUGUUUAUGAAACAAACCAAGGCAAGAACAAGUUCAUAGCAUGCAAGGAUCAACUACAACAACCUUGGCAAAAUUGAAUAACAUGUAAACAAUCUGCCAGGAAACAUUUUGUAGCAAAAGUAGAGCACGAAAAUGACAUGGUAGACUACUCCAUAAUUGCAACCAGGGUAAUGGAUGGAUAGAGAAAAACCAUAUGUUCAAAACAUCCUUAAUGAAGUAUCUCAAAAUAUGCAUGGAUCUCCCUGUAGCAACAUGUUUACACGGCAUCAAAAUAACAGCAGAACAGGGACUAAAAUCAGCAACAUCAUGAAGCCUAGUUUGCAUACUUGUGCUAGUCACCACAUUGAUCACAAGAAUACAUGGUAAGCACCUCUGUAAACAUGGCAUGGCAUAGAUCAAAACACAUGUAGACAUCAACCUCAUAGGAAGCACACAUCAAUCAUGGCAAAAAUGACAAAUGAGCAUGUUAUAACAGUUUCAGCAGAUUAACAUCACAUAGCACUCUUGCAACGAUGAUUUAGGCAUCAAGAUGAGCUCAAAUGAACAUGAUGCAAUGGAAUGAAAUGAAGUACUCGUUGAGGCGAACAAUUUGAUAUAUUAUACGCACAAAACGGAGCAGUAUGCAUGGAGAUAUGAUGCGAUGAACAUGGCAUGGUAAUGUCAAAAUAUUUCGGGACUUAGUCAUUUUUCAGGAAAAAAACAGAGUGAGCGCGGAUUAGCUAAAAGUCGCACGGGCAGGGUUUACUGGGCUCUAACCAUUGGGCCAAGCCCAGGAAGUGGAGAGGAAGCAGCGGGCCUGCUGGAGCUGGGCUGGGCCUUGGGGAGGCCAGCCCAUGAGGGAAAGGGGCUGGUCAAUGGACGCUCGUCCUCCUCCUGCUUGAACAGGGAGGAGGAGGCGGCCAUGGCAGAGGACGCGGCGGCGCCGGAGCGCAGGGAGGCCGGGAGGGGACCUGGGUAGGGAAAACGGGCGGAUCCGGUCGGCCGGCGCCGGAUCCGGGUAACGGCGACGGUGGGCGGAGCUCCGGGAGGCACGGGUCCACACCCUUGGCGACCUGUGAGGCAGAGAGAGAGACGGAGGGAGAGGUUAGAGAGAGUUCGGGAGAAGGAAAGAGGGUGCGGGGUCACCGGGUACUCAUCUCCGGCGAUGGCGGCGGCAGAUGGCUUCGGCCAGAGGGCGGCGGCGAGCGCUCCCGAUCCCAUCGGGAUCGAGUGGGAGGGCGCGAGAGGUGGGAGGAGCGGGGCGGCUCGAUCGACUGCAGGGCGGCGUCGGGCCCGAUUCGGCCCACGGCGGGCCGCACACGGGCUUCGGCGGGCCCGAGCGGGGCGAGGAGGCUGAAGGGGGACGUGGCGCGACGAGGAUGGUGGAGAGCGCCUGGCCGGCGGCGGUUGUCCAGUUGGGUGGCGCCAAGUGGCGGGACGGUGGUGGAUGGCGCCGAAAAACGAGGGGGAGGCGGUUGCAUAUCACUGGCGGCGCGGAUUUCGAUGUGGCGGUGGCGGCUGAUCCGAGGGGAAGGCUAGAGGUAGGUGGAGGGGCUAGGGAUGCCAAAUUUGGAAGGGGGUGUCCAUAUAUAGGCAGGGAUGGCUAGGGUUUGGGUUUAGGGGGUUUUAGGAGCGUUUCGAAGCCUCCGAUCGCGAUCCGACGAUCAGGAAUGGAGGGGGGGUUUAGGUGGGCUGCAGGUGGGCUGAGAAGAGGGGUUGGGCUGAGAGAAGAGAAGAGAAAGAGAGGCCCGCCGGUAGUUUCGGAGGCCGAAACGUCCGACGGAGGUAUCGGCAACGGUACCGCUAUACAUUUAACGGUUGGGCUACCAGAUGGACUCCGAAUGCGACGAAAUUUGGCAGGCGGCCUGUCUACACUAUAAUAAGACCGCACACCAAGUUCCAACCCAUUCCGAGAACAUUUUUAUGCCGCUUUUAAAAUAAUAUUUCGGAGGUGCCGCGGGCGCGUGCGAGAGUGUUUGGCUCAGAACGGACAACGGAGAGAACCGGCGGAACCCGAACGGAUGCAAGUUUUGAAAAACAUGCAUAUGAAAUGCAGAUGAUGACAUGGCAAAAUGCAACAUGCAAGCAAAUGACAUGACAAUGACGGCGAAUAACUGGCAGACACCUGGCGUAUCGAAUCCGGGGCGUUACACUAGGAUUCAAAUACGAUCAUGUAGCCCCCAGUGGCUUUGGCGUUGCCGAUCAAGAGGGUACCGAUAGCUAUGAUCUAUUUGGUUCGAAUACGACCUAUGUUUGAACAGGAAGCCCCCAUAUGACCUUGAGAGUUGUUUAACGACGCUGAUUCGAAUACGAUCCACGUCGGACCCAAAAGGGGUUGAGCUAUGUUUCGAAUACGAUCAAGAAGCCCCCUAGUGAGUUUGGCAGUGUGCCGACCAAAAGGGUAUCAAUAGCUAUGUUCUCUUUGGUUCGAAUACGACCUAUAUUUGAACAGGAAGCCCCCAAGUGACUAUAAUAAGAUAAGCCAUAAGGCAGGACACCCAUGUUUGAACCGCACAUCAUGGCAACAAGUUCUCUUUUGGCAACCCUUAAUUUGUUUGAGAACUCGAACUUGCGAGAGAUUAAUUCUUUUUGAACCGGAACUUUGAACCGGAUUUGAGAGCUUCAAAGCUUUGUAAGAGACAAAUUUACCUUGAACCAGAUAUUGAACCGGAUUUCAGAGCUUCAAAGCUUUGCGGGAGAAAGAUGUCUCUUGAGCCGGAUUUUAAACCAGAAUCUUUAAUUUGAACCGGCAAUUUUCUGACGGCCUUUAAAUUUUCAUCAAUAUGGCGGUGGCCUCCGGAACUGGGUUAUCCUUCCCUCCAAUGACCCGGAGUUCCCGAGUCAUGUCAUUGUAGCCCCCGAGUCUCAAGACGACUCGAAGAGUUGGCUUGAGAUUCUUCAUUUUUAACCAUGAUAUAAAUCAGCAUGAGUUAUCCAAUAACUUAGUGAUAUAAUAAUCCCUUUUUGCAGUGGACAAUUUGUCCUGCAUUGGAAGACUUGCAAGCCAGAGUAAUUGCUCUUUUAAAGAAAGCAAUAUAUAAUAUAAAAAUAUACUGGAUGGAUUUCACCUGAUAUGUUAAGCCAGAAAUCAUCCACCGCGGAGUUGAUGAUCACUAUGGUGAAGUUAAAAACCAAUCACGAGCGAGUCGGCCACGGAUGUAGACAGAUGAGUCGACCGAGGCAUUGUAAACCGGUGCGAACGAGCAAGUUGUCCUGCAUGUUGUAAGCGGGUGCGGACACGUGAACCGGCCGCAAGGGCGGAUGGCCGAGUCGUCCGUGGCGUUGUAAGGCGGCGCGGAUGGGCAAGUCGGCCACGGCGUUGUAAGCCGGUGCGGGAGUCCGUUGAGUAAGGACGACCACCUGUGCCGAAUGAUGUCGGCACGCCUCCAUCUCCGCAGUAUAAUGCCACUUUAUAUAAAACAUAGCAGGGCAAAGUAUUUUUGCUCGGAUGAAUUAAUAUGUGCUUAAAAAUAAAUAGGGCAAACAACACUUGGUAUUUUUCGGAUGUUGUUAGCAGCUCAUCUGAACAUCUCCAGCAGCUACCCUUCCCUGAUAAUAGCCAUACACGUGACCAUACCAUCAAGUACUGCCAACGCAUAUGGCACAGUAAGCCAUGCGGAUGGGCGAGUCAACCGCGUCGUGUUGAUGUAGCGGGUGCGGCGACCUGUGCACAUACUUGUCGAGAAGUACGGCAUGGAUAAACGCUAGUGCAAAAAUAAUGCUGGUGCAUGCCCCUUAUGUGACACCUUUGUAAUGAAUAAUAAUCCUGGUAUUUUUGUCAGAUAAAACGAGGAUGCUGGUGUUGAAUAAAUUUUCUAACACCUGGGCGCGGUCGUUCCUGCUAGUCGUCGUUGUGUUGAAAUAUGCUGGACCGCAAACUGUCUUGUAGACGGGCGCAGGAACAGCGUCUGACCAGAACAAGCCUAGCGUCGUCGCAGUGACGCUGGGUAAAUUUUUUUUGAAAGAAUAGUUGAUCUUUCUGAUGAAGUACUUCUUUGUAUAGCUUUAGUAUUUGUAGCAGCAGGCCUCCACGUAACCUGCCCUCCUUCGUCUUUUUCUUGUCUCACAUGAUGACAUGAGGUUUGUACGUGGAUUACUUUGAUUGAAAUACCAUGCAGGUCACUCUUGGCGGAGGCGGAGGCGUUUGAGACUGCAAGGCGGCUCGCCUUGGAGCAACACAGGAGUAGCGCUCGAGGUGGCGCGAGGCUGCGACGGUUCUCCAGUGAAGCGUGGCCGCGAUGGCUCAGCAGAUGUUGUGACAAGAGGAGACACAUCGGGGACCGACGGCUCAGGACGUGUGCGAGGGGCGCCGGCGGCUCGAGGUACGGCAGCGGCGACUUGACACGGAGGCGGUUGAAGCGCGACUGCAGCCGGCGGCUCAAAGUGUGAGGCCGUGAGGGUGGGUCGAUGACUCGAGUAGAAGUGACUGGCAGAUGUAACUCUGGCGAUCGACCGCCCGACGCAGCGGCCGAGGCGGCUUGCAGGCAGAGAAGAGCAGAGGCGGCAACCGGCGGAUCAAACGCAACAGGGCAGCUCGACACGCGAUAAGAGUGGCUAAUGCCGCCACUGCAGUUCUGACACGGAAUCGACGGAGACUUGAGAGGCCGUGGAAGCGGAGACGGCCGACGAUGUGGCGGCUCAGACGCGAGCGCCGCGUAGGCGGUAGUUGACCGAGCGGAGCCUUGCGAAAACUGAGUUCAUAUCCGGGUCGUGGGCUGUCUCCUCCCUUUUUUAUGUGAACUAGCACAUUAGCAAACUCACGUGAGGGAUUUUUGGCGCAUAUGUCUUUGUCCUUCACAUGUAGGAGUAAGCAGUACUAUUAGCUUUUGAUUCUUGCGUAAACAUUGGUGCUUGGUCCUUCACGUGGGGGCGGGGUUGUAGCUUCAGAGAUGUGACAUGGCUACUGUUGCAAGAUGCACUGGAUAGCUUUGAGCGCAUGUGUAUAGAGAUGACCUGUGAUUUGACAGCAGGGCGCAGCGGAAACCUUGUGUCCAGCUCGGCGGACUGCCCGUACAAAAAUCGAUCUCCAUCGCUGCUUAUGCGUCGAAUCGGCAACAAAGAACUUGUCGGUCUCGGCGACUCACAGCGCAUCCCACUAAUCGUUACACAAUCCUAAUUUCCUUUUAAUGGCACGGGCCGAGUUAGAAUCUGGACAAAGUGGGCUUCUUAUCGCUGUCAAUUUGGACGCUGGUCGCCGAUGCCUUGUCGCUGUCCUUUCUUUUCUUUUUUCUUCCGAGUUCCAACGUUGGGAUAGAGCCGAACCAAUCUCGUAUUUGUUGUGACUCUCGCUGAUCGGGACCACUUGGUUUCGCCAGAUUGCUCCUGUGUAUCCGCCCUUGAACUGAUAAUAUGUGAAAGAUGCGUCCGGUGGCGCACAAGUCGAAACCCUAAUUUCUCAUGAGCUCUGAGUUUGCUGGCUCCAAAGUUUAAUCAUGUUCCAGAUCACAAAACAACAAAUUUGUCGGCUCUUCCUCAUUCGGCGAAAUCGCAAACUUCUCGAACCCUAGGAGAGAUCCUUCCAAAAACUCAUCACCACCGUGCGGAGCCCCACGGUGAGCGCCAACUGUCGUGGAUUUGUCACGGCGGAUGUCCUGAGUGUCAGGAAUUAGUCGCGAGGCCAAUGCAUCUAUGUAGUAGCUUGAGAGGGGUUGAUCGGGACGGAAGACACAACACACAAGACAAGGAUUUAGAUAGCUUCGGGCCCCGGGAAACAUCAUCCGGUAAUAACCCUACAUGUUGUUUGUGGCUAGAUCUCAUUAUGCUCAUCAGGGAAACGCCGCAUAAGUCGGCUCCCCUUUAGUUGUGUCUAGCCCUAGAGAUUAUUGUUCUUCUUGACUGUCCCUAUUUGGGGAGCCCUGCCCCUCCUUAUAUAAGUUGGAGAGGCGGCUUACAUGUAGAGUCCUAGUAGGAUUCGAACUAACUUAUUCUCUAUUACAAGUCGGAUACAAGUACGGGUCUUGCUUCCUUGUAAAGGAAAUAUUCCUCAUGCCUUCCGUCUUAAGCCGGCCCACCAUAACGUGAGUCGGCCUUCUGGGCUUUGGGCCUAGUCUUCUAUAUGACCCACCGGGGCCAUCUGUGAGUCUUCAGGCUCGUGAGUCGUCUGAGCAGUGAGCCACCAGACCCGUGAGUAGCCAUUCCUCCUACGGGUCAUCGGUGAAGUGCCAAGUCCGGCCAGGUCAUACUUCCGGCCGGGUCAUACCGCCGGGUAUAUCCCCGACACCGCUGUUGCAACCUCACCACUUUAUCCCUUCCUUUUCCAUUAAGCUUUGCUAGUCUUGAUACCCAUGGUAAUGGGAUUGCUGAGUCCUCGUGUCUCACAGAUUACUACAACAAUAGUUGCAGGUACAGGUUAUGCGAUCAUCAUAACGCUAGAGCGAUGUUUGCUUGUUUUGGAGUUCCUCUUCUGCUUCUUCUUCGAUCAGGGGAUAGGUUCCAGGUCGGCAGCCUGGGCUAGCAGGGUGGAUGUCGUUUUAGUUUCUGUUUGUGUUUCAUCCGUAGUCGGAGGGUUCUCUCUUGUAUGAUGAUGUUGUAUUCGUGUGGCAUUGUAUGCCUUUUGUAUGUAUCCCCAACUUUUAUGUAAUGGUACAAUGUAAUGAUAUCCACCUUGCAAAAGCGUAUUCAAGAUGCGCUUCUAUCCUUUGUGGGACCUUCGAGUUCCUUUAGGAUAGGGUCGCUUCUUGGGCGUGGCAAGUUGGUAUCAGAGCCUCGACCGACCAUUGGAGCCCCCUUGAUUGAUCAUGUAGUUUUGCCGUUGUCGAGUCUUGAAAAAAACUUUUCGGAGUCUAGUUAUAUCGGAGAGUAGGAAUUCCUUUUACUCCUCAGCCCCUUGGUCGCUCUGGUCAAGAAUCUUGACGUAGGUGUUUUGAAUUACUCUUAUUCCCUUUCAAACUUUCUUUAGGAUCAUGCAGUUGGUUUUUUUUCGAUCAUUGUCCAUCAGCUCUUUGCAUCCGGUACAUCUCUCGUCAAGGCAAUUUGACCCUCUUUGUUUUUGCAACUUCAAUCCUUAGUUCGCUCUCAACGAAGUUGUUUCUCUGCCCUCAGUUGUCUUCUUUUCCCACCCGCCCACCCCUUUUCUUCUCAGAGCCAGAGUCCGUAAUCGAGUAUCCAUCCUACUCGUGCGAAGCAUUUGCAUUCUUUCAACCGGUGUUUCCUCUUGAAGUUAUUCAUUGGUUUUCCCCUUCCAAGUUGCCUUUGUUUUCCCGCCCUCCCACCCUCUUCUUCCCAGAGUCUGAGUCUCUUUUGGCCAUCAAUUUCAUUCAUGUGGAGCCUCUNNNNNNNNNNNNNNNNNNNNNNNNNNNNNNNNNNNNNNNNNNNNNNNNNNNNNNNNNNNNNNNNNNNNNNNNNNNNNNNNNNNNNNNNNNNNNNNNNNNNNNNNNNNNNNNNNNNNNNNNNNNNNNNNNNNNNNNNNNNNNNNNNNNNNNNNNNNNNNNNNNNNNNNNNNNNNNNNNNNNNNNNNNNNNNNNNNNNNNNNNNNNNNNNNNNNNNNNNNNNNNNNNNNNNNNNNNNNNNNNNNNNNNNNNNNNNNNNNNNNNNNNNNNNNNNNNNNNNNNNNNNNNNNNNNNNNNNNNNNNNNNNNNNNNNNNACCGGUGAAUUCUCUUUUGUUUGACAUUCUUCAUCUCUUUUCUUCUCCGGUGGAGUCAAUUCAAGUUUUUCGGGUUGAUCAUUUUCUUUUCCAUGGAUCAAGUGUUCUCCUUGCUCGUUUGCCUCUCGCCAUUCAAUCAUUCGGGAGUUCGGAAGACCUCUCAAGAGAUUCGUUUGUGUUCGAAUCAAUUCGAGCUUGUCACCUCAUUCAAAUAUUUCAAUUGUUCCAGUGCAUCAUCUAUUUUUUCAAUGGUGUUUUCUUUUAGUGGGCCCUAACCCACAGGUCUUUUCCCAAGAUCUUACCUAACACUUCUAAUUAUUCCGGAGCCAUUCCUAAUUAUUUUCGAGUGUGACAUAAGAAUGAAUUUCAUCAGUCAGAUGCCAUCUCCAAGAUCGCUUUCAAAUUCUUUUCAUCUUUGGUUCAACCCUUCCUCUUUGUCAUUCUCCCGGAGUAUCUCAGUAAUUCUGGUGGUGUUUCUCGUCAUCAUUUGAAGAUCGAAGAAGAGCUUUUCCUCUAAAUCUUGCCCGUUCUCUCGAAGAUUCGUGGUUCUAGCUUCAUAUUAUCCUCUCAAAUUAUUCCAUUUGUCAGGUUUUCUUUUCUUACCCAUCCGGAGUAUGUCAGGAGUUGUUUUCCAUUUCUUUUCACCGGAGGCCAUCAUUUCAACUACCGUUACCCAAUUAUUAUGGCGCAUCUGUCAAGUAUGCUUUAAUCAGCUUGUUGUCUCUUUGUUCUUUUGCAUCUAAAUCCCCUCAAGCAUAUUUGUUCUUAUAAUUCUUCCCGGUGAUUCAUUCUCUUUCAUCAGUCAUUUUCGAAUUCUUACGCCGGUUCGUUCAAGAUUCUUUUCUUUGAUUAUCAUAUUAAUUCAUUUGUUCUUUCCAAUCCUACCGGUGGUUCAUGAAGACUUUCUCAAGUUUUGUGCUAUACCCCCCUUAAUCCUUUUCAACAAGAAUAAGUAGCAUGCAAAAUCCGUUGCUUGUCAUCAAUUUAAUUUGUUGAGGAUAAGCAUAACAUAAUUCUUAUUAUUAUUUCAUCGUCGUCAAGUAAUCCCUUCCUUCGGAGUUUAUUCUUGAUGAAUAAAUUCUAGUUCCAAGUGUUUUCAUCUUUUCUUUUCCGGAGUUAAAAAUGACUCGGCCAUUUUGUGGGAACCUCCAUCUAAAUCACCGCAAGCUUUAAUCUUAUUCUUUCAUCCUUCAUUCUAUCUCAUCAUCCUUUUGUCACCAGAGUUCUUCAUGGUGGUUCUUCAUGAUUUAAUUCAUUCUUCAAGAGUUCAUCAAGAUUAUUGUUGGAGGAGCACAAAUAUCUUUUCCUCUUGCGUAUCGAAGUGCAAUUAAUUCUUCGUAUUUCUUUUGAAGUGGAGUUUCGCAUUUCUUCGUUCUUCUCAGCUAUUCAGACAUUGGUUGUGGUAUAAUUUCACUUCAAGUUUUGAGUUGUUUUGAUAAGUCCACAACAAACUUAUUAUUUCGUUGUUGAUUUUCUCAACAACUCCGUUCAAUCCUUCCUUCUAAGUUCUUUUCAUUCAAUUCUUUCAAUUCUUCCGGAGGAAUUGCUUUGUUCAUCUCGUCAAGUGCCAUCUCAUUGGGUAAAGUUCAUGUUCUACUCCUUCCAUUUUCAGUCGGAGUGUUGCCGAAAUUCUUUUAUUCAUUCCUUUUCUACCUUGUUCUAACCGGAGUGGUUUCAGAGUCUAUCAUAUUCGUUGAGUUUUUUAUUAUUGUCAUAUUCGCCUUUCCUCUUUUCUACUCGAGUUUUCUCGACUUUGUUCAUUUCCCCUCUUGCGUUCUUACUUCACCUCUUCCUCUUUCUCUUCUGUCUCGUUCCUAAGAUCUUGGGACGAGAUCUCUUGUUAGUGGAGGAGAGUUGUAACGCCCUGGAUCCGAUGCGCUAGGUGUCUUCCAGCUAUUCGCCGUCGUUGACAUGUCAUUGCUUGUGUAUUGCACUUUGCCAUGUCAUCAUUUGCAUUUCAUCUGCAUGUUUUUUCAAAACUUGCGUCCGUUCAGGUUUCCCUAGUUCCCUUCGUUAUCCGUUCUGAGCAUAGACACACUCGCACGCGCCCGUCGCACCUCUCAGACCUUGUUUCUAAACGGGAUAAAAAUCAUUCUCGGAAUGGGCCGCGAUUUGCCCAGUGUCCUUGGUAUAUCACCGGUAGACCGCCCGUCAAAUUUCGUUCCAUUUGGAGGUCGUUUAUGCCCCAACGGUUAACGGCGUAGCCCGAAUCCCCCUUCUCUUUGCAGCUCAGCCCCUCUUCACCACAGCCCAUGAGCCCAUCCAAACCCCCUCCAUGCUCUCGGUCGUUCGAUCACGAUUGUGUGGGCGAAAACCGCUCCUCAUUUGGAGUCUCCUAGCUUCCUGUACCUAUAAAUAUNNNNNNNNNNNNNNNNNNNNNNNNNNNNNNNNNNNNNNNNNNNNNNNNNNNNNNNNNNNNNNNNNNNNNNNNNNNNNNNNNNNNNNNNNNNNNNNNNNNNNNNNNNNNNNNNNNNNNNNNNNNNNNNNNNNNNNNNNNNNNNNNNNNNNNNNNNNNNNNNNNNNNNNNNNNNNNNNNNNNNNNNNNNNNNNNNNNNNNNNNNNNNNNNNNNNNNNNNNNNNNNNNNNNNNNNNNNNNNNNNNNNNNNNNNNNNNNNNNNNNNNNNNNNNNNNNNNNNNNNNNNNNNNNNNNNNNNNNNNNNNNNNNNNNNNNNNNNNNNNNNNNNNNNNNNNNNNNNNNNNNNNNNNNNNNNNNNNNNNNNNNNNNNNNNNNNNNNNNNNNNNNNNNNNNNNNNNNNNNNNNNNNNNNNNNNNNNNNNNNNNNNNNNNNNNNNNNNNNNNNNNNNNNNNNNNNNNNNNNNNNNNNNNNNNNNNNNNNNNNNNNNNNNNNNNNNNNNNNNNNNNNNNNNNNNNNNNNNNNNNNNNNNNNNNNNNNNNNNNNNNNNNNNNNNNNNNNNNNNNNNNNNNNNNNNNNNNNNNNNNNNNNNNNNNNNNNNNNNNNNNNNNNNNNNNNNNNNNNNNNNNNNNNNNNNNNNNNNNNNNNNNNNNNNNNNNNNNNNNNNNNNNNCGCCGCCACGCCGCCACUACCCCCGCGUCCUCGUCGACGCCGGCCGGCCCCUCGCCGGAGCGCGAGCCGCUGGCCCCGGCGCCCCGCUCCUCCCCGUCGACACCGCCACCGGAUCCGGCCAGAUCCGGCCCGGAGCACCCUUCCUCGUCCUCCUCUGGUCAUCUCCCUCGUCGCCGUCAGCUUCUCCAGCGAACCUCGGGAUGUGUGCCCGGAACCCUAGAGCCGGAGUGGUAAAUUUCGUCUAAGUCCCGAAUCUGUUACUGUAUGUGUACUACUUUGUCAUGCCAUAACUUCAUGCAUAUAUAUCCAUUUUGUGCAUACGAUAUACGAAAAUGUUCACUGUGAGAUGCUCUUCAUUUAAUUCCAUUGUGUCAAUGCUUGUUUGAGUUAAUAUUGAUGCCUAAAUAAUCGUUACAAAAGUGCUAUAUGAUGUUAACUGUUGUCUGUUAACAGAAAUUGCUAUUUUGUCUUUUUCAUUGCAUUUUGUGUGUGCAUCCGAUGAGCUUGAUGUCUACAUGAGUUUUGAGCUACAUCAUGCCUUCUUUACAGUGGUUCGCUCCAUGUAUUUUUGUGUCCCUGGUGGUGAGUGCAUCAAGCUCGUGAAGUAGGGUACUUGUUGUUACUGUUUUGCUAGGCUGAAUCUGUUAUACCAUGAUACUAUGUAAACCUGCUGCUCCAAGUCAUUCUAUGCAUAAUCUGGAUAUGUUCAUUAAGGAUAUUUUGUUAUAAAUGUCAUGCUCUAUCCAUCCAUGCCCUUGGUUGCAUUUAUAGCCUGCUGUAGCUUGUCGUAAUCUUGCUCUCAAUUUGCUAAAUAAUGUUGCUGUCAACCUGUUAACAUUAAGUUCAGUUUUGGCCAUGAGUUUUGCUAGUGAUCCAUGAACCCUAUGAAUAUGCUAUUGCCAUGUUUAGCUCCAUAAAUGUGUCUUCUUACUAUUGGUCAACUUGUCAUGCCAUGUGUUUCUCUUUUAUGAGUGGUACAAGCUCACCAACAUGUCUACUUAUCGUUGUUCCUGCCAUGUCUGAAUCUGUCAUAUUACUUGCCAUGUUUGCAUGGAUGCUACCAUGUGUUCUGUUGAUCUUUAAAAUUAGUUCAGUAAGGUAGUUUUGUUCUUUGUCUUUAGUAUUAGCAUUCCAUGCCUUUGUUUGCCAUGAUAAGUUCCUGUAGCGUGUUGUUUGAUAGCUCGAAACAUUGCAACCUGAUGUUAUUUCUGCUAUGUCCAGUGAUUUCUGCAGUCUGUGAAACUGUUAUUAUUUGCAAUAUUGCGAUGUCCUUUUGAGCAUGUUAUUUUGUUUUCUGUAGAUAGCUCAGUGUUCAUGUUUUGGUAUGCUUCAUCUGUACAUCAUGUCCAUGUCUUUGUUUUCAUGUUGACGUGCCGUAGCAUAUUGUUUUGAUGCUUGCUAGAUGCCUAGUUGCUGUUUUGGACAGCUUGUCCUUUAAACUUGUUUCAUGUGUAUGUGUUGAAUCGUUGCUCUGUUUUGAGUGUGCUUUAUAUGAAACUUGCUCAGAAUUGCAUCUGGUUUCAUCUUAUCUUGUUGCAUCUAUGUUUUGAGAGUUUGCUUGAUGUUUGAAUGCAUUUUGCAUCAAUGUCAUGUUUAACUUGUUUUGCUCAUAUCUUCUAGGCCGUAGCUCCGAACUAAAUGAACUUUAUAUGUAACUUGACUAGAAUAUCGUGUAGAUCAUCUUGGUACAUCUUAACUUGCUAUUUGACAACUUGAGAAUAAGGUUUAUUCAGAUAUGGACCAAUUUCGAAAUUUGCAUACGAGGACUGACCGGAAUUGUUAUAUGUUGUUUUCGGCCUCAUUUAAACUUGCUUUGAUGUGUUUCUCUUGUAUGCAUCAUCUCUUGCCAUGAGUAGCAUCCUAUAGCCUUUUUCAUGCAUCAUGCUUGGUUGUGCAUCUUGUCUUGUCUAUGUGUUGUGUGUUUACCUUGUUGUUUGCUUCUUUCCGGUUGUGCUCCUUCUCGUUAGUUCCUGUUCGUUGCGAUCGUGAGGAUUCAUUCGUCUACACUUGGUUCGUCUUCGUGGCUUCAUCUUCUUCAUGGACUCAUUCUUCUUCCUAGCGGGAUUUCAGGCAAGAUGACCGUCACCUUGGAUCUCACUACUAUCAUUGCUAUGCUAGUUGCUUUGUUCUAUCGCUAUGCUGCGCUACCUAUAACUUGUUCACCAAGCCUCCCAAAUUGCCAUGUCAGCCUCUAACCUUUUUCACCCUUCCUAGCAAACCAUUGCUUGGCUAUGUUACCGCUUUUCCUCAGCCCCUCUUAUAGCGUUGUUAGUUGCAGGUGAAGUUGAAGAUUGCUCCAUGAUGGACAGGAUUAUGUUGGGAUAUCACAAUAUCUCUUAUUUAAUUAAUGCACCUAUAUACUUGGUAAAGGGUGGAAGGCUCGGUCUUAUGCCUGGUAUUUUGUUCCACUCUUGCCUCCCUAGUUUCCCUCAUACCGGCGUUAUGUUCCUUGAUUUUGUUUUCUAUACACGGUUGGGUGAUUUAUGGGACCCCCUUGACAGUUCGCUUUGAAUAAAACUCCUCCAGCAAGGCCCAACCUUGGUUUUACCAUUUGCCGACCUAAGCCUUUUCCCUUGGGUUUUCGGAGCCCGAGGGUCAUCUUUAUUUACCCCCCCCCCCCGGGGCUAGUGCUCCUCCGAGUGUUGGUCCAACCUAAGCGAUGUCCGGUGCCCCCUGGGGAACCAGGAUCUAUGCCAACCCGACGUCUGGCUCAUCCGGUGUGCCCUGAGAACGAGAUAUGUGCAGCUCCUAUCGGGAUUUAUCGGCACAUUGGUCGGCUUUGCUGGUCUUGUUUUACCAUUGUCAAAAUGUCUUGUAAACCGGGAUUUCGAGACUGAUCGGGUCUUCCUGGGAGAAGGAAUAUCCUUUGUUAACCGUGAGAGCUUGUGAUGGGCUAAGUUGGGACACCCCUGUAGGGUAUAAACUUUCGAGAGCCGUGCCCGCGGUUAUGUGGCAGAUGGGAAUUUGUUAAUAUCUGGUUGUAGAAAACUUGACACCAGAUUUGAAUUAAAAAGCAUCAACCGCGUGUGUAGCCGUGAUGGUCUCUUCUCAGCGGAGUCCGGGAGGUGAACACGGUUUUGGGUUAUUUAUGAACGUAAGUAGUUUCAGGAUCACUUCUUGAUCAUUGCUAGCUUCACGACCGUUCCAUUUGUUUCUCUUCUCGCUCUUAUUUGCGUAUGUUAGCCACCAUAUUUUGCUUAGCUGCUGCUGCAACCUCACCACUUUACCCCUUCCUUUCCCAUUAAGCUUUGCUAGUCUCGAUACCCAUGGUAAUGGGAUUGCUGAGUCCUCGUGGCUCACAGAUUACUACAACAACAGUUGCAGGUACAGGUUAUGCGAUGAUCAUGACGCGAGAGUGAUGUUUGCUUGUUUUGGAGUUCUUCUUCUACUUCUUCUUCGAUCAGGGGAUAGGUUCCAGGUCGGCAGCCUAGGCUAGCAGGGUGGAUGUCGUUUGAGUUUCUGUUUGUAUUUCAUCCGUAGUUGGAGGGUGCUCUGUUGUAUGAUGAUGUUGUAUUCGUGUGGCAUUGUAUGCCUUUUGUAUGUAUCCCCAACUUUUAUGUAAUGCUACGAUGUAAUUAUAUCUACCUUGCAAAAGCGUCUUCAAGACGCGCUUCUAUCCUUGGUGGUACCUUCGAGUUCCUUUAGGAUAGGGUCGCAUCUUGGGCGUGACAAUUGCAUCGCACACAGUUUCGUCGAAGGGUCUCUUAUCGUAGUCGAGUUAGUAGCAUCCUGCAUUAGUGUCAGGUCACCCCUAACAUAGCAUAUCACCAUGUCAUGCAUUAUGCUGCAUCUGAGUGCUUUAUAUUUAUUAUUUCUUCCCCCACUUCUUCUCUGAUAGACCCCAACACCGACGCUGCUCCAAAGUGCGACUACACUCCUGACGACUAGCCCCUUUCAGCAGAGCUUCCAGGCAAGCAAAACCCCUUGAUCAUUCCUAUAUCAACCAUUAUUUCUCUCUCUUGCUUGCAUUAGAUUUUGCUAUUGUUGUUCGAUAGCUCCUAUUUUGAUGCAUAGCCUGCUUUUGUAACCUAUUAUUGUUACUUUACCUGUUAUCCUAUAUGCUUAGUAUAGGUUUUUUAGUGAUCCAUCAAUGACCCCUCACCCUUGUCCUUGUUGCCCCGCUUUGUUACCGGUGACUUGAUCAAUGUGAUCAACGACCAGAGACCGGGACAUGAAUGAUUCUGCAGAGCUACUAUCGAGCUCCGACGGUGAUACCUCGUAUCACACUCAUGAUGAUAUCGUUGUAGUGUGGCUAAUAGGUCGUGGAUUACUGAGGGCGAUCCCUCAUUCACCAUUCCUGGUGACGACUCUAUCGUGCAACACCUCAAGUGUGAACCCUUCAAGGAUGAUUCCUCCAAGGUCACCUUGAUGAUUACACCAAGUAGGAAUCCUUCAAGGGUGAUUCCUCGGAUUCCCCCAUGAUAUUAUGGACAAACGGAUACCUUGACCUUCACCUCAGUCCUUUGUGGAAGUCGGGUUGACCUAAGGGGUACCGCAAGAGUUACUAGAGUCAGCUAACCGUGAAGGUACCCGCGAGAUAACUACGUGCCAUGGUCGGGCAGGCAGACCGCCUUAGAGAGGGAUGGUCCCAACCCUUGUCGUAUGUCUGCAAGACAGGGCGACAUGAUCACUGGUCAUCUUCGCGUGCUCCCAAUACACUAACGGGUUUGGACUUGUGAUUUGAAUAGGCAUCUGGCCUUUUUUCACUGACCACCACACGGGAAUAAGUUUGGCACUUGGUGUCGUACGAUUCUUUUGAAAGUUCCCAGACGUCAGCAUUUAGCGGCGCACGGCCGGGACGGUAACCACAACGCUAGUAUAAGGGGGUGGGUUUGCUCCAGGCCACGUUCACAACGCGCAAGAUUGCACAGUAUGAUUGGCCCAUGACCCCUUCGCAUUUAGGAUGUAGAUGGGCAUGUUGCCCUCUCUGUUCAGCCUAGGUAGGACUAGGUGUGUCGAUCAGCCGAGGCCGGGCAUGACUCGUUAAAAUGUGUCCGACCGGAGCUAAACGAGCUUGUUGGGUAAGUUGGUGCACCCCUGUAGGGAAGUAUAUCUAUUAGAAUAGUCAUGUCCAUGGUAACGUAUGCUUGGAGUUGUAUCACCAUCUAUUACAUCUAGAACUAGAUACUUGUGACACUAAAUGGAUAUGAUGGCUCCAAGAUCGCUUUCUCACAGGGAGUCGAGGAAGGGUCUCUAGGCAUUGCUACUACAUGCUCACUACUUUAUAAUAUACUAAAACGCACUCUUCUAAUGCUGCAAGACGCUACAAGAUGCUACUCAUUGAUAGGCUACGUCUUCCCUUCUAUUCUGGCAUUUCUGUAGUUUAGCCCAAUGAUAUAGCUCCAUUCAUUUUAUACAGAUGCAUACCUAGUAUAGAUCAGAUGAAGUCUUGCGAGUACUUUGGAUGAGUACUCACGGCUGCUUCGAUACCUUCUUCCCCUCUACCCAAUUGUUGCGACCAGAUGAUGGAAUCUAGGAGCUAGUUGAUCUCGCCGACAACUACUACUACACUGACAGAGCCUACUACUACGUGGAGACCAUCGAUGACUCGGAGUAGAUAGGAGGCCCCAGGCAGGAGGCCUUCACCUUUUUGAUUAGAUGUCCUUGUUUUGCUAGCUUUCUUAUGGUAGACUUAUUUAUCUUAUGUCUGUACUCAGAUGUUUUUGCUUUCGCUGACUUAUGUAUUCCAGCCUUUGUGGCCCUAACUUGUAAUAUAAAGCUUUAUGUCAAAUUUGUGUCUAGAGUUGUGUUGUGAUAUGUUCCCGUGAGUCUGUUAUUUUGAUCGUGUGCAUUUGCGUGUAUGAUUAGUGCACGGUUGAGUCGGGGCGUCACAAUGUGGGAACGUAGUGGGCUGUGAAAGACAAAUUGUCGAUUAAGAUUUACGGGAAGAAGGAGCUAGCGCACAUACGAUGCAUGCGAGUUUAAGGUAUACCUCCUCGGUGGUGGUGGAUGUCUACUAUGCAACAUUUCUUCAUGUAGACUCGUCUUGGGCCUCCAAGCCCAGAGUUUUGUAGGACAGUAGCAAUUUUCCCUCAAGUGGAUGACCUAAGGUUUAUCAAUCCGUGGGAGGCAUAGGUCGAAGAUGGUCUUUCUCAGACAACCCUGCAACCAAAUAACAAAGAGUCUCUUUCGUAAAAUUGUAUAGGUGAAGAGUUGGUGAUACAAGUGUAAUAUGGAUGGUAGAUAUAGGUUUUUGUAAUCUGAAUUUAUAAAAACAGCAAGGUAACUAGUAACAAAACUGAGCAAAAAUGGUAUUGCAACGCUUGAAAACAAGGCCUAGGGUUCAUAGUUUCACUAGUGCUAAUUCUCUCAACAAUGAUAACAUAAUUAAAUCAUAUGGCAAUCCCUCAAUGUGCAACAAAGAAUCACUCCAAAGUUUCUAUUGGAGAACGUAGGACGAAAAUGUUCAUCAACCCCUAUGCAUAGGUUACCCCAACAUCACCUCUGGAAACCAUUAGUUGAUUGCCAAAAUGUCAGGACCCCGACUCGAUGCCACAUCGAUCUAGCAUGUAAUACCUCAUAUCACUUUGCGGCCUCACGCACGGUAUUCCCACGGGUGUCGUCUUACCUUUGCCCGGGACCGUUUGCGCCUUUUGGCACACGUAUAUGAUAGUGUCGCUAGCAUCCAUAUGGUAAAGAGCCCGGGCUGACAUGGCUAGUCGUAAACCCAAAGUGGCACAGACUUACAGGGACAGGCAUCCAUGACCCAGCAUCGAACGUGUCGGUCAUCAGCAAGUGAAUCCGGGCUGUAGCACUGGGCUAGUAGGACUCCGGUAAACCGGGCUGUAGUGGGCUAACAGGACUCCGGUAUCCAUCGCGUGACAUUUCCCCGAAGGGACAGACAUAGGAACGAAGAAGGACACAUGCCGGCCAGCCUAAGUGUUCCGGAGCAGUAGCAAGCUACCAUGGCUCGGUGGAAACACUAGGAGACAUUUCCCGGUAAGAGGGGCUACUAAGGAUAAACAACUAGAUAGUCAGAUCCCACACAUACCAAGCAUUUCAAUAACAUACACACAAUAUGCUCGAUAUGUGCAAAUACAACAUGGCAUCACAACAUGACUCUACGACUCAAGUAUUUAUUCAUUAGGCUCCGAGGAGUGAGAUAAUACAAACAUGGGUCUCAUGACCCAGCAUUCAGAGCAUACAAGUCAAACACAUGCGGAAGCUUAACAUGUCUGAGUACAGACAUCUACAAAUGAAAAAGGCUGAGAAGCCUGACUAUCUACUAGAUCCUGCCGAGGGCACAAGAUCGUAGCUGAGGUAACAAGCUAAACGUCGAAGACCACGCGGAACUACUAGCGAGAUGACGUCUCUCGGAAAAAACAUAAAAUAGGCAAACGUGAGUACAAAUGUACCCAGCAAGACUUACAUCAGAACUAACUACAUAUGCAUCUUUAUCAACAAAGGGGAUGGUGGAGUUAACUGCAGCAAGCCAGCUUUGACUCGGUGGCUAUCCUGAACUACGACUGCAAGUAACUCUUUUGAGGUGGCGCACACGAGUCCACAUAUUCACCAUAUCAAUACACCACUAUGGAUCCGCUCCCGUCUCCCUACGAGAACGCCAUCCAUAGCACUCACACUUAUCUUGCGUAUUUUAGAGUAUCCACUUACACUUAUCUAUGAACUGUUAUAAGCAACCCAGAAGUCCUUUACCGCGGACACGGCUAUUCGAAUAGAUGAUGUUAACCCUGCAGGGGUGUACUUCUUCAUACAUGUUUCCACCACUUAGCGUCUGCACACGACAUGUGCUCGGCAGACUUCAAGCGAAAGCCGACGUGGGUGUAGACCACGACCUACCUAAACACUCAAGUCUCUAGUCCAGGUUUAUCGCCUAUUCGGGUUCCAUCCAUGAGGAGAUCUGGCCGGAGUUUCGCUCACAGCCCCAAACAAUGUGUGCAGGGUUCCCGAGACACCAAACGGCCGCCCGGUACACCGUGCCACAUGCCUACCGCAUCACAGCCCACCCCUCCGGUCAGCGCUGCGCACGGCCUCCAGCAUACUACAAACACCAGAAACUACUUGCAACUCCUGGACAGAGGACAAGGGUGAAUAAGAAGUCGAGCGGGGUCAUAUUUCAGGGCCCAAUGCAUGGUAGUAGCUGAAUCAUGGAUCACAAACACAGAACUCAGUUCCUAAGGACGGCUUCAAUGAGACAACCCACCAUGUACUCCUACAUGGCCUCUCACCGAUACCUUUUACCAAAUCGUGUUCACACACUUAGCUCACACACAGUAGGACAUGCUCACACACCUCUGAUUCAUUCCCGACGAAUCAGACCUGACCCAACUCUAAGCAGUAGCAGGCAUGACAAACAAACAUGAAUGAGUAGGCACAACAGGGCUCAAGCAACUCCUACUCAUACUAGUGGGUUUCAUCUAUUUACUGUGGCAAUGACAGGUCAUGCAGAGGAUAAAGGGGUUCAGCUACCGCAGCAAGUAACAAAUGACUCGUUGUUGUCCUAAUGCAGUAAAAGAGAGCAGGGCGAGAGAGUAGGAUUGUAUCGGAAUGAACAAGGGGGUUUUGCUUGCCUGGCACUUCUGAAGAUAGCAUUGAGUCUUCAUCAGUGUCAACGAUCACAAUGUCGGAACAUCGUCUACCGAGAGGGGACAGGUACCGGCAACAGAGAAGAAAUACAAUCAAUGCAAUGCACAAUAUGAUGCAUGCUCAUGACAUGGCAAUAUGAGUGUGUUGGCCUAAUGCAACUACAACCAGAUGGAUUUGGGUCAUAUUGAGCCAAAGGUUCAAUCCCAAAUUCAAUUUAUGAAUUCAAAUAGCGCCUUAUCAUGUUUUGCACUAAACAGCAAGGUUAAGUUGUUUAAACAUGCAUGAAACCAGUGCAGAUGGAUAGAUUGGAUUUUUCUGAUCAUUUUUCAUAUAUAAUUUAUUUCAUUUGGAGUUACGGUUGAAUUUCUAUGAUUUUUAGAAGUUUAUACUAUUUUCUGGAAUUUCCUGAUUUAUUUUUAAACCAGAAAGUCACUUAUUGCGUCAGCACUGUGUCAUGCUUGCGUCAGCAAGUCAACAGCGCUGACCAGGUCAAACCUGACCAGUGGGGUCCACUGGUCAGUCUCAUAGGGCUGCGUUGGUCACUGACGUGUGGGUCCCGCUUGGUUUAAAUAAAACUGAACAGAAAUUAAACUGGUGUUAGUUAAGGGCAUGGGGCCCAGUAGUCAGUGAGAGAGGAAGUUAGUUAGCCUCGUCAUUAGCAGUUAACGACGUUGCCACGUCGGCUUGCCGGCGUUCAGCCGGCGACGACCAAAACUGCGGCGGGAGCUCACCGGAGUGGCGCUGCGAGCGGUUUUGGGCCAAGCCAAGGGCACCAGAGGGUUUCCCUUGCUCAUGCCCAUCCAAAGGAGGCACGCGGGAGGCGCGGGGUGGCCGGAGCUCGCCGGAGUGGCAGCCGCGGCGGCUGCCGGAGCUACGGGUUCGAGCGGCACGAGGCCACAGAGGACAGGAGGGCUGGCUAAGGGGCUCACCGAGCUCCUGAAGAUGCUAGGAGCACGGUGCCAUGCUCGAUUUUGAGCCUUACUGGCUGCAGUGACGGCGGCGACAUUGCCGGCGGCGUGGGGUUCUCGGCCAAGACGGGGCUAUAGCCUAGAGGUCGAAAGAGACCAGGGGAGAAGGGGAGGACGGCUCGGGGGCUCACCGUGAGUCCGUUUGGAGGGUCAGUGGGCUCGAGGGCGGCCGGAGUGCAGCGAAUCAACGGCGAGGGGCUCAGGUGCCCGAGGUUGGAGAUGACCGCGAUGACGAUGAAGCAGGGCCUCCUAGCGUCUUGUAGCUCGAUUGGGAGGAUGAGGAGGUUCCUGCGGUUCUUCUGGACUCGGCGGAAGGGUGAGGGGUGCCCGGUGGCCGCGGUGGUGCUCAUCGGCGGCGGCGGGUGUGUUCGGUGGCUGCGUGCGAGAGAGCUAGAGGAGGGGAGGAGCUCGGGGAGAGAGUGAGAGGUCUGGGGGGGUGUGUGGCUGUCUCCGUGGCGCUGGAAGGGCCUCGAGGGCGUGAGGCAGGCAAGGAGGAGGCCACGGCGUCGCCAGCGCUCGCCACCGAGCUGCUUCGGGGCGAGGGGAGGAAGAUGACAGGAAAAGGUGGGCUGGGCCGCGCUGGGCCGGUCCUGUUGGGCCACCAGGUAAGUGGACCAGGUGAGUACUGUUAUUUUUAAUUUUUCUGUUCUGUUACCCUUUUAUUUUUAUUUUGCCACUGUUUUCAAAUUCAAAAUAAUUUCUAACAGUGCCAAAACAUUCUGAAAUAUUUUAUGUUACCUCUCUGGACUAUUCCAAAAGUACAUAAAACAUUUCAAAGCAUUUGAAGAUAUAUUCAUUAUAUAUUAUGAAUAUAUCCCCAAAUUCAAAUAGAUUAUUGAUUUAAAUUCAGAGACCAAAUAAUUCCUUAAAAAUGUUCCAAAAUUUUGGUUUGAUAUAUAACUCUUGCCAAAAUUCACAAAACUAUUUUUAGGGCAUUUUGGAUUCACAGAAUGCAAUUUAAAAGGUGCUUGCCCUUCUUUUAAUUAGAUUUCUGAGGUUUCAACAAUCCUCAAUUCAAGUUUCAUUUGAAUUUAAACAUGAUGCUCACAUGGAAGCUGGCAUAGGUCAGGCCAGAACUAGGGAUGUGACACAAAACAUACAUCAAGUGGAUCAAUAGAGCAUUCCAUUGUCACCAUAGAUAUCCCAUCGCAAGACAUACAUCAAGUGUUCUCAAAUCCAAUACUCAAUCCAACAUAAGGAAGCCUCAAAGAGCAAGACCCAAUUCAUCACAAGAAGGUAGAGGGGGAGAAACACCAUAUAAUCAAACGAUAGUAACAAAGCUCGUGGUACAUCAAUAUCAUGCCAAAUCAAGAACACAAGAGAGAGAGAGAGAGACUAAGAUUAAACACAUAGCUACUGGUACAUACCCUCAGCCCCGAGGGUGAACUACUCCCUCCUCGUCAUGGAGACUGCCGGGAUGAUGAAGAUGGCCUCCGAUGAUGGUUUUCCCUCCGGCAGGGUGCCAGAACGGGCUCUAGAUUGAUUUUUCAUGUCUACAUAGGCUUGUGGCAGUGGAACUUCCGAUCUAGGGUUCUUUUGGGGGUUUUUUGUAUUUAUAAGAAUUUUUGGCGUUGGAAACAAGUCAGGGGGUGCUCGAAGGGCCCACAAGCUCCGGAGGCAUGCCAUAGGGGGUGGGCGCUCCCCUAGGCUUGUGGCCUCCUCGGUCACAUCCUGGCCCAGCUCCGGUGCUAUGGGGGUCUCCUUUGGUCCAUAAAAAUCACCGUCAAAUUUUAGCCCAUUCCAAGAACUUCUAAUUCUGCACAAAAAAUGACACCACGGUAGUUCUGCUGAAAACAACGUCAGUUCGGGUUAGUUCUAAUAAAAUAAUACCAAAACCAUAUAAAAUAGUUGCGAACAUGGCAUGAAUACUUCGUAAAUUAUAGACACGUUGGAGACGUAUCAGUGGUCUUGGCCUGCGCGGCUCCACGAGGUUGUCCUCUUAUUUGGUGGAGACGACCUGGGUGGCAGCAGGGGCCUUGCAGGGCGCGGCGUCAGCGGCUUUCACUAGGCGCCACCGGGUUCAAGGGUUGUUUGUCCCCGCGAUGUCUUCUAAUGCUGCCAUCCUCUCUCUCUCUCUCUCUCUCUCUCUCUCUCUCUCUCUCUCUCUUUCCUACUCAUCUAAGGAAAGAGGUCAGAUAUUCUCAGACUCAGUGCCCGAGAGAUCUUAGAUCCAAAGACCCCCUCUCUUCUUCUCCAGCUCCUUAGCCAUUGGCCGUGGCCUUUUGGGGUGCCACGGCCAAAAGGGCUCGUCGCUCAGGGGUCCGGUUGUCUUCAAGCAGUGGCGUUGCACAUUUGAUGAGCACCGCCUUAGAAGCCCACUGCUGAAAACAGAUGGGGAAGACUUAGACAAAUGUGAAACACGGAAUUAUUAUCGAACAUACGAGAUGAUGGUUACCUUGGAUGGGCCGCAUGUGGCGCUGUAGACGAUGUCUGGCCCGUCUUUAGGGAAUUUGUUCUGGGACAGCUCGAAGAGAGCCAUGCACAUCCCAUCGAUGGUGGUGUGAAAGAAGUUCCGUAGUGUUGGUGUAUCCUCGGGCUUAUAGAGCCACAUGGGGCUAGCCCAGAGCUGGAGUGGGAGGAUGUACCGAUGCAGUAUCACAUCCACUAGCUUGAACUUCUCCUUGAGGGCCCAGAUCCUCUCCUAGAGAGCGACAACGUCAUCCGGAUUACCCCAUUCCAGGCCUUGUUUCUGCCAGGACAUCAGCUUCCUCGGUGGUGCACCCAUGAAGGUAGGGGUCGCGGCAUGGCCCAGGAUCAGAGGUUCUAUGAUAUAGAACCACUCACACUGCCAGAUCUUCACACUCUUGAUGAAGGUUCCCUCCAGCCAGUCCCUCUUUUGGAGCUUGUUGAUCAUGGUGCCCCGCACUCAGUGAACUCUGCGCCGCUACUCUUCGGCUUGACGCAGAAGGUCUUCAGCCACAGGCCGAAGUGCGGCUCCACGCGCAGGAAUGCGUGACACACAAUGAUGAAUGUAUUGAGGUGCAUGAUGGAGUUCAGGGCUAGAUUAUGGAAAUAUAGCCCAUAUAAGACAAGGAUCCCCUGCAUAAAUGGUUGCUAGGGGAACCCCAGACCUCAGACAAGGUGGGGGACGAAGAUGACCUGCUCCAUAGGGUUGGGAGUGGGGACACAUUGGUCUGGCUCUAGGGCCCUAUAGGCAGUGUCGGCAGGGAUGUAUCCUGCCACGCCGAGCUCAUCAAUGGUGGCGUCGGUGACCUUGGAGGCCACCCACCUCACGUUCAAAUUUGCAUCGGCCAUUGGCACGAGACGCGGAAGCUUGGGGAAAUCUUUAGGUUUGAGAAUGGGAUUGGGGUGUGAAGGCUUGGCAGGUUUGGGUGCUAGAGCAGAAGGAGAUCAUGGAGAAAAGAUUCGACACUCCCUGCUCUUUAUAAGUAAAAAGAUAAACGUCCCCUCCAUUGUGUCAUACAAAUUGCCACGUUUCAGUUGGCCAUGCCAUUAUGGCCACGUUGGGUGAAGCAAUUGAUUGAUGAUAUCACCUAAACUGCGGGGCAUGAUCUCUGUUUAGAUACGACAUGAAAUGAUAGUGUUACCUCGAACAAUGAUUUGAAUAAGCAAUAACUGAUGUAUAUGGUGUCAUGGGUGGUGAUGCUUCAAAAAAAGUUGUCAGUAAUUGACUGAUGCAUAUGAUGUCAUGGGAGCCUCGACAGUCGCCGGAUCAAUCAUGGCUUCAUGGGAGAUGUUGACCACUGCAUCGGCCAAAACUUCAGAUGCCUCGCCCUAGGGGUUCUGCGCCUUGCUUGCCGGUUGUGCGUCCCGUUCUGGCUUCUUGAUCAGGCGCUCCUUCCUCAGCACCACCAGGGCGGUGCUGGCUGAGUGAGGGGCCGCUUCCAGAUAGAGUACCAAAGGCUCGAGAGGGUGUGGUGCCACCAUUACGGGUGGACUAGUUAGAUAUCUCUUGAGGUCCUGGAAGGCUACGUCUACCUCGGGGGUCCACUCAAAUGGCUCCUUCCUUUUCAUCAACUUAAAAAACAGGAGGGCGCGCUCCCCCAGCUUUAAAAUGAAGCGCCCAAGUGAGGUUACGCAGCUGGCCAGCUUCUACAUCUCCUUCAGGGUCUGUGGGGGGUUCAUAUCUUCUAUCGCCUUGACCUUCUUUGGGUUAGCCUCGAUCCCUCUGUGCGACACCAAGAAGCCUAGCAGCUUGCCGGAGGUGACCCUGAACACGCACUUCUCGGGGUUAAGCCGGAGAUCCACCGUGUGCAGGCUUGCGAACGUCUCCUCUAGAUCUUUUAUCAGAGUCCUGGCCUCCCAAGACUAUACCACUAUAUCAUCAACGUAGGCCCCUACGUUCCUCCCGAGCUGCGAACCCAGGGCGAUGUGCCUCAACCACUGGAAAGUUGCUCCAGUGUUGCAUAGCCCAAAGGGCAUGCAGGUCUAGCAGUAUACCCUGCAUGGGGUGAGGAAUGCCGUUUCCUCCACAUCCUCUAUGGCCAUCUUGAUCUGGUGGUAGCCGGAGAAGGCGUCCAGGAAGCACAACAGGUCACACUCAGCGGUGGAGUUGACGAUCUGGUCGAUGCAAGGGAGCGGAAAGGGAUCUUGAGGGCAGGUGUGAGUGUCAAAACCGGCGGAUCUCGGGUAGGGGUUCCCGAACUGUGCGUCUAGGCGGAUGGUAACAGGAGACAAGGGACACGAUGUUUUACCCAGGUUCGGGCCCUCUUAAUGGAGGUAAAACCCUACGUCCUGCUUGAUUAAUAUUGAUGAUGUGUGUUACAAGAGUAGAUCUACCACGAGAUCAAGGAGGCUAAACCCUAGAAGCUAGCCUAUGGUAUGAUUGUUAUUCGUCCUACGGACUAAAGCCAUCUGGUUUAUAUAGACACCGGAGAGGGCUAGGGUUACACAGAGUCGGUUACAAUGGUAGGAGAUCUACAUAUCCGUAUCGCCAAGCUUGCCCUCCACGCCAAGGAAAGUCCCAUCCGGACACAGGACGAAGUCUUCAAUCUUGUAUCUUCAUAGUCUUGGAGUCCGGCCGAUGAUGAUAGUUCGGCUAUCCGGACACCCCCUAGUCCAGGACUCCCUCGGUAGCCCCCGAACCAGGCUUCAAUGACGACGAGUCCGGCGCGUAUGUUGUCUUCGGCGUUUGCAAGGCCGGUUCUCCUUCACGCUCCAGGUGUUUGCCGGAUAGUGUCCGGUUGCUUCAUAAAUGUUGCGCUCCUUGGCUUCCACGUCCAAUAAUGGCCUUCUUCCACGUGUUGUAUGAAUGCGAAAAGCCAGGGUAUUCUUACGUUUUACCCCCUAGCUGCGCGAAUAAGCUGCCUAUAAGAGAGGCGAGGAUCCAGAUCCAAAUCACACCAUCCUCCUUCCGCAAGUACUCAUCGAGGCGCAUCUGACAAAAAAUCCAUUCCAACAUGGACAGUCGACGCGGCUCCUCUUCUCGCACUCCCAGUCCUCAGCCAGGAGAUUAGAGGAGAUGCUCAGUCCCGCAUAGCGAGUUAGUGAUGCUCCAAGUAGAGGGAUACCUUCCCCCGGCCUUUAUGGUUCCAGUUCGAGCCGGACUAGCCACCUACAAGGGUGGGAAGCAGGCGGAGAGCGUCCCCAAUCCCUCCAAAGGAGAGCGGGUAUGCUUUGUCCCCUACUUAAUAAGGGGAAUUGGAUUUCCUAUACAUCCGUUUCUCCGGGGGCUCCUGGAGUUCUAUGGACUCCAACUUCACCACCUCACGCCUGCCUCCAUUUUGCACAUCGCGGGCUUUGUAGCUCUUUGCGAGCUGUUCUUGGGCAUCGAGCCCCAUUUUGUGCUGUGGAAGACGCUGUUUUGCCUCGUACCCCGUUCUCAUGGGGGGUCGAUAUAUCAAGUGGGCAGAGCCGAAAUAUGGCGCAUCGCCGGGACCGGAUAUCUAUCUGGAACCCCGAAGAAGGCGUCCGAAGACUGGCCAUCGGAGUGGUUCUAUAUGGAAGACGCCCCGCUGCCGGAUCUAGUUCGGAUCGGCCUCCCGGAGUUUAGCAACGCUCCUCUGAAGAAACGCCUGAGUUGGCGCCCGCGGAGCCCUCAACAUGAAGAUGAUAGGAGCGUCCACUAUCUGAUGGGCCGGAUACGGCUACUAGCCCAUUCCGGAUUAACCAUGAUUGGAGUCAUGGCCACAUGCAUUAUGCGAGGGGUGCAGCCGCUCCAAUAUAGGGGCCACCCUAUGUGGGAUUUUAACGGGGAGAAUGACGCCACCCGUCAUGGCCGCACGGGGCCGGGAUCGGCCAUCGAUCUAGUGAAGAUCCUGUCUGGCUUGUACAAGGGGGAGAAGGACGACUUCCUCUGCACGAAUCCAUUGAAUGGAUUCUCCAUGAAUAACCCUCGGAGCUGGGUAAGCGGACGCUUAUAUAUAUGAUCCGUGCUUUCAAAGGUAAGUGUCUUACUUUAUGAUUUUGACGCAGGAAAUACACCGGGAUGUGGCGGGCAUAGAAAGCCCAACUCCACAACCCGAGGAUCCGGGAAGAUCCCUUGAUCAGGCCUCCGAAGAGGAUCCGUACAUAAAGGUGGAUUUGAUUGACGGGGUGUUCCACCAGCUCAGCAUAGGCAAUGCUUUAGUCGCCAUUACGGCUGACUACCCCGGUUUAUGUCCGGCUUCCCAGGUGAGUAUGACCGAAGUCCUGACACCGUUACUUUUUUAAUGCUUAUUUCUGACCACCGUGUACCAAUGGUGCUUGGCAGGAGGUGCCUUUACGGCAGGAAGCCGAGCCUGCGGCGACUGAUCAAACGAGGUCAGUGCGGCCUAGCAGGCGGAAGAGGAGUGCGGCGCGAAUCGAAACGUCGCCGCAAAGGUAUGGUGCACCAUUGUCUUUUAAGGGAAAGACUCCUGGGAGGCAUAUUAAUGCUCAUGAUUCUUCCAGGAGAAAGAGCGCUCGCCGGACUGAGUCCGGAGAGGGUGCCCACCAAGCCUCCGCCAGCCAGGCUCCAACGCCUGGUUCGGAGGGGGAGGCGAGCGCAAGGCAUGAUCCGGAUGCUCCUCCAACGAAGGAUGCCGACAGGUUGUCCGCCACCAGGUCUGAGGUGGACAGCGCCAUGAAUCACAGGCGCCGCCGGACAGUUCUUCGUGACGCGUGUUUCUCCCCUGAGGCGUUAAAUGCCCUUAAUGCAGGAGACGCGCACCUCCAUGCUGCUCAAGAUGGUUUAACCAGAGCCACGGAGCAGUAUGUAAAGGACAUACGGGUAAGGAAUUUUAAUAGUUAUAUAUGCCAGUAGCCCCCGAGACUUAAAAUAGUUAAACUAACUGAUUUAAGGAUCAUUUGUUAUGCAGGAUCUUACUGAGAAGAAUACCCACCUGUCUCAGGAGCUUCAAGAAUGCAAGGCCCAACUGGAGGCCGCACUAGCCGCUGUCGGGGGAGCCACGGAGACCCCCUUUGGUAAUUCAUAUUUUGAAAAAAGAAGUAGUUUAUGAAGUGCGGCGUGUGUAUAUAGUCUGACAAUAAUAUUGUAGAGGGUGCCGGACUAGAUCCGGACAAGCAACAGCUGCUGCACCAGUUGAAGGCCGGCGAGAGGGUGCUUAUGAGGGUGCAGCAGGAGAGGAACAAACUCCAAGAUGCCAACACCCAGCUGGGCGAAGAAUGUUCGGGUCCAGCUGUCUAACUCCGUAAAGGAGAAUCGGCGGCUUCAUCGUGACAUUUAUAGUAAGUGCUUGAGCAAACUCUUUUGAAAAGAAGAGUUCGGCAAGGAAGUCGAUUGACAGAAAUGUGUCUGUAGGUGUGCUCACGGGUCGUCCGGCGGAGGAGAUUCCUGGUUCCAUGGGAGACCCUCUUCCCGAGCUUCUGCUACUGCACGAACGUGUUCGGCAUGCGAUGAGCAGCGUCGUUCAGGCCUUGUGGCCUUCCGUCUCCCUACCUGAGGGCCUUGGAGGGCUUGCUGAGAAGCUUCAAGGAGUACGACGAUGUCUCCGUCUGUGGAAGAUGUCGGCCUGCCGUCAAGGUGCCAGGGAGGCCUGGGCCAUGGUGAAGACGCGGUACCCAAAGGCUGACCCAAACCACAUGGCCGAGGUCGGACCUGUGGGGCCCGAUGGGAAGGAGAUCCCUGUGAGCUUGAUGUACGGCCAAGUAGAGUUGGCCGCGAAAUAUUCCCAACAGGACUGUAAAUUAGACAGCCUGUUAGAUGGGAUUGAAGAGGAGUACAAUUAGUCUGUUUGACGAUGUAAUUUUAAAAUGACAUGUAAAAUGCCUUCUAGCCGGAUUGUAGAUCGUUUGCCUUUGCGGACCUUUUCGCUUCAACCUCGGGACCCAACAGUCCGGAGUGUGUCCGAAUACCCUUACGGUUAUAAAAUAACCGGGGCAUGCAUGGAUACAAGGCGUAGGGGUCAUAAUUGCUUUAUCAGACAAGUGCCCAACUAGCUAUGUUAUAUUACAUGGUUAGUAAGAAACAUCUUCCAGGGAGAAUAGUUCCGUUAAGGGUUCCUUUCCCUGGGAGGCAUGCCCUUAAGUGCAUGUCCGGACUGCGAAAAUAGCAGAAAAAGCAUCUGGGGGCAGAUAAAUAAGUAAGUAGUAAAUCAUCUUUCAGGUCACCGACCGAAUAUUCCCUUAAGAAUGCUAGCCUUCGGCUUCACCCAGUCUAAGGUACACAUCCGGCUGACCCGGCAGUAACAAUCGCAGAGGUGCUCCCUUUACCUCCUAGCCGAACAAUCGGGAACGUAGGGGUAAGCACAGGAGCCAGGCAACCCGGCUUGGACAAAACUUAAGUCAUAUCGAUGCAUAUAAUGGUGAUCAAAAGGUACAUGCGGAAGUGUGACACAUGUGGUGGGCAUGAAGCCCAUAUAAAUAAGCUUCUGUUAAACAAGCCCCCAGGUAUAACGAGUGUGAGUAGCACAUCGAGUUAGUGCGAACAAAGCGCAGAUUAGCCCUCAAGAGGUUUGUACUGAAAGAGGGAGGAAAAAGGAGGGAAAACAAAGACAGCAAAAAAACAUGAAAGGUGGACGGAGGAAAGAGACGAACCCUGAGUCCGGCGCUAGGCGUAAAAUCUUCGGAGACGGGCUGCGUUCCAUGGGUUUGGCUCGAGUCGGUUGUCAGAUGCGUUGCGUAGACCGUAUGCACCGCCGAUAAGGACUUGGUCGAUGAUGAAGGGACCUACCCAUUUGGGCUUGAGUUUGUCCUUUUUCUUGUCCGGCAGGCAUAGAACUAGCUCGCCAACAUUGUAAGUUUUGGCCCGUACUUCUCUGCUUUGAUAUCUUCGAGCCUGCUGUUGAUAGAAUGCGGAACAGGAUUUUGCCACGUCGCGCUCCUCCUCUAAGGCGUCCAAACUGUCCUGCCGAUCCAACUCGGCUUCUCUUUCCUCGUACAUGCGCACGCGAGGUGAGUCAUGAAUUAUAUCGCAGGGCAAAACUGCCUCAGCGCCGUAUACCAUAAAAAAUGGUGUGAAUCUGGUUGUGCGGUCUGGCGUGGUCCGCAGCCCCCAGAGUAUGGAGUCGAGCUCCUCUACCCAGUGCGUGUUAGAUUCCGUGAGGGACCCACUAAUCUGGGUUUAAUGCCGCUCAUGAUUAGACCAUUUGCUCGUUCCACUUGACCAUUAGUUUGAGGGUGGUAGACUGAAGCGUAGUCGAGCUUGAUGCCCAUGUUUUUGCACCAGAGUUUAACCUCGUCGGCCGUGAAAUUCGUGCCGUUAUCAGUGAUGAUGUUGUGGGGGACGCCAAAAUGGUGUACUACCCCGAAUAUGAAGUCUAUCACAGGUCCGGAUUCUGCCGUUUUAACCGGCUUGGCCUCUAUCCAUUUGGUGAAUUUGUCCACCAUGACCAAUAAGUAUUUGUGCUUGUGGGUUCCCCCUUUAAGGGGUCCAACCAUGUCAAGCCCCCAGAUCGCGAACGACCAAGUAAUGGGUAUAGUUUUGAGGGCGGUGGGUGGCAUGUGGCUCUGAUUAGCAAAGAGCUGGCAACCGACGCAUCGUUGGACUAAAUCCUGAGCAUCUGCCCGGGCGGUCGGCCAAUAAAAUCCUGUAUGGAAGGCCUUGCCUACAAGGGCCCGGGCGGCGGCGUGGUGCCCGCCGAGUCCGGCGUGAAUUUCAGCUGGGAGAUUUCGCCCUUCCUCUUCGGAGAUACACCUUUGAAGGACUCCGGUUGUGCUUUUCUUAUAAACUUCUCCCUCAUGGAUCUUGUAGGCUUUAGAUCGCCGAACUAUGCAGCGGGCCUCAUUUUGGUUUUUGGGAACUUCCUGCCUGAUUAAGUAGGCUAGGAAUGGUUCCGUCCACGGGGCAAUUACUGCCAGUAUUUCGUGGGCUGAAUCUGUUAUUUCAUUGGCUGAGCCACCGAUUGUGUCAGAAUGUUCUGCGUUAGGUGAUGCAGUUGGUUCUGGAUUGUUAUUUCCGGACUCCUCUUCCCAUAAUACGGAUGGCUUAAAGAGCCGCUCCAGGAAGAUGUUUGGAGGGACGGCGUUGUGUUUUGCACCGAUUCAUGCCAACACGGCUGCUGCCUGGUUAUUAUCCCGGGCUACAUGGUGCAGUUCGAGUCCUUCGAACCAGGCUGACAUUUUUAGGACAGCGUUACGGUAGGCUGCCAUUUUCGGAUCCUUGGCGUCAAAGUCUCCAUAUACUUGGGAUAUUGCGAGGUAUGAAUCCCCGCGCGCCUCUAGGCGUUGAAUACCCAUGGAGAUUGCCAUCCGGAGGCCAUGUAGAAGGGCCUCGUAUUCGGCUGCAUUGUUGGAGUCCGUGUACAUUAUUUGAAGCACGUAUUGGACUAUGUCUCCGGUUGGGGACGUCAAGACGAUGCCAGCCCCCAAGCCAGCCAACAUUUUGGAGUCGUCGAAAUGCAUGAUCCAAUUGGAGUAUGCGCCGUACUCUUUAGGGAGUUCGGCUUCGGUCCAUUCGGCGAUGAAGUCAGCCAGAACUUGCGACUUGAUAGCUCGCCGUGGUUUGUAGGUUAUAUCAAAUGGUAAGAGCUCAAUGGCCCAUUUUGCAAUCCUGCCCAUCGCAUCGCGAUUGUUUAUAAUGUCGUUGAGAGGUACUUCGGAGGCCACUGUUAUGGAACACUCUUGAAAGUAGUGUCGCAGCUUCCGGGAUGCCAUGAACACUACAUAUGCUAUCUUUUGAUAGUGUGGGUACCGGGACUUGCAUGGAGUUAAGACAGUGGAUACGUAGUACACUGGUUUUUGAAGAGGGAAUUUGUGCCCUUCUGUUUCUCGUUCGACGACGAGUACCGCGCUGACAACUUGAUGUGUUGCUGCGAUAUAUAACAACAUCGGUUCGCCUAGGUUGGGCGCGGCCAGGACCGGAUUUUUUGCCAAUACGGCCUUAAUUUCUUCGAGUCCGGCUCUGGCAGCAUCCAUCUAUUCAAAAUGUUCGGUGCGCCGGAGGAGGCGAUAGAGGGGCAGUGCCUUUUCUCUCAAAUGGGAGAUGAAGCGGCUUAGAGCCACCACGCAUCCAGUUAGUUUUUUGUAUUUGCUUGAGGUCUUUUGGAAUAUCCAAUUGUGACAGAGCUCGGAUCUUGGUUGGGUUUGCUUCAAUUCCUCUACCGGAUACAAUGAAGCCCAAGAGCUUUCCGGCUGGUACGCCGAAAACACAUUUUUUCGGGUUCAGCUUAAUGUCAUAUGCUCAGAGGUUGUCGAAUGUCACCCUCAAGUCGUCUAAUAGAGUUUCGACGUGUUUGGUCUUGACGACCACAUCGUCUACGUGUGCCUCUACUGUUUUGCCUAUCUGGGUGGCCAGACAUGUCUGAAUCAUGCGCUCAUAUGUUGCGCCGGCGUUUUUGAGUCUGAAUGGCAUUGUGUUGAAGCAGAAUGGUCCGUAUGGAGUAAUAAAUGCCGUUGCGGCCUGGUCUUUUUCCGCCAUCUUGAUUUGAUGGUAUCCGGAGUAUGCAUCGAGGAAGCAAAAUGAAUCGUGCCCUGCGGUAGCAUCGAUGAUUUGGUCGAUGCGAGGGAGAGGGAAAGGGUCCUUUGGACAGGCCUUGUUAAGGUCUUUGAAAUCGACACAAAGGCGCCAGGAUUUGUCCUUUUUUGGUACCAUUACCAGGUUGGCUAGCCAGUCCGGAUGUUUUAUAUCUCUGAUGAAUCCGGCUUCUAAGAGUUUGGCUAGCUCCUCUCCCAUUGCAUGUCUUUUGGGUUCGGAAAAUCGCCGAAGAGCCUGUUUGACUGGCUUGAAUCCUUUUAGGAUACUUAGGCUGUGCUCUGCCAGCCUGUGUGGGAUUCCUGGCAUGUCUGAAGGGUUCCAGGCGAAAAUGUCCCAAUUUUCCCGAAGGAAUUCUUGUAGUGCGGCUUCUACAUCAGGAUUUAAUUAUGCCCCAAUGGAGGCCGUCUUUGUGGGGUCUGUUGGAUGGACCUAGAAUUUGACUAUUUCGUCUGCUGGUUUAAAAGAGGUGGACUUAGACCUCUUAUCGAGUAUCACAUCGUCCCUAUCCACCGUGGAGCACAGCGCAGUGAGCUCCUCUACCUCUAGGGCUUCGGAUAAUGCCUCUAGGGCCAGUGCGGCUGUCUUAUUUUCAGCGCGGAGUGCUAUAUCUGGAUCACUAACGAGAGUGAUUAUUCCAUUGGGCCCGGGCAUUUUGAGCUUCAUGUACCCGUAAUGGGGUAUAUCUUGGAAGAUUGUGAAUGCCUCUCGUCCUAACAAGGCGUGAUAUCCGCUGCCGAAUCGGGCCACUUGGAACGUGACCUCUUCGGACAUGUAGUUGUCCGGCGAGCCGAACACUACGUCUAGUGUGAUUUUUCCUGUGCAGCAUACUUCUCGACUAGGGAUUAUUCCCCUGAAGGUUGUGCUACUUCGCUCAAUGUGGCUCCAGUCAAUUUCCAUUUUUUGAAGGGUUUCCUCAUAGAUGAGGUUUAAUCCGCUACCGCCAUCCAUGAGUACCUUGGUAAGACGAAAGCCGUCCGCUAUCAGACUGAGGACCAAUGCGGCUGGUGCUCGAGCUGUUCGAAAUUUAGGUGCAUCACUGGCAUUGAAGGUGAUAGCUGUGUCGCUCCAUGGAUUCGUUGUUGCUACUUGGUAGACUUCGGCGAGGCUGCGGAUUGUUCGCUUCCGCAUGUUAUUUGAUGCGAAAGUCUCGAAGACUGUUAAUACCGUACUGGUACUGUUGGGCUGGUUGUCCAGGGCUAGAAAGCCUUCGCCACUUUUGGCCACCUGCUGUAGUAUCCAACAUGCUCGAAGGCUAUGUGUUGGAGUGGCGCCCUCCGUACUGUGGAUUUUGCAGGGUCCGUUGAGCCAUCCCUCCAGUACGGUUUCGUGCCCUUUAGGAGGGUUUUGCCUUUUGGUUUUUAAUCCAGGUGCUUGAGUAUGACGCACCCUUUUAUUUUGGACUGGGGUUGUAUUCAGGGCCGGAUUGUCCCAAAACCUGGUUAUAGUUUUCCAGGCGCUCUCCAUCGCACAGUAUUUUUCCUCCUGGUUAUGGAGGGAUCGGGAAUCCGGACAUAGCUGGUUUUUAACAUAGAAGAAGAGUCGUCGCAUUGUUCCUCUACCACAAGAACGUGGUGGGUAGCCUGGGGAGAGUUAAUUUCUCUCAGAUCGGUUUUAAGACCAAUCUGAUCGUAGUCUGUAGCGACUCCCAAGGUGGCGAUGCGAUCCAAGAGCUCGUUUACGGAGGAGAGCUCAAUCGGAUCUAGCUGCUCGGCGAAUUCCGAGCUGACGUGAAGAUCGCUUUUGAUGACCUGAGAGGUCAUCAUCGGAGCGGUGGCCGAACAGGCGGUCAUAAGAAAACCACCUAGCCGGAUAGUUUGGCCGGCGGCCAAAGCUCCCUUGACGACGGCGCCGUCUUUAAAGACGGGAAAAGGCAUCCUUCCUGAUUGCGACGGCACAGAGGAACUCUCAAUGAAAGCACCAAUGUCGGUGUCAAAACCGGCGGAUCUCGGGUAGGGGGUCCCGAACUGUGCGUCUAGGCGGAUGGUAACAGGAGACAAGGGACACGAUGUUUUACCCAGGUUCGGGCCCUCUUGAUGGAGGUAAAACCCUACGUCUUGCUUGAUUAAUAUUGAUGAUGUGUGUUGCAAGAGUAGUUCUACCACGAGAUCAAGGAGGCUAAACCCUAGAAGCUAGCCUAUGGUAUGAUUGUUGUUCGUCCUACGGACUAAAGCCAUCCGGUUUAUAUAGACACCGGAGAGGGCUAAGGUUAUACAGAGUCGGUUACAAUGGUAGGAGAUCUACAUAUCCGUAUCGCCAAGCUUGCCCUCCACGCCAAGGAAAGUCCCAUCCGGACACGGGACGAAGUCUUCAAUCUUGUAUAUUCAUAGUCUUGGAGUCCGGCCGAUGAUGAUAGUUCGGCUAUCCGGACACCCCCUAGUCCAGGACUCCCUCAGCAGGCCUUGUUGAGGUUGGUGAAGUCGACACACAUGCACUCCUUCCCUCCUUUCUUGGGUACGAUGAUGGGGUUCGCCAGCCACUCUGGGUAUUGCACCUCUCUGAUGACCCCUGUGGCUUGUAGCUUACGGGUUUCUUAGACGAUGAAGGCCUGCUUCUCGGUGGACUGUCGCCGAGCCUUUUGCUUCACCGGCUGCACAUUUGGGCAUACCCUCAGGUGGUGCUGGAUUAUCCCCCUUGGGACCCCGGCCAAGUGUUUCGGUUCCCAGGCGAAUACAUCCUUGUUGGCUCACAAAAAGUUGAUCAAUGCCUCCUCUUGAUCGUGUGGGAGGCCAGUCCCUAUGGUGAAGGUGGCGCUAGCCAUCCCAUCCUCGUAGACCAGCACUUGCUUCAUCUCGGCUCGGUCCUGAGAGAACAACUGCUUCUUCUUGGCAGGCGCCGCUUUUGGGGCCUCCUGGCCCUUCUUCUCUCCAGGUAGCACGGUCGCGACCGCCUUGAAGGCGAGCUUGAGGGCCAGCAGCGCGCCUUUGGUGUCCCCCGCCACCGUCAGGACACCAUUGCAGCCAGGCAUCUUCAUGAGGUUAUACGCGGGGUGGGUCGCAGCCAUAAACUAGGCCAAGGCUGGGUACCCUAGAAUGGCAUUAUAUGGCUGGCUGAUCUUGGCGAUGUCGAAGUCGAUGAGCUCGGUGCGGUAGUUGUCGCGGGUCCCGAAGGUGAAAGGGAGACGGAUCUGCCCCAGGGGCCUGGCUGAGCCGUCGCAGACUCCGAAGAACGGCUUGGAGGGGCGGAGCCGGCUGGGCGGCACGUGGAGCAGGCCGAACGCCUCCGGGGAGAGCAUGUUGAGGCCGACCCCGCCGUUGAUGAGGGUCCUAGUGAUCGCCAUGUGACAGAUGGUGGGGGUGUAGAGCAACGUGAGUCCGCCUGCCCCCGUAAUGGAGGCAGGGAGAUCUUCAGGGCCGAAGGUGAGGUCAGCUUGGGGCGCCGCCCAACCCGGGGGAGCCUCCGAGCCCGCCUGAGUGUUUCUUGCCCGUUGGUAGAACUGCUUGAUGUGGCGGUCGGUGAGUGGCGCCUGUGAGCCACCCAGGAGAGCCGCGGCGACCGGGGGAGCUGGCGCCGCGUAGUGGGCGAGGAAGAGGUCGCGCAGCUCCUCCCAUGAGGCCAUGGAAGAUGCGGGCAUGUUGAGGAGCCAAGCAGACGGUGCGCCCACAAGGGCCAUGGGGAACUAGUUGGCCUUCACCUUGUCAUCUCCACCAGCCGCCCAAACUGCUUCCUCAUAUGCCUGAGGGAAGGGGGCUGGAUCUACCGCACCAUCAUAGCACGGCGGCAUCUCUAGUUGGAACUUGGGCGGCCACUGCACCUACCGCAGGGAGAGAGUGAAGCAGCGCAGCCCUGGCGCUUCUCCAGGAACAUGCGCCGACGGGGCCGACGGAGGAGCGCCUGCCAUGGGGGUCGGCGGCACGAUCUAGAGGUCGAUGAAGAGGAUUGCGACGCACCCCUACCGGGCGCGCCUAAUGUCGGAUUUAGGGAUCCGGCAACCCUUGAGAGGUUUGAACUCUAGGGUGCGUGCGGAUAUCUCAACCUGCCCAGCCUGCCUACUCGCGAUCCUCCCUAUCCUAGUGCGUCGAGCUUGUAGAGACACAAAGACACAGAGAUUUAUACUGGUUCGGGCCACCAUUGUGGUGUAAUACCCUAAUCCAGUGUGGUGUGGUGGAUUGCCUCGAGGGGCUAUGGAUGAACUAGUACAAAGGAUGAACAAGCCUGGGGAGGUGAGGUGUUCUUGAGCUGGUGUGGUGCUCUCGUUGGAAUGGAUAUCCCCCUCCUAUGGUGGUGGCUAAGUCCUAUAUAUAGUCGCCUUGGUCCUCUUCCCAAAUAUGAGCGGGAAGGGAUUCCACAAAGGCGGGAUUUGAAAGGGGACAAGUAGUAUAGUCUAUCGUGACAAAAGUAGUCUUCGCCUGCAAAAAGCCUCUUGUCGUGAAGCUGCGGUGGGCUCGGUGGUGACCUCCGUCCUGCCGUCCUGGCGGUCUUGGUCUUGUUGCACAAGAAUGGAAACCUUUUGCUGAUUCCUCGGGACUCCACGCCUUUGGCUUGCCUCCCUUGCACCAAAGAGGAAACCUGCGCUCUGCACCCGCCUGGCGCUCGCCUGGCCUUGGUCGUCACGGCUCACGUCAGCUGAGCCUCAUGAGAUAGCUGCAUAGAACUCUCCGCCCCUCAGGAGCCCUCCUGAGGAGGCCAACUCCUUCGGGGGUCUUGGCAUCGUCUGCCUCACGAGUCAUGGCCCCUCGCGAGGGUCUCAUGUUGUUGAUGUUGAAGCUGGGCCGUACCAGGCCGUCGACGGAGCCACGCGGUGGGACGCAGGCAAGCAGGACUGGAUACCCCCAAGUCCAGGACGCCGACAAAAAUCAUUAGGGGUAAGAGGUGCAUCAUUCUUGGGAAUUAGUGUGAUAAAUGAAGUAUUUAUACUCUCAAGAGAGAUAUUCCCAGCAUGAAAAGCAUGAAUGAGAUGUCUGACAUCAGUUCCUAUGAUGUCCCAAAAAGCUUUUAAAAUGUCAUUAUUAAAUCCAUCAGGCACAGGAGACUUGUCAGUAGGAAGUUCUUUGACAACAUUAUUAAUUUCAUCAUUUAUAAAAGGUCUUUCAAUGUCUCUGAAAAUAUCUGGGCUCCUCUGCUGUCCAAGUAGGUUUUGCAGAUCAAAAUGCAUGGAGUGCCCCUUGAUACGUCCAUUUUUCAUCAUGCUUUUAUAUCGAUAUUUAUUGCAUUAUGGGCUGUUGUUACACGUUAUGUCACAAUACUUAUGCCUAUUCUCUCUUAUUUUACAAGGUUUACAUGAAGAGGGAGAAUGCCGGCAGCUGGAAUUCUGGGCUAGAAAAGGAGCAAUUAUUAGAGACCUAUUUUGCACAACUCCAAAAGUCCUGAAACUCUACGAAAGAUGUUAUUGGAAUUAAUAAAAAAUAUUGGGCGAAGAAAGUACCAAAGGGGGCCCACACCCUGGCCAUGAGGGUGGGGGUGCGCCCUACCCCCUGGGCGCGCCCCCCUGCCUCGUGGGCCCCCUAGCAGGCCUCCGAUGACCAUCUUCUGCUAUAUGAAGUCUUUUACCCGGGAAAAAAUCAUAGGCAAGCUUUCGGGAAGAAACUCCGCCACCACGGGGCGAAACCUUGGCGGAACUAAUCUAGGGCUCUGGCGGAGCUGUUCUGCCAGGGAAACAUCCCUCCGGGAGGGGGAAAUCAUCAUCAUCAUCAUCACAAUCGAUCCUCUCAUCGGGGCGGGGUCAAUCUUCAUCAACAUCUUCACCAGCACCAUCUCCUCUCAAACCCUAGUUCAUCUCUUGUAUCCAAUCUUUGUCCCAAAACCUCAGAUUGGUACCUAUGGGUCACUAGUAGUGUUCAUUACUCCUUGUAGUUGAUGCUAGUUGGUUUAUUUGGUGGAAGAUCAUAUGUUCAGAUCCUUUAUGCAUAUUAAUACCCCUCUGAUUAUGAACAUGAAUAUGAUUUGUGAGUAGUUACAUUUGUUCCUGAGGAUAUGAGAGAAGUCUUGCUAUAAGUAGUCAUGUGAAUUUGGUAUUCGUUCGAUAUUUUGAUGAGAUGUAUGUUGUCUCUCCUCUAGUGGUGUUAUGUGAACAUUGACUACAUGACACUUCACCAUUGUUUGGGCGUAGAGGAAGGCAUUGGGAAGUAAAAAGUAGAUGAUGGGUUGCUAGAGUGAUAGAAGCUUAAACCCUAGUUUAUGUGUUGCUUCGUAAGGGGCUGAUUUGGAUCCAUAUGUUUCAUGCUAUGGUUAGGUUUACCUUGAUACUUCUUUUGUAGUUGCGGAUGCUUGCAAUAGGGGUUAAUCAUAAGUGUCAUUCUUGUCCAAGAAAGGGCAGUACCCAAGCACCGGUCCACCCACAUAUCAAAUCAUCAAAGUAACGAACGUGAAUCAUAUGAGCGUGAUGAAAACUAGCUUGACGAUAAUUCCCAUGUGUCCUCAGGAGCGCUUUUCUAUACAUAAGAAUUUGUCCAGGCUUGUCCUUUGCUACAAAAGGGAUUGGGUCACCCUGAUGCAAUUUAUUUACUUUCAUUACUUGUUACCCGUUUCGAAUUACCUUAUCACAAAACUAUCUGUUACCGAUAAUUUCAGUGCUUGCAGAGAAUACCUUACUGAAAACCGCUUGUCAUUUCCUUCUGCUCCUCGUUGGGUUCGACACUCUUACUUAUCGAAAGGACUACGAUAGAUCCCCUAUACUUGUGGGUCAUCAAGACUCUUUUCUGGCGCCAUUGUCGGGGAGUGAAGCGCCUUUGGUAAGUGGAACUUGGUAAGGAAAAAUUCAUAUAGUGUGCUGAAAUUUGCUGUCACUUAUUACUAUGGAACAUAAUCCUUUGAGGGGCUUGUUCGGGGUAUCUUCACGCCGACCAAUAGAGCAAAGAGUUGCUCCUCAACCUACUGAACCUACUAAGAAUGUUUACUUUGAAAUUCCUUCGGGUAUGAUAGAGAAACUGCUAGCUAAUCCUUUUACAGGAGAUGGAACAUUGCAUCCCGAUUUGCACCUAAUCUAUGUGGAUGAAGUUUGUGGAUUAUUUACGCUUGAAGGUAUGUCCGAGGAUGUUAUCAAUAAGAAGGUCUUCCCUUUAUCUUUGAAGGGAGAGGCAUUGACAUGGUUUAGGCCAUGUGAUGAUAUGGGAUCAUGGAACUACAACCGAUUGAAAUUGGAAUUUCAUCAGAAGUUUUAUCCUAUGCAUCUUGUUCAUCGUGAUCGUAAUUAUAUAUAUAAUUUAUGGCCUCAUGAAGGAGAAAGCAUCGCUCAAGCUUGGGGGUGGCUUAAGUCAAUGUUAUAUUCAUGGCCCAAUCAUGAGCUCUCAAGAGAAAUGAUUCUUCAAAAAAUUUAUCCUCGGCUUUCUCUCAACACUCGCUCCAUGCUCGAUACUUCUUCUACUCGUUAUUUUAUGAUGAAGACUAUUGAAUUUAGAUGGGAUUUAUUGGAAAUAAUUAAUGGCAACUCUGAAGAUUGGGAUCUCGACGAAGGUAAGGAGCCAGGUAUGACACCUAAGUUUGAUUGUGUUAAAUCUUUUAUGGAUACCGAUGUUUUCCAUGAAUUUAGCACUAAAUAUGGACUUGACUCUGAUAUAGUAGCUUCUUUCCAUGAAUCAUUUGCUACUCAUGUUGACCUCCCUGAGGAGAAGUGGUUUAAAUAUAAUCCUCCCAUUGAAGUAAAAGUAGUUGCACCUAAUAAAGUUGAGGAAAGCAAUAUCACUUAUAAUGAUCAUGUUGUUCCUACUACCUAUAUUGAGAAACCACCUUUCCAUGUUAGGAUAAAGGAUCAUGCUAAAGCUUCAACUAUGGUUCAUAAGAGUAAUACUAGAACACCUACACCACCUGAGCAAAUUAAAGUUGAACCUAGUAUUGAUAUGGUUAAAGAUCUCUUGGCUGAUAAUUAUGAUGGGCAUGUUAUUUAUUUCUGUCAUGAAGCUGCUAGAAUUUCUAGACCUGAUACUAAAAAUAAACAUAGACCUGUUGUAGGCAUGCCUGUUAUUUCUGUUAAAAUAGGAGCUCAUUGUUAUCAUGGCUUAUGUGAUAUGGGUGCUAGUGCUAGUGCAAUACCUCAUUCCUUAUACAAAGAAAUUAUGCAUGAUAAUGCACCUACUGAGAUAUAAGAGAUUGAUGUUAAAAUUAAGCUUGCCAAUAGAGAUACUAUUUCACCAAUUGGGAUUGUUAGAGAUGUUGAAGUCUUGUGUGGGAAAGUUAAAUAUCCUGCUGAUUUUCUUGUUCUGGGUUCCCCACAAGAUAGUUUUUGUCCCACAUAUUUGGUAGACCCUUCUUGAAUACUGUUAAUGCUAAGAUAGAUUGCAAAAAGGAUAUUGUUACGAUUGGUUUAGGGGAUAUGUCUCAUGAGUUUAAUUUUGCUAAAUUUCGUAGACAACCCCAUGAUAAAGAAUUACCUAGUAAUGAUGAAAUUAUUAGUCUUGCUUCUAUUGCCGUGCCUCCUAAUGAUCCUUUAGAACAAUAGUUGCUAGACCAUGAAAAUGAUAUGUUUAUGAAUGAAAGAAGGGAGAUAGAUGAAGCAUUCUUUAAACAGGGACCUAUUUUGAAACACAACUUGCCUGUUGAAAUUCUAGGGGAUCCUCCACCACCCAAGGGUGCUCCCGUGUUUGAGCUUAAAGCACUACUUGAUACUCUUAAAUAUGCUUAUCUUGAUGAAAAGAAGAUAUAUCUUGUUAUUAUUAGUUCUAACCAUUCAGAGCAGGAAGAGGAGAAAUUAUUGAAAACUCUAAAUAAGCACCUUGCUGCUAUUGGAUAUACUCUUGAUAAUCUUAAGGGCAUUAGUCCCACUCUAUGUCAACACAAAAUAAAAUUGGAGAAAGACGCCAAACCAGUUGUUGAUCACCAACGACGGUUAAAUGCUAAGAUGAAAGAAGUGGUAAGAAAAGAAAUACUAAAGCUCCUGGAGGCAGGUAUAAUUUGUCCCGUUGCUGAUAGUUAGUGGGUAAGUCAUGUCCAUUGUGUCCUUGAGAAGGGAGGUCUUACUGUCGUUCCUAAUGAUAAAGAUGAAUUGAUCCCACAAAGAAUUGUUACAGGUUAUAGGAUUGUAAUUGAUUUCUGCAAAUUAAAUAAAGCUACUAGAGAGGAUCAUUACCCUUUGCAUUUUAUUGAUCAAAUGCUUGAAAGAUUAUCCAAACACACACAUUUUUGCUUUCUGUAUGGUUACUCUGGUUUCUCUCAAAUACCUGUGUCAAAAGAGGAUCAAGAAAAGACCACUUUUACUUGACCUUUCGGUACUUUUGCUUAUAGACGUAUGCCUUUUGGUCUAUGUAAUGCACCUACUCCCUUUGAAAGAUGCAUGAUGGCUAUAUUCUCUGACUUUUGUGAAAAGAUUGUUGAGGUUUUCAUGGAUAAUUUCGCCGUUUAUGGAUCUUCUUUUGAUGAUUACUUGAGCAACCUUGAUCGAGUUUUGCAGAGAUGCUAAGAUACAAGUCUUGUCUUUAAUUGGGAGAAGUGCCACUUUAUGGUUAAAGAAGGCAUUGUCUUGGGGCAUAAAAUUUCUGAAAGAGGUAUUGAAGUUCAUAAAGCUAAAAUUGAUGCUAUUGAAAAUAUGCCAUGUCCCAAGGACAUUGAAGGUAUAAGAAGUUUCCUUGGUCAUGCCGGUUUUUAUAGGAGGUUCAUUAAGGACUUCUCUUUAAUUUCUAGGCCUCAGACUAAUCUCUUACAAAAAGAUAUGCCUUUUGUCUUCGAUGAUGAUUGUGAAGAAGCAUUUGAAAUACUUAAGAAAGCUUUGAUUUCAGCACCUAUUGUUCAGCCACCUGAUUGGAAUUUACCCUUUGAAAUUAUGCGUGAUGCUAGUGAUUAUGCCGUAAGUGCUGUUCUAGGACAAAGAGUUGAUAAGAAACUAAAUGUUAUUGAAUAUGCUAGUAAAACUCUACACAGUGCCCAGAGAAAUUAUGCUACUACUGAAAAAUAAUUUUUAGGAGUUGUAUUUGCUUGUGAUAAGUUCAGACCUUAUAUUGUUAUUCUAAAGUAACUGUUCACACUAAUAAUGCUGCUAUUAAAUAUCUUAUGGAAAAGAAAGAUGCUAAACCUAGACUUAUUAGAUGGGUUCUCUUGCUACAAGAAUUUGAUUUGCAUAUUAUUGAUAGAAAGGGAGCUGAGGACCCUGUUGCAGACCACUUUUCUAGGUUAGAGAAUGUUCUUGAUGACCCACUACCUAUUGAUGAUAGCUUUCCUGAUGAACAAUUAGCUGUCAAAAAUGCUUCUCGUACUCCUCCUUGGUAUGCUGAUUAUGCUAAUUACAUUGUUGCUAAAUUUAUACCACCUAGUUUCACAUACCAGCAAAAGAAAAAGUUUUUCUAUCAUUUAAGACAUUACUUCUGGGAUGACCCACACCUUUAUAAAGUAGGAGUAGAUGGUGUUACUAGACAUUCUGUACCUGAGCAUGAACAGGAACAGAUCCUACGCAAGUGUCACUCGAGGCUUAUGGAGGACACCACGCUGGAGAUAGAACUGCGCAUAAGGUAUUGCAAUCCGGUUUUUAUUGGCCUACUCUCUUCAAGGAUGCUCGUAAUUUUGUCUUGUCUUGUGGUGAAUGUCAAAGAAUUGGUAAUAUUAGUAGACGUCAAGAAAUUCCUAUGAAUUAUUCUCUUGUUCUUGAGCCAUUUGAUGUUUGGGGCUUUGAUUAUAUGGGACCGUUUACUUCCUCUAAUGGGUAUACACAUAUUUUAGUUGUUGUUGAUCAUGUUACGAAGUGGGUAGAAGCUAUUCCAACUAGUAGUGCUGAUCAUAACACCUCUAUUAAGAUGCUUAAAGAAGUUAUUUUUCUGAGGUUUGGAGUCCCUAGAUACCUAAUUACUGAUGGUGGUUCACAUUUUAUUCAUGGUGCUUCUCGUAAAAUGCUUGCUAAAUAUGAUGUUAAUCAUAGAAUUGCAUCUCCAUAUCACCCACAGUCUAGUGGCCAAGUAGAACUGAGUAAUAGAGAGCUCGAAUUAAUAUUGCAAAAGACUGUUAAUAGAUGUAGAAAGAAUUGGUCCAAGAAACUUGAUGAUGCAUUAUGGGCUUACAGAACUGCAUAUAAAAAUCCUACGGGUAUGUCUCCAUAUAAAAUGGUUUAUGGAAAAGAAUGUCACUUACCUCUCACACUGGAACAUAAGUCAUAUUGGGCCAUUAAAGAGCUCAAUUAUGAUUUCAAACUUGCCGAUGAGAAGAGGUUAUUUGACAUUAGCUCACUUGAUGAAUGAAGAACUCAAGCCUAUGAGAAUGCCAAAUUGUUUAAAGAAAAAGUUAAAAGAUGGCAUGACAAAAGGAUACAAAAGCGUGAGUUUAAUGUAGGAGAUUAUGUGUUGCUAUUCAACUCUCGUUUAAGAUUUUUUGCAGAAAAACUCCUCUCUAAAUGGGAAGGGCCUUACGUUAUCAAGGAGGUCUAUCGGUCCGGUGCCAUAAAAAGCAACAACUUUGAAGGCACAAAUCCGAAGGUGGUGAACGGUCAAAGAAUCAAACAUUAUAUCUCAGGUAAUCUUAUAAAUGUUGAAACUAAUGUUAUUGAAACUGUAACCCCGGAGGAAUAAAUAAGGGACACUUUCCAAAACAUUUCAGACUCCGAAAAGGAAUAGGUAUGUGGUACGGUAAGUAAACCGUCUCCAAAACAGUUCAAAUAGCAAUUUUUCUUCGAUUUGGAAUAUUUAAGAAAAUAGGAAAAUAAGAAGUAGUCCGGGAAGGACAUGAGGCAUCCACGAGGGUGGAGGACGCGCCCUACCCCCCCCUGGGCGCGCCCCUGCCUCGUGGGCACCUCGUGUGCUCUCCGGACUCCAUUUUCUUGCACGAUACUUCUUUUGGUCGGUAAAAAUUCAUUCUAUAAUCUCGUGAAGGUUUUGACCAUCGUAUCAUGCAAAUAUCAUUUGUCUUUGUUUCAAGCUAUUUUUUCUGACAUAUCUAGAUCACCAUAGCAUCUUCAAGCGCCCCCAAGGACAAGUUUUUUGAGAAGGUUAUCAACCCCUACCUCGCGGAGGUGCUGCAACACCCUAAAAUCAUUGAGAUGCUUGAGGGGGUGCUGCACAUCCUGCGAUGUUGAGGGACCAAGGAGGACCGGAAGUGUUGUGACAAGACUUGAAGCAAUGGAACAACAAGUAUUCAAGUGCCAAGGGAUGGUGGAUCGCGGGCUCAAAGCCAACCAGAUGAUGAUCGCGGAGUUCACCAACAACCACAAGCUGGAUGCCAAGAACAUUGGGGAGACCAUUUUCAAGCUUCAUGAGAAAAUCGAGCACCUCCAAGCCCAGAUCUAUGACCUGCAAAACCAAAACUGUGAGUAUGAAUAUAGAUUCAAGAGGAUGAGUUUGGCUGCAGAUUUGAGGAUCCCGGAGACUCGAUCAUCCUUCUAUGAUGGUGAGCCUAUGCCUUGGAAGAUGGAUGACAAGCCUACAUCAUCAACAACUCCAUCAUCACCACCUUCAAAGAAAGAAACAUAAUCACAUGCGUAUGGGCACCCCCCUUGGCAACUGCCAAGCUUAGGGGAGGUGCCCCGGUAUCGUAUAAUCAUCACACUCCUAUCUUUACCGUUUUUCUUAGUUCGAUCCUUUUGGUAAUAUCUUGAUCUAGUAGAAUAAAUUUUUGGCAUGAUUUAGUUUUGAGUUUUGCUUUUAUGACUCCUCUAUGUAAUCGAGUCCGUGAGCUAUAUAUAAUAAAGAUUAGUGUUGAGUCAAGGGCUUGAUUAUCUUACUUUGAUCUUGAGGGAAUAAAAAUAAAAAGAAAUAAAAGAGAUCAUAUUGAUCUUAUGGAGAGUAAUGACUUUACAUAUUAAGAGUAUGAUAAAUAAAACUUGUUGAGAGUUGGCAAACAUAGUUUUGAUCAUCGUUGCAAUUAAUAGGAAGUUAUAAAGAAAGAGAGGUUUUCACAUAUAAUUACACUAUCUUGGACAUCUUUUAUGAUUGUGAGAACUCAUUAAAAUAUGACAUGCUAAAGAGUUGAUGUUGGACAAGGAAGACAACAUAAUGGGUUAUGUUUUCUUAUAUCCGAAAUAAAGUAUAUUGUCAUGGAUCAUCCAACAUGUUGAGCUUUCCUUUCCCCCUCAUGCUAGCCAAAUUCCUUGCACCAAGUAGAGAUACUACUUGUGCUUCCAAAUAUCCUUAAACCGAGUUUUGCCAUGAGAGUACACCAUACCUACCUAUGGAUUUAGUAAGAUACUUCAAGUAAGUUGUCAUGUUGCAUGCAAUAAAAAUAGCUCUCUAAAUAUGUAUGACUUAUUAGUGUGGAGAAAAUAAGCUUUAUACGAUCUUGUGAUAUGGAAGCAAUAAAAGCGACGGACUGCAUAAUAAAGGUCCAUAUCACAAGUGGCAAUAUAAAGUGAUGUUCUUACCAUAAAAGCACAUGACAACCUCUGCUUCCCUCUGCGAAGGGCCUAUCUUUUACUUUUGUCGUACAUUAUGCAAGAGUCAUGGUGAUCUUCACCUUUCCUUUUUACAUAUUAUUGUUUGAAAGAUCCUGAUAUAUAUCCAAUUGGGUGUAAGUUAGCAUGAAUUAUUAUUGUUGAUAUUACCCUUCAGGUAAAAGGUUGGGAGGCAACAGUAUAAGCCCUAUCUUUCUUUGUGUCCGACUAAAACUUCAUUACCCAUAAGUAUUGCGUGAGUGUUAGCAAUUAUGGAAGACAAAAUGAUAGUUGAGUAUGUGGACUUGCUGAAAAGCUCUUAUUGACUCUUUCCUAUGUUAUGAUAAAUUGCAAUUGCUUCAAUGACCGAGAUCAUAGUUUGUUGGUUCUCAAUGAAGUUUCUGAUUCAUACUUGACAUUGUGAAUAGAUUGUUACUUGAGCAUAAGAAAUCAUAUGACUAUAUAUAUAUAUAUAUAUAUAUAUAUGUUGCUGUUAUAAGAAUGAUGAUGAUGCCAUCAUGUCUGUAUUUUAUUUUAUCGACACCUCUAUCUCUAAACAUGUGGACAUAUUUUUCGAUUUCGGCUUCCGCUUGAGGACAAGCGAGGUCUAAGCUUGGGGGAGUUGAUACGUCCAUUUUGCAUCAUGCUUUUAUACCCUGUUCAAGAAUUCAUCCGAUUAAGCAGUUAACUUGCCGAUUAAUCCCUACUUGUAGGGUCACCGAGUAGCCGAUAAACUGAUAAGUCGUCCGAUUAAUUGAAUAAAUGGCCGAUUAACUUGCCGAUUAGCCUAUUAAUCCCCUACUCGCGAGCCAACCGAGCAGCUACCAGUUAAUGAUUUCCUCAGUAAUGCUUUUAUAUCGAUAUUUAUUGCAUUAUGGGUUGUUGUUACAUGUUAUGUCACAAUAAUUAUGCCUAUUCUCUCUUAUUUUACAAGGUUUACAUGAAGAGGGAGAAUGUCGGCAGCAGGAAUUCUGGGCUAGAAAAGGAGCAAAUAUUAGAGACCUAUUCUGCACAACUCCAAAAGUCCUAAAACUCCACGAAAGAUGUUUUUGGAAUUAAUAAAAAUAUUGGGCGAAGAAAGUACUAGGGGGGGCCCACACCCUGGCCACGAGGGUGGGGGCGCGCCCCCCUGCCUCGUGGGCCCCUUGGCAGGCCUCCGGUGACCAUCUUCUGCUAUAUGAAGUAUUUUACCCUGGAAAAAAUCGUAAGCAAGUUUUCGGGAAGAAACUCCACCGCCACGAGGCGUAACCUUGGCGGAACCAAUCUAGGGCUCCGGUGGAGCUGUUCUGCCGGGGAAACAUCCCUCUGGAAGGGAGAAAUCAUCACCAUCGUCAUCACCAUCGAUCCUCUCAUCGGGAGGGGGUCAAUCUUCACCAACAUAUUCACUAGCACCAUCUCCUCUCAAACCCUAGUUCAUCUCUUGUAUCCAAUCUUUGUCCCAAAACCUCAGAUUGGUACCUGUGGGUCUCUAGUAGUGUUGAUUACUCCUUGUAGUUGAUGCUAGUUGGUUUAUUCGUUGGAAGAUCAUAUGUUCAGAUCCUUUAUGCAUAUUAAUACCCCUCCGAUUAUGAACAUGAAUAUGAUAUGUGAGUAGUUACGUUUGUUCCUGAGGACAUGGGAGAAGUCUUGCUAUAAAUAGUCAUGUGAAUUUGGUAUUUGUUCGAUAUUUUGAUAAGAUGUAUGUUGUCUCUCCUCUAGUGGUGUUAUGUGAACGUCAACUACAUGACACUUCACCAUUGUUUGGGCCUAGAGGAAGGCAUUGGGAUGUAAUAAGUACAUGAUGGGUUGCUAGAGUGACAGAAGCUUGAACCCUACUUUAUGUGUUGCUUCAUAAGGGGCUGAUUUGGAUCCAUAUGUUCCAUGCUAUGGUUAGGUUUACCUUAAUACUUCUUUUGUAGUUGCGGAUGCUUGCAAUAGGGGUUAAUCAUAAGUGGGAUACUUGUCCAAGAAAGGGCAGUACCCAAGCACCGGUCCACCCAAAUAUCAAAUUAUCAAAGUAAUGAACGUGAAUCAUAUGAGUGUGAUGAAAACUAGCUUGACGAUAAUUGCCAUGUGUCCUCGGGAGCGCUUUUCUCUAUAUAAGAAUUUGUCUAGGCUUGUACUUUGCUACAAAAGGGAUUGGGCCACCUUGCUGCACUUUAUUACUUUCAUUACUUAUUACUCAUUAUGAAUUACCUUAUCACAAAACUAUCUAUUACCGAUAAUUUCAGUGUUUGCAGAGAAUACCUUACUAAAAACCGCUUGUCAUUUCCUUCUGCUCCUCGUUGGAUUCGACACUCUUACUUAUCGAAAGGACUACAAUAGAUCCCCUAUACUUGUGGGUCAUCAAGACUCUUUUCUGGCGCCGUUGCCGGGGAGUCCUAAUCUCUUUCUAAAAGCUUCCCAAAAGCUUCAUCAAGACUCUUUUCUGGCGCUAUUGUCGGGGAGUCCUAAUCUCUUUUUAAAAGCUUCCCAAAAGAUGCCAGCUUUACCCUCAUGGUCUGUUAUUUCAAUAUGCUCAUCAUUAAGAAGCAUGGCUAUUUUAUUAUGCCUAUAGUUGAUAGAAUCUCUUGUGUGGAAAAACUUGGAAUUAUCAUCUCCAAAUUUAACUCCUUUGAUCUUCCCUCUCUGCUUCCAAAAUAUUUUUUGGUUUUUUAAAAGAAUCAACAGUUGGUCCUUAAGUAACUUUCUGCAGUUCUAUUCCAAAGUGUCUAAUCUCCUGAAUUCCUCAAAGAAAUGCAAUAGGAAAAUGCAUUCAUUGAUGUCAGCUAUCUCCUUCUUCAGACAAGUUAAGGUUUUUACCCAUAAUUUCAGGCUCCUCCUUACAUUCUUGAAUUUUGCAUUGAUCAUUUUUGCAGGAUCUGUAAAUCCAUCAGAAAUUUCCCAAGCUGCCUUGACCACCUCCUUAAAAGGGCUAUGCUUCAACAAGAAUUUUGCAUUGAUCAUUUUUGCAGUAUACUCUUGUUCAUUAGGAUAAAAAUAUUAUUUUGCUUCCUAUGUGUCCUGAACACAUUUUGAAAGUUGAUAUUAAUAGACAUAGUAAAGCAAAAAAAGAGUGAAAAUCAUAUUGUGGCAAAAUAAUUUGAGUACCCAAUGAAGGCUAAUAACAAACCAUCAUCUCUUGUUGCGUUUGAAAUUAAAUUGAAAAGUGGAUGUUUACUUGUCACCAAAUCUAAUAUUCAUGAUCUAGAUUUCAUAAUAUCUAUUUGCUAUGCCUUUGUGUGCUAGGAGGCAUUAUUUUUAUGCAAGGACGUGCCCCCCUCUUUGCCACCAGCUGUCACUAACAUUUUGCAGGAGUUCGCUGACGUCUUUCCACAAGACAUGCCACCGGGAUUACCACCUAUUCGAGGGAUUGAGCAUGAGAUUGACUUAAUUCCUGGUGCAUCAUUGCCCAACCAUCCGCCAGACCAUACCAAUCAAGAGGAGAUGAAGGAGACUAUGCGUCAAGUACAGGAGCUGCUCGAGAAAUGUUAUAUAUGUGAAUCUCUUAGUCCAUGUGCUAUUCCUAUUAUACUAGUACCAAAAAAGUAUGGUACAUCGCGUAUGUGUGUUGAUUGUAGAUCCACAUUUCAUUAUCGUCAUCCUAUUUCUAGGCUAUAUGAUAUGCUUGAUGAUUUAAGUGGUUCUAACAUAUUCUCCAAACUUGAUUUGCAAACUGGAUACCAUCAAAUUCGCAUGAAAUUGGGAGAUGAAUGGAAAACUGCAUUUAAAACUAAGUUUCGUUGAUAUGACUGGUUAGUCAUGCCUUUUGGGUUAACUAAUGAGCCUAGUACUUUCAUCAGAUUAAUGAACAAUGUUUUAUGUGCCUUCAUUGGAUUAUUUGUUAGUCUAUUUUGAUGAUAUACUUGUUUAUAGCAGAUCUUUAGAGGAACAGUUGGAACAUUUCCAUGUUCUUUUUGUUACUCUACAUGAUGCACGUUUGUUUGGUACCCUUGGGAAGUGCACCUUUUGUAGCAACCGGGUAUAUUUUCUUGGCUAUGUUGUUACUCCGCCAGGCAUUUAGUUGAUAAAGCCAAGAUUAAAGCUAUUGAGAGUUAGCCGCGGCCCAAAACGGUCACACAACUAAGGUGGUUUCUUGGCCUCGCUGGUUUAUAUAGGCAUUUUUUGAGAGAUUUUAGUACCAUUACCGCACCUCUCAAUGAGCUUACAAAGAAGGAUGUGCUUUUUUGGGGGGUACGGCACAAGAAGAAUCCUUCACGGUAUUGAAAGAUAAGUUGACACAUGCUCCUUAUUCCAGCUUCCUGAUUUUAAUAAGACUUUUGAGCUUUAGUGUGAUGCUAGUGGAAUUGGAUUAGGAAGCGUGCCAUUACAAGAUAGUAAACUUGUUGCAUACUUCUUUGAAAAAUUGAGUGGGACUAGUCUGAAGUAUUUUACUUAUGAUAAAGAAUUAAAUGCUCUUGUUUGGAUUUUAGAAACAUGGCAACAUUAUUUAUGGCCUCAAGAAUUUGCUAUACAUUCUGAUCAUGAAUAUUUAAUCGUAUUAAAAGUCAAGCAAAACUGAAUUGUAGACAUGUAAAUGGGUUGAAUUCAUUGAUACUAUCCCUUAUGUCAUUAAACACAAGAAGGGUAAAGAAAAUAUUAUUGUUGAUGUAUUGUCUCGUCACUAUAUCAUGCUUUCACAACUUGACUUGAAAUAUUUGGUUUGGAGACCAUCAAAGAUCAAUAUGUGCAUGAUUCUUGAUGUAUACUACACAACUUAUUCUUGUAGACUCGUGUUGGGCCUCCAAGCACAGAGUUUUGUACGACAGUAGAAAUUUUCCCUCAAGUGGAUGACCUAAGGUUUAUCAAUCUAUGGGAGGCAUGGGAUGAAGAUGGUUUCUCUCAAACAACCCUGCAAUUAAAUACAGGAAAUCUCUUGUGUCCCCAACACACCCAAUACAAUAUCAAAUUGUAUAGAUGCAAUAGUUCAGCGAAGAGAUGGUGAUACAAGUGUACUAUGGAUAGUAUAUAUAGGAUUUUCUUAUAGGAAAACAUAAAAACAGGAAGGUAGCAAGUAACAUAAGUGAGCAAAAACGGUAUUGCAGUGCUUAAAAACGAGUCCUGGGGUUUAUAAUUUCACUAGUGCUAUCUCUCAAAAGUGCUAACAUAAUUUAAUCAUAUAAUAAUCCCUCAACGUGUGACAAAGAGUCACUCCAAAGUUCUUAUCUAGUAGAGAACAUAAGAUGAAAUUGUUUUAGGGUACGAAACCGCCUCAAAGUUAUCUUUUUCCGAUCAAUCUAUUGAGCAUCCCUAUAAGUAUCACAAACAGCCCUAGAAUUCAUACUAAAACAACAAUAUAUGAUACACAUCAACGAACUCUAAUGUGACCUAGAUACUCCAAUGUCACCACAGGUAUCUGUGAGUCGAUUAUUCGAUAUGCAUCAAACAACUUCAGAUUCAUAAUAUUCAAUCCAACAUAAAGAACUUCAAAGAGUGCCCCAAGGUUUCUGGGAAAGAAGGGCAAAAAUGUGUAUCAACCCCUGUGCAUAGAUUACCCCAAUUUCACGAUACUCCACAAGUUGAAUACCAAAACAUACAUCAAGUGAAUCAAUAGAGCACCCAUUGUCACCAUGGGUAUCCAUAUGCAAGACAUACAUCAAGUGUUCACAAAUCCAAAAAUUAUUCAAUCUGAUAAAAGUGACACCUCAAAGGUAAAAACUCAGUUCAUCACAACAAGAAAGAGAGGGAGAAACACCAUAUGAUCAAACUAUAUUAACAAAGCUCGUGGUACAUCAAGAUCGUGCCAAAUCAAGAACACAAGAGAUAAAGACAGAUCAAACACAUAGCUACUGGUACAUACCCUCAGCCCCUUGUGUGAACUACACCCUCCUCAUCAUGAAUGCCGCCGGAAUGAUGAAGAUGGCCUACGGUGAUGACUUCCCCCUCUGGCAGGGUGCUGGAAUAGGGCUACAGAUGAGAUCACUUUAGUACAAAGGCUUACGACAUCGGAGCGGAAGUUCUAGGUUUCUUUCUUUGGUUUUUGGUAUUUAUAGGAAUUUUUGGCGAUAGUUUCACGUUAAUGGGCCCACAAAGGAGCAACAAGCCUGACCAGUACGCCCUAGCGGUUGGGCACACCCCCAGGCAUGUCGCUUCCUCAUCAGGCUUCUAGUCCUUCCUCGAAGCUUCGGGGUUCUAUUUUGGUCCACAAAAAUUCACCAUAAAUUUUCAGCCCAUUCUGAGAAAUUUUGUUUCUGCACAAAAAACAACACCAUGGUAGUUCUGCUGCAAACAACAUCAGUCCGGGUUAGUUCCACUGAAAUCAUACUAAAACCAUAUAAAAUUGUUGUAAACAUGGCAUGAAUACUUCAUAAAUUAUAGAUACGUUUGAGACGUAUCCGCAUCCCCAAGCGUAAUUCAUGCUUGUCCUCGAGUAGAUAAAUGAUAAAAGAAAUAAUUUAUGAAGUGUGAAUGCUAGCAUAGUGCACAAUGUUGAUCAAUGAUAAUUUCAAUCACUUUUUCUAGCAUCAUAACAACAAAUUUUUCUCAUAAAACUCAUCAUGAUAAAGUAGCAAUCAAUUCACAUGUUAUGGUUAAAACAAUUCAUUCCCUUGAAACUUAACAACAUAUGUUCUUAGUCACCAAACAAUUGCAAUUCAACUUAUUUUCAACAAAGUCUAAGUAAGAGCUCCACAUACUCAGUUAUCAUAUAGUCUUCUAUGAUUGCUAGUACUCAAACAUAUUUUUAGAAAAAAUAGUAUUCACCGAACAUAGAGAAAGAUAGGGGCUUAAUGUUUCGCCUCCCAACUCAUUUAUCAUAGAGAUAAUUUUCAACAAUAAUAAUUCAUGGUAAAAUAUAUUUAAAUGGCCAUAUAUGCCUAUAUCUUUCACCACCACAUGAUGAUUUCCAGCUAAACAAUAGGUAGGAAUAAGAAAUUGACUCAACAAAAAUAAAAUUAACAGAAAAGUAAAAGAUAAGCACUUCGCAGAGGGAAGCAUGGAUUUGUAGAGGUGCCAGAGCUCGAAGCUUAAAACGGAGAUGAAUAUAAUUUUGAGAGGUAUGUCUUUCCUUUCAACGUCACGACCGAUAAUUCUCAAUAUCUUCCAUGCUAAACACAUUAUAGGCGGUUCCCAAACGGAAAGUUAAAGUUUACACCCCCCACAACCAUUCAAACACAAGCCAUGUCUACCAAAAUCCUUGGGUGCCCUCCAUACCAAGUUUCUGGGGGAGUUCGUGUCGUUAUUUUUCAUUUUCAUCAUAGGAAAGGGCAUCCCAAUUACCAUCCUCUCUCGUGCAAUGACAAGUGAAUAAACACCCAUCAUGAGAAUAACCCGCUUAGCGUGGAAGAUAUUGACCACCCCCUGCCACUUCAUGAGUGGUAUGGGCACACAAAACAUAUGCCUAUUUUAAGAUUUAGAAAUGGCCCAUGUAAAUUUACUUGGAACGACAGAGUAAUACCAUAUAUAGGUAGGUAUGGUGGACACUCAUGGAAGAAACUUCGCUCAAGGCUUUUGGAUGCACAAGAAAUAUUCCCGAGUACAGAAAUUUUGGCUAGCAAAAGAUUCUAAACAAGCACCGCAUGUUGGAGGAUCCACAACAAUAUAACUUUGAUGCAAAUAUACACAAACAUAACUUAUUAAGUUGUCUUCCUUAUCCAACUUCAACUAAUUUUCUCAAGUGGAAAUAUUUAAUGGGCAUUCACAAUCAUAAAAGAUGUCUAAGAUAAUAUAUUUGUAUGUGAUUGUUCUCUUCCAUACACUAUCUUUCAUGAAUUGCUAGUCGGCGUUCUAGGACCGGGGGUGCCACAUCCCUCUGCCUGCAGUUUAGCGCGUGGCUCCAUUGAUGGCCUAGUACGGCCCAACUCCAAGGCUUCACGAGCAAGACCCCCAUAAGUGCAGCCCGCCUCGCGAGGCGAACGACAUCAAGGCCUCCCGAGGAGCAGCCUCCCGGGGUUGUCUCCCGAGAAGCACAUAUCUCUAGGCAAGCGUCCCACCUAGCGAGGCGCGCGAUGAUGUGAGCCAUGACGACCAAGGCCAGGCAGGCGCCAGCGGAUGUAGUAGAGGAAAGUUUCCUAUUUGGUGCUAAGGAGGCAAAGACGUAUGCGAGUUCCCGAGGAAUACCCGAAAGGUUUCCAUUUUAGUGCAACAAGAGCAAGACCACGAGCUUGGUAGGACGGAGGUCAUCACCGAGCCCACCAUUGCGUCAUGACCGGAAGCUUUGCAGGCGAAGACCACCUUUAGUCGGGAUAAGGUGUACACAUGUCCCCUUUCAAAUUGGCCAUUGUGGUAUCCCUUCCUGCCUAAGCUAUGAGGGAAGAGGACCAAGGCCACUAUAAAUAUAGGUUAGUCUCCAUCAUAGAGAAGGAUCGAUCCCUUAGGCCAUUGAUCUCUCCUGAGGCAGCUCGCACUUGUACUAGUUCAUACUCAUCCGCCUCGCGAGGCAAUCCACCAGGAAGCUGGAGUAGAGUUUUACACCACAAGGUCGACCGAACCUGAGUAAACUACUAUGUCCACUUCCCCUUCGCGCUCGCUCGAACCCGACAAGGUCAAGCCAUGAGGCAGUGAGCAGAGAGUUGUAGCUUGGCAAGAUCCUUUACACAUGGCCCAAAGUUCGAACCUUGAUUGGGUUUGCAGAGCCUUGAUUCUGACAUUUGGUGCACCGAUAGGGGCAUGUCAAAGUUCUUCCUUCUGCUUCACUCCUCCUUGCCUCAUCAUACCCAUGGAGGACGCCGUCCACCCUGCCGCUUGAUCCGUUGUUCCCGGGAAUGCCGCGGGUUGCCCGACUUUCAUUCCUGACCUACGCAGGGUGUAGUGGCUGGUAAGGUUUAGGCCGAUGUUGCCCCCAUGCUAUGACGGCGCGGCCGACCAUGAGGAGUUCCUCCACUAUAUGCCCAUGGCAUCUUGGCAGGGGUGGCAACGACAAGGCCAUGGCGAACUGGCUCCCUCUGGCCCUCAUGAAAGCUCCAGGUUCUUGGCUUCAUGGCCUCCCAGAGGCCUCAGUGUCCUCUAGGGAAGAGCUCUGCAGUCAGUUCGUCACGCGCUUCAUGGCUCUGGGGCCCCACGCGAUCGUGUGCAUCCUCGGCGGGUCACAAGCGCCUGCAUCCGGUCGCCACGCCAAGCACCUCUUCCCAAGGCGCCGGCCUCAAUGUCCUCUCUGUCGUAACCUUUGAGAUGCUUGAAGUGCCUUAUGCCCAGCUCCUUCCCACUAGGCCGUUCUCUGGAGUAACAAGGGGCUCUGCCACUCCCGUGGGGUAGGUGCGCCUCCCGGUCACCUUGGUACCUGCACCAACUACCACACCAAGUUGAUCGACUUCGGCGUGGCUCGCAUCGGCCUCCCUUACAAUGCCAUCUUGGGGUACCCUGCUCUCGCCAAGUUCAUGGCAGUGACCCACCCAAGCUACAACGUUGUCAAAAUGCCUAGCAGUGGCGGCAUUGUCACCGUGACCGGGGAAAGGAAGGAUGCGGUUCGAGCACUCAAGCUCACCUAUGAGAUCAUGGCGGCCUCAUGCACGGACAUCAAAGGAACCCAGCAGGCUCCGGAGGCCACGCCCGCGAGGAAGAAGCAGUUGUUUUCCCAGGACCGCGCUGAGACAAAGGAGGUGCCCGUCAACGAUGCCAACUCGGGUGUCACUUUCACCAUCAGCACUGGCCUACCCACGGAACAGGAGAAGGCGCUCGUCCGCUUCCUCCGGGUGAACAAGGACGUGUUCUCCUGGAAGGCGUCUGACCUGAUCGGCAUCCCGACGGAGGUAAUGGAGCACCACCUAGUGAUGUGCCCCAAUGCUCGUCUGGUGAAGCAGAAGGCACGACGUCAGAAGCAGGAAAAGCGGGCAUUCAUUGUCCAAGAAGUGCGCAAGCUACAUGAAGCCGGAGUCAUACGAGAGGUGCGGCAUCCGGAGUGGCUCACCAACCCAGUGGUCGUUCCCAAGAAGGCCGGACAAGAGCGCAUGUGUGUCAACUUCACGAGCCUCAACAAGGCAUGUCCUCAGGACCCUUUCUCGCUCCCAUGCAUCGACCAGAUCAGGGACUCUACUACAGAGUGUGGUAUGUAGUGAUUUUUGCAUGCAUUCUCGGGCUAUCACCAGAUCAAGAUGGCGGUGGAGGAUGUCGAGAACACGGCCUUCAUCUCCCCGUGCAGCGUAUACUGCUACACCUACAUGCCCUUCAGGCUGAGAAGCGCUGGCGCCACCUUCCAGGGACUGAUGCACAUCAAAUUGGGGCCACAGCUGGGGAGAAAUGCGGAGGCAUACUUCAAUGACAUUGUGGUCAAAUCGCGUGUGGCGAGAACCCUAGUCAAGGACCUGGAACAAACAUUCACCAACCUGCGCAGAGUGAACCUGAGGCUUACCCAGAGAAGUGUGUUUUUGGGGUCCCAUCCGGCAAGCUGCUCGGCUUUCUUGUCUCGCAUCGAGGGAUAAAAGCCAACCCCAAGAAGGUCAAGGCUAUUCAAAGGAUGCACCCUCCUCAGAACCUCAAGGAAAUGCAGAAGUUGGCAGGGUGUGUAACCUGCCUAGAGCACUUCAUAUCCAAGCUGGGCAAGCGCGCAUUGUCGUUCUUCAAGCUGAUGAAGAAAAAAGGUCCUUUCAAGUGGAUCUCAAAAGAGGAGGCAGCCUUCGAAGAUUUCAAAAGGUACCUCAGCAGCCCGCCUGUCAUUGUGGCGUCGUGCUUCCACGAGCCCUUGGUGCUCUACUUGGCAGCCACCCCGCAUUCGUCCAGCGCAGCACUCGUGGUGGUCCAGGAGGAACAUGUCAGCACCCAGGGAAGGCUCAACAGCCCGUGCAGGUCAUGAAGCCCCCUAAUCCAUCGUCGCUGCAAGUCGGCGCCACUAAGGGUCCUACCCCUCUGUCGCCCGACGAGGCCCCCGGGCCCCACGCGCCCCGUGCGAAGCAGGUCGCCGCCGAUGCCCCAUGCCUCGUCGAGCACCCGGUGUACUUUGUCAGCACUGUGUUAUGGGAUGGGCGUGCGCUACCCUAUGUAGCAGAAGCUCCUCCUCGUGCUCCUGGUCGCUUCUGGGAAGUUGCGCCAUUAUUUCCAAGGCCACCUCAUUAAGGUUGUGUCUGCAUACCCACUAGAAAAGGUGUUGCACAGCCCCAACACUUCAGGCAGAGUCACCGAGUAGAACAUCGAGCUGCAAGCCUUCUAGCAGGAAUUCAGUACGACCAGGGUAAUCAAGGGAGCGGCGUUUGCCGACUUUGUGGCAGAAUGGACGGAUACAUACUACUAGGAGCCAUGCGAGGACUGAUACCUUGCUUCGGGCGAUGAGGCGCCCGACAGCUGGGUCAUGUACUUCGACAAAGCCUUCGUGCGGUGCACCCCGGGAGCCGGGGUCAUGCGCGUUUCCCCGACCGAAGACAACCUCUACUACACCAUCCAGCUUUGCUUCCAAUGCGGCUAGAAGUCUCCAAAAAUUUCAUGGAGUACGAGGUCUUGAUCGCCAGGCUCGAAGCUACAACCGCCCUGGGGGUCAAGCGCCUCACCAUCAAGGGCGGUUCCCAGCUCCUAAUCAACUUCUCCAACAAGGAGUACAAGCCGAAGGACGAGCACAUGGCGGCAUACUUGGAGGAUGUACAUAAAAUUGAAAAGCGAUUCUCGGGCUUGGAGUUGCAGCACAUCCCGCAAGGUGCAAACAAAGAAGCGGACGACAUCACCAAGCAGGCAUCACACCGCGAGCCCCAAAGCCCUGGCAUAAUUGAGGAAGGGCUCUUCAGGCCAUCAGUCGCACCACCGUCGGCAGGCACAAUGCUGCCUCAGGAGGACCUGUCUCCCGCGCCGCUCAUAGGUGCCCCGGCCUGCGGCCCAACCUCAGGAGCCCGCCUGCUCCUGGCAUUGACGCCUUAGGAGGACAGUUGUACCAAGGAGUUCGAGGCAUACCUGCUCUACGGCACCCUGCCGAAGAAGGAUGAGAACGUGGGGCACAUGGCUCGCCAGGCCACCGCUUACUGCUUACAAGAUGGCGAGCUGUACCGCAAGCAUCCUAACGACAUCUUGUUAAGAUGCAUAUCAGAAGAUCAAGGGCGCGAGCUGCUGGCCGAUAUCCAUGGGGGAGACUGUGGGCAUCACUCUUUGUCGCGCACUCUUGUGUGCAAGGUGUUCUGUAGCAGGUUCUACUGGCCCUCGACACUUGACGAUGCCACUGAGUUGGUCGAUCUUGCGAGGCUUACCAAUUCCAUGCCAAGUAGAUUCACCAGUCAACGCAGGGGUUCUAGACAAUCCCGCUCUCGUGGCCCUUUGCGAUCUAGGGGUUGGACUUACUAGGGACGUUUCCUCGGGCACCCAGAGGCUACCGCUACCUCUACGUAGCCAUCGACAAAUUCACCAAGUGGCGGAGGUGGAACCUGUGCGCACCAUCCCAGCAGCCUCGGCUGUCAAGUUUAUCAAGGACCUCGUGAGACGGUUCUGCAUCCCCAACCGCAUCAUCACCGACAACGGUUCCCAGUUUACAAGUAACCUCUGCAUGUCAUAUUGUGCUAACCUUGGAAUGCAGAUCUACAUGCUUAGGUGGCGCACCCAUAGAGUAACGCCUAGGAUAAGCACCCCAAUGCAGAGGUCGUCAGGGGCCUCAAGGCUAGAAGCUUCAACAAGAAGCUUGAGGCAUGUGGCUGGGGUUGGCCGGAUGAGCUACAGUCCGUGUUGUGGUCCAUACGCACCACUGCGACUAAGCCCAUUGGUGAAACCCCAUUCUUCCUCGUCUACGGGGUUGAUGCGGUCCUUCCGUUUGAGAUCAAGCAUGGUUCCCUGCGGGUCUUGGCAUUCAACGAGGCGCGUCCGGAUGCCGCACGGGGAACCGAUAUCGUGCUCGGCGAGGAGGCCUGCUGUCAAGCUUCCCUCCGUGCUGCAAGGUACCAGAAGGACCUACGGUGCUACCAUAGCCGCAGCAUCCACUCCCGAACUCUCGAAGUCAAAGACCUCUUCCUAAUGUGGGUCUUCUCCAGGGAGGGCCUUCACAAGCUCUCGCCCAUGUGGGAGGGCCCGUUUAGGGUCGCUCAUGUCUCCAGGCCUGGCGCUGCCACGUAGAGAUGGAGGACGGGGUCCCCGUGCAUAACGCUUGGAACAUCCAGCACCUUCGCAAGUUCUACCUGUGACACUAUCACGUAAUAAUGAGUGGGGAUGUACCCGCCCCGGAGUCUCCCGGUGCAUUGUCAUAUAGCCUCGCGGGAGCUCCCGCCCACGCCCAAGUGGAAGGCCCAUGCUCCGCGCCUGCAGAACGGUCGAACAGCGACUAUGCCCACGCCCAAGUGGAGGCCCCAUGCUCCGCGCUGGUGGGAAGACUAGUGUAGGUGUAGGAAGCGGCAACUUUUCCCCUAUUUCUCAUAAACAAUUUUGUGAUUUCCCUUAAUGAGAUUUGAAGUUGUUGUGUACUUCUUCAAACAAGGGUGGGGGUUUUGUUUUCCUGCGGUGUUUCUUCUCUUGAAUCCUUUUCCGGAAGAGAACCUAUUGUUGCAUGUCGCCCCCUGCCCCGAGUGUGGCACCCCGGCUCAGAGAAACCGGAACGCCCCGUAUUCUAGCCGAGAGAUCGAGGAGAAGUCCUUUGGAAUACUGCACUGCUUGACAUAGAACAAAUCAGCUCUUAUAACAAAGGGUAAUAAUACAAAUGUCUGAUGUUACAGAGGAUCACAUCAGCACGGUGACACUACACCUGCGAUACUACACUAGCUCUAUGCUAGCAGCAGAACAACUCAUAGUAGCGGAAAUCUUCUAGCACCAGAAUAACGACGAAGCUGGGGAAUCCACUCUGCAGGGACUCUGGCUGGGACACGAUCUAGCUCACACGAACGGUAACCAUGACAAGCAAUCAAUCAAUCACUGGAUCACCUGCAAUCUGGCAUGACACGCCAGGUCAGUACAUUGAAUGUACUUGCAAGCUCACAACAACCAAAAGCAUUAAGGCAACACAACAACAUAGCAUUCACAGAUUAAUUAACAACUACUAUGAUGCAAAAACCACUACUAAGCAUGAUAUGAAACUACUACAAAACUAAUAAAACCCCAUCUCACAUCUCAAUAACCAUCUCAUGCUUAGUUAACCGGCCAAGCAAUAUACCAUCUCGAUCACCUCGUGAUCUAUACCUCCAUGUGAUCACCGCGUAACCACAUCACCAACUGAAUGAUCAUCCUCAAGAUCAUUAUCAUCAUCCUGCCAAACUGUCAUAGCUCAUCAUAUCAACGUAUUAGUCCUAUAAAAGUCAUUUUGUCAUGUGAGUGUUGAUCGAAUGGUGUGACCUAGCAUGAACUUAUGCCCAUGACCGAGGACGCGGCUAUCGAUAGAUUAAACACACACACUCUACAGAGGUAGCGCACUUUACCCACACCACGGAGCUCAUAGCCUCGCACUCCCAUUCGGGUGGACCAACGGCGUUCUGACGAAACCCUUCCCUUGCCAUGACACUCUCACGGCCACUCCGACCAACUCCCUCUCAGGGCUAAGUCAUGGGUGGCCCUAUGCCGACCAAAGGAAUCUUCGGCCACUGUCAUGGCAAAACAUUCCCAAACGGGGACAUGAACUCAAAACCAAACAUGGGCACACAAGGCUUAUGCCGUCCUACCUGAUCAGGGUAGCGUCCGCGCAUAACCUUCCCUCAUUGGAGGCACCGACGAGAGGCACGACAAAGGACCAAAUCAAGACCCCCCAUAAAGGUAAACGUGGAUGCGCUGGAAAAAGCCCGGUCCGGUAGCACCUGACCAACUUAAUGACGGAAUUUAUCCCCAAAGCAUAUCUGCGAUAACCGAUACUCCGAUAUCAUCUAUCAACCUGUAAUCCAAGUCAUAGAAAUAUCCAACAAAUAAUAUAAAGCAUGACCUAAACAUAAUACUCCGAGGGCAACAUGACACUACUAUUAUGAUGAAUCCAAGAACGAUAAUACUACUACUCCAAUAGCAAGAACUAGCUACCCCGCUAAGAUCCACAUGCAAGCAUCAUCUCCAAAAAUAAUAUUACAAAGCAACAUACCAACUAACAUCCCAAAAAUAAUCAUACUAGCCACUAAUAAUCCAAAGGCAACAUGACAUCCACAUAAGCUGCAAAACAUUAGCCCGAGAACUCCAAGCAACAUCAUGGCAAUAACAAGUUCAAAAAUAGGCCGAGAAAAUGCCAUGAACAAAUCACAAGUAGCUACAGCAAUACAGUGAUGCAAAUGGAGGGUGUGGCUUGCCUGGGGUGGAAGAAAUCAUCGGGAGAAAGUGCGAGAAACUCGCGGAAAGAAUCACCGGAAAACGUUCUCUCUCGGAGGGGGCUGAUUAAGGGCAGGGGCAAAAUGGUCAUUUUAAUAAUGUCAAAACAUGGUGAAAGUGUGGCCAACAGAACGGGCUCGGCGAAACGAAGACAUGGGCUUUGGAAUCACCUGAUUUGGAGCUACGUGCGAAAAGAUACGACCGUUUAAAGCUCAGGGACCAAUCUGUAAAAAUAUCUUCUACAAACAGGUCCCUGGUUGUUAAACAGAACAUCCCUUUCUCAGAAAUAUGCUUCAUAAAAGAGAAAACACAUUCUGGCCCGAAGAAGGGGAAGAAUACACCUUCGGAAACUGAAGACAUAAUCAAAAGGAUUACGCCUCCACUUAUCCAUCUCAGCGUACCUAGGGUCCGCACGUGGACUGGCUGACAAGUGGGGUCACAGGGCCCACUGGCCAGCUGGCGAUGGCGGCGCCAUCUCCUUCCUCUCGCCCACGUCUGGUCGGAGCAGAGCCAGCCUCGACGAGGCCUGCCGGUGCUAUAGGGCACUUCCGGCCAUGCUCCGUCUAUGGAACCGCUCAGCGUCGAGCGACACAUCGAGUGGUCCAUCCACGGUCGCCGGGGUGGAUAGAGUCGAUGGCGGAUUCAACGCCGGUGGACGAGAGCUUUGGGCGAGGACGGGGUUGGGGCUACGGUGCGUCCGAUGACAAACAGAGUAGAUGGGGAGAGUCUACGGGGACUAGGUGGUGCGCUGGUGGUGAUAGAAGGAGGAGAAGGAGCUCGGCUUGACCGAAUUUAAGAGGAGGAGGCCGGUAGCCAUGGUGGCAAUGGCAGGGUAGAGGAGUUCCUUGAGCUCGAAGAGGAGGCUAGGGAGGGGUCUAGGAGUGAGGCAAGGGCGAUGGGUUGCUCGGGAGGCCGCGGGCUGGCUAUUUAUAGCCGAGGAGAGGCGGUUGGGCAAGGGCCGAGGCCAUGUGCCGCCGCUCGAGCUCGGCCAACACUCUGGCGCGCUCAGCAAGCACGGGCGGGCAGGGCAACGUGACGAGGGAUCGAUGUAGGCUUCACGGGGAAGAGGGUGCUAAGGGGGAGCAGGAGAAACGGACAGGACGAGGGAGGCCGUGGCCGCGUGCCGCUGCUCGAGCUCGGCCAACUCUCUAGCGAGCUCAGUGAGCACGGGAGGGCACGGGGUACACGACGAGGCCUCGCUAGCAACGUUCACGGGGAGGUAGACGACGCCGAGGAGCAGAGGAAGCGACUGAAACAAGCUUGGAGCCAAACGGGGCACAGUGCUCUCAUGGGCAUGCGUCCGCGAGCACCGGCAAGGCAGUUUCUGGAUGGGGUAAGGGGUCGAGGGUAAUGGGUGAGGAGCAGGGUGUCAGGUCGGCAUGCUGAGACGCUUGAAAACCACCGGGGUUGAGCUUGUCGGCCCGUCCCGACACACAGAGCACGCUCAACGCAGUUGGAGCGCAUGGAUUUGCAUGCCAGAGAUGUAGUCACCACCAUCACUGGCACGAAGAGGACAAGGGAGGCUGUGAGGAUUUGUCAAGUGACUAGUCCCUGCAUAAUAGAGGCUGAGGGAGUUGAUGGAUCGACAAAAGGGACCAAGGAGAGGAGUGUGGCAUCGCUGCAAGUUUGCUGCAUCAAACUUGGAGGGGUACUAGUGAUCAACAGGAGCUCAUUGGAGUCAAUGGAGUUGUCUGGGGUGUUUGACUACGGAAGGACUAUAAUCCUAGAGGUUUUGAGAAUAUUUAGACCAAGAUUUAAUAUAGUUGCUUUGCAAUUGCCAAAUCUGGUCAGAAACUAAAUCAAGAUGAUGCACUCACCUGGAUUAGCCACUUGAGCUCAAUUUGGGUAGAUGAUGAUGAUUUGGAUAGGUGACGAUGCUGUAAAAAGCUCGUACCAAAUGGGUUCACCAAAAUGGUACUUGCUUCACAAACACCAUUUCUGUCCAGAAGCUUGGAAUAAUUUUGGUGAUAAAAUAGAUUGAUGAAAUGAUGCUAAAUUGGGUGGACAGAUGUUUUAUAGGUUGGAGAAUGAUCUGGUAAUUUAUCAGAAUUUUUGAAGCAAUGUAAAAUGAACUUGCUUCACAACAUGAAAAUAUUGCCAGAAUCAAAUAUUUGGUCAUGUGCUCACAUAUAUGAUUGGAUGGGGCUGCAAAUGGGUGGAGAGGGUUAAUAUGAGCACAUUAAGGAUUGUGCAUAAGUACAACUCAUUUGGAUACUCCUAGCUAGUACUUCCUUCACAAAGCCUUCUGGCAGACAGAAACUUUGAAAAAUCACUGAGGAAGAUUGGCUAGGAAAAUAAAGUUGAACUUGUGCAUGAGGCAAUUAUUUAGAUAUAUAAGCAUGCCCAAAAAUUUCAGGAGCCACUAGGAAAAUAUAAAUGACACUUCCUUCACAAAGUGACAUUCAAGACAGAAAUGAAGAAUAAUUAUUGGGGAAUUAUUCUUGGGCUAGGACUGGAAAGUUUGGGCAUAUUUGAUCAACAUAUGACCCAAAGGAAUAACGAGAAUUAAUUUGGAAUUUUUUGGGAUGGACAGAAUUAAAGGCUGCUUCACAACCUAGGGCAAUUGAGGUUAUUCCUUUAAUGAAAAAUGAAUUUUCCCCAAGAAUAGAAUAUUGGGAUAUGGGCUAGGAUGGAAAUGGCAUGGUCUUGGGAUGAGUUUGAGAAUGAUGAGCCACUUGGGAGGAGGAAUGAGGAUGACUUCCCAGGUGGCAAGGCCAGAGAACCACUCCAAAAGAAAAAUAGAGCAAAAACCAAAUAAAUCAACAGAAAAAGGGCCAAAAUCCAUGCUGUUACACUAAGCGCCCUGCGAGCGGGGGCUGGGCACAGUGUUGGCACUUGGGCAAGUCCCAGCGGCGUUAAAAACCGAUGGUCGCGGGUCUGCCCCGACGCACACCACCUCACCAGGAAUCUCGUGCCUAAACCCUCGCGCGACGCUCACGAGAGAGCCAACAGGCACCCGUUGCCCUUGGCCUCUCAAUCCGGGAGGGCUCAUCUCCUGGCCUUUCUUUGCCAGCAUGACCCGGCAUACCAACGAUGGUCAACCCUCGCUCGGGGGUAACGGGCAUAAAAUAAGCACAAGGGAAAGGCAGCCCAGGAAGGCAUGAAUACAGUUCAAUACAUAUUUAAGGAAUGUUCAUCAAUACCUCUUACACCCCCGAGUGGCCAUACUCAAAAUGUUGAUAGGUAACAGAAGAAAUACAGCCUAAGGAGAUGUGUCGUCACCAUCGCUGUCAUCGGUCCCGUGCCCUCCGGCUCCAUGCUGGUCUUCAUGGCUAGCGGGGCCGGAUUGUGCGAUUAUAUCAUGCACAUGGUCCUCAACCCACUCCCCCAAGGCAUCCUGAAUCACCAUGGGAGCGGGGGCUAUUGUGGCCUCGAAGUCGAUUGGGGUCGAAGCGAAGAAGGUUGUUAAAGACGCACGUCGACGCCCGUGCAAGGAGAUCGCAGCACUCCUCCUCCACGAGCCUGCUCACCCUCUCCACGCCUCCUUCAAGACGCUCCAUGAUCCUGGUGAAGAAGGCAAGGUAACCGGCGUCAUCUUGCACAAGCGGGCUCGAGAUGCUAUGUGCUGACGCAGUUCAGGGCACGACGAGCCCUUUGCUCGAGGUCGUGGAACAUCUCGGAGCGAGUGUGCUGCAAGCCCCGAGCUCGGCUAGGCUCGUCCGCUGCCCAUUCCACGAGGGAGGGGACCUCUCCCACCAGCUAAUAAAGGAAUGCUAGCUUGGCUUCAUCCGUGGCUUGGGCAUCUAGCGCAGUCUUCUGGUGCCUCUCCGCCUCGGCCAGCUUCCCUUUAGGUCGUCAAUCUCGCCCUUCAGUUCUUCGGGCCGUGCAUAGAAAUGGGUCUCUAGAAGCUUCGGUUUCUGAAGGUUGUCCUUGAUGAGGGCCCGGCGGGCGGCCAUGACCCCCUCGUCGAUCUUCGUCUAGAACUUCGAUUCUCGGGAGGCUAGAGAAGCCUUGGAAGCCAUUACUUGGUGCCCCAUUACAUCUAGUCACUCAUGCUCCAAGCUUUGCUCGGACGCCUAUAGCGCCAACGCGUCCUCGAGAGUGCAGAGCCCCGCUUUGCACGCCGAGGGCCCUUCCGAUAAAGCACUCAGGGUGGCUCUGCAAGCCUAAGCUUGCCGCUCGAGGACGGUGAGUGAAGCCAGAAGUUCCCACUCGCGAUUUUCUACGGCUUCACACCGUCGAUCUACGGCCUCGGCUUCCUCGAAAGAGCGAUUGCGGGCUUCUUUCACCAUGACAGAAGACUCCUCAUCCUUCGAGCGGGCAGCCUCACACUGCAGGCGACUAAGAUUGACGGCAACCUCGAGCCGACGCCACUCACACACCAGGCACAGAUUCUCGGCCUCAAGAUGCAGGUUGACAUUGUGAAGCUCCGCCCCGAGCCGGUUCAGCGUGCUGCUCGCAUCUUGGAGAAGCACAUGCCGAACAAUGCCACGGCUAUGUGCAAGCUCCAAUGCCCAACGGGGGCUCUGCUCAAUGCUCUGGUCCGUGGAGGACGCGCGGGAUGACCCGGGGCCGGUCGUCUCCCCGUCCGACUCUCCCGCCCAGGGCGUGACUGAGGGAGUCCUGGAUUAAGGGGUCCUCGGACGACCGGACUAUUAACAUGUGCCGGACUGUUGGGCUAUGAAGAUACAAGACAAAAGACUUCUUCCUGUGUCCGGAUAGGACUCUCCUUUGCGUGGAUGGCAAGCUUGGUGAUUCGGAUAUGUAGAUUCCUUUCUUUGUAACCGAGUUUGUAUAACCCUAGUCCCCUCCAGUGUCUACAUAAACCGGAGGGUUUAGUCCGUAGAGGCAAUCAUAAUCACAUAGGCUAGACUUCCAGGGUUUAGCCAUUACAAUCUCGUGGUAGAUCCACUCUUGUAAUAUUCGUAUUCAUAAAGAUCAAUCAAGCAGGAAGUAGGGUAUUACCUCCAUAGAGAGGGCCCGAACCUGGGUAAACAUCAUGUUCCCCGCCUCCUGUUACCGUCAGCCUUAGACGCACAGUUCGGGACCCCCUGCCGGAUCCGCCGGUUUUGACACCGACAUUGGUGCUUUCAUUGAGAGUUCUGCUAUGACGUCGAAGAUAGGAUUGAUGGCUCGCCUUGUUAUCAAGGACAAUAUCACCUCCGGAGGAGCCCUGGCCUUCGGCCAAACCCUCCGGUUGGGUGGCUUCACCAUGACCGCCCGUUCGGUCGUUGAGCCGAUGAUGACUUCUCGGGUAAUCGAAAAUCACCUUCGCAUCAACUCCGAAUACUCCAAACAAAUGGAUCUGACGGAGUUAUCGUAUUUAAACAAACUCCUAGAUUGCAUCGCCGCCUUGGGGGUUGCCACAGACUACGAUCGAUUGGGCUUAAACCUGAUCAGAGAGAAAUUGAAUCUCCGCCGAUCACCCAUCAAAUAGCGGUAGUGGAGGAGCAAUACAACAACUCUUCCUCAAUAUUGAGGAUGAAUUGUGUUCGGAUUUCUGAGCUCAAAGAAUCGGAUACCCGUCCACAGGAAUACGUGCCCCGUAUUCCGAACCUAUAGUCAGACAGUGGACCUGAAAAAUUGGUUGAUAUCCCGGAGCCCGAACCGUUAAGCUCGGAAGUUUCUCAAACUCCGGAUCCCAAAUUGGGUCAGGAUACGGACUUAAAUCCACCCACCCACCCAGAUACACGCGAUCUUAUGAACAUAUGACAGCAGCCUCAAGAAACGGUCCAUCACUUUUGGGCCAGAUUCCUCCUUGUCAAAGACAAGAUCAAAGACUGCGCGACGAAGACGCGAUCUCAUUAUUCUGCAAAAAAUGCAUGGACGAGGGAAUCCACAAUGCCAUUAACUAUCGUCGUGUAUUACACUUCGUUGACCUGGCAACUAUAGUACAGAAGUACUGCGCAACAGAAAGCGCCUGGAAAACUCAGGCAACUUCUUGGGAGCCACCGGUUUCCACUCAACCCCUCGUCCGGACAAAAAGGAUGCACCCUCGUCGGUCGCCUAAGCCAAUAGUAAAGAAAUCAAAGCCCAUUAUGGGGCGCGGAACCGUUCUGGAGGGAUGGCUCGAUAGGCCAUGCAAAAUACAUACAACGCCAGAUACCACACCAACCAACAGCCUUAGAGCAUGUUGGAUACUCCGGCAAGUGGCCAAGAUCGGCGAGGAUCUCCUCACCAAAAAUAUCGCAGAGCAACAUCACAUGGAAGACGACGAAUUCAGAGUAUUGACGGUCUUCGAGACUUUCGCCUCAAACAAUAGGCGCAAAAGGGCACUCCGCGGCCUCGCCGAAGUCUGCCAAGUCGCAGCAACAAACCCCUGGAACAACACGGUCAUAACUUUCAAUGCUAGUGACGAACCAAAAUUCAGGACAGUCCGGGCAGCAGCCGCAUUGAUCCUCAGUCCAAUAGUGGAUGGCUUUCGGCUUACCAAAGUGCUCAUGGACGGCGGCAGCGGACUAAACCUCAUUUACGAGGAGACUCUGAGUAAAAUGGAAAUAGACAGGAGCCACAUUGAGCAAAGUAGCACGACCUUCCGAGGAAUCAUUCCCAGUCGGGAGGCGCGAUGUGCAGGAAAAUCACACUCGGUCUGGUAUUCGGCACACUGGAGAAUUGUCGGUCCGAAGAGAUAACCUUUCAAGUGGCCCCUUUCUACAGUGGAUAUCAUGCCCUAUUAGGGCGGGAUGCAUUUGCAAGCUUCCAAGCUAUAGCCCAUUACGAGUACAUGAAGCUCAAGAUGCCCGGGCCCAAUGGUAUUAUCACUCUUGCUAGUGAUCCGGACAUAGCACUCCGCGCCGAAAACAAAACCACAGCCCUAGCCCUUGAGGCGUUGUCUGACGCCCUCGCGGGAGAAGAAUUAACCGCAUUGCGCUCCAUGGUGGAUAGGGACGAUGUGAUCCUGGAUAAGCGACCCAAAUCCACCUCCUUUAAACCAGCAGACGAAAUAGUCAAAUUCCAAGUCCACCCAACGGACUCCAAGAAGACAGCAUCCAUUGGGGCACAGCUGGACCCCAUGGUCAACGCCGCACUGCGAGCGUUCCUACGCGAAAACUGGGACAUAUUCACUUGGGACCCUUCUGAUAUGCCAGGGAUCCCACGUAGGCUGGACGAACACAGCCUAAACAUACUGAAGGGAUAUAAGUCGGUCAAGCAAACAUUGCAGCGCUUUUCCGAACCCAAACGACAAGCUAUGGGGGAGGAGCUAGCAAAGUUACUCGAGGCCGGAUUCAUCAGAAAUAAAACACCCGGACUAGCUAGCAAACCUGGUAAUGGUACCAAAGAAGGAUAAAUCCUGGCACCUAUGUGUCGAUUUCAAAGACCUCAACAAGGCAUGCCCUAAGGAUCCCUUCCCCCUCCCCUGCAUCGAUCAGAUUAUCGACGCUACCGCAGGACACGACUCACUGUGGUUCCUCGACGCAUACUCCGGAUACCAUCAAAUCAAGAUGAAGGAAUCCGAUCAAGCCGCAACAGCAUUUAUUACCCCAUACGGGCCUUUCUACUUCAACACUAUGCCCUUUGGGCUCAAAAACGCCGGCGCCACCUACCAACGCAUGAUUCAAACAUGCCUGGAGAAACAAAUCGGCAAGAUAGUUGAAGCAUAUGUGGAUGAUGUAGUCAUCAAAACUCGACACGUCGAGUCAUUAAUAGACGAUCCGUGUCUUACAUUCCACAACCUCCGUACAUAUGACAUUAAGCUCAAUCCGGAAAAGUGUGUUUUCAGCGUUCUCGUUGGAAAACUGAUGGGCUUCAUCGUUUCCAAUAGGGGAAUUGAGGCAAACCCGGCUAAAAUUUGAGCUUUGUCACAGUUGGCCACGCCAACAGACCUUAAACAAGUCCAAAAACUAUCCGGAUGUGUGGUAGCUUUAAGCUGCAUUAUCUCCAUACUAGGAGAAAAGGCAUUGCCACUCUACCGCCUUCUCCGAUGCACCGAUCAGUUCAAGUGUACGGACACGGCAACGGCCGGACUGGAAGAAAUAAAGACUCUUUUAGCGAGCAGCCCAAUCCUGGCCACGCCGAAUAUCGGCGAACCCAUGUUAUUAUACAUAUCGGCCACACACCAAGUCGUAAGUGCGGCGCUCGUCGUCAAAUGGGAAGAGGACGGGCACAAAUUCCGGCUACAAAAGCCGGUAUACUACGUAUCCACUCUCCUCAAACCAUGAAAAUCUCGGUACCCUCAUUACCAAAAAAUAGCGUACGCGGUCUUCAUGGCAUCACGGAAGCUACGACACUACUUUGAAGAGGGCUCAAUAAGGGUGGCCUCCGAGGUACCACUCAAUGACAUAAUAAACAACCGCGAUGCCACGGGCCGGAUUGCCAAGUGGGCCAUGGAGAUCCUCCCAUGCGACAUAACAUACAAACCACGCCGGGCCAUUAAAUCCCAAGUACUGGCCAACUUCGUCGCUGAAUGGACAGAGGCCGAACUCCCUAAAGAGUACGACACAUGUUCCAACUGGGUCAUGCACUUCGACGGCUCCCAAAUGUUGGCAGGCUUAGGAGCAAGCAUUGUCCUAACAUCCCCCACUGGAGAUACAGUUCAGUACGUACUCCAAAUAUUAUACAUAGACUCCAACAAUGCAGUCGAAUAUGAGGCCUUGUUGCAUGGUGUUCGAAUGGCUGUCUCCAUGGGCAUACAAUGCCUAGAAGUGUGCGGGGAUUCAAACCUCACAAUAUCUCAAAUAAAUGGAGAUUUUUAUGCCAAAGAUCCGAAGAUGGCGGCCUAUCGUAACGCCGUUCUCAAAAUGUCGGCUCGGUUCGAGGGGCUCGAGUUUCAUCAUGUGGCUCGAAAAAGUAACCAAGAGGCGGAUGUCCUCGCUCGCAUCGGCGCCAAGCGCGACCCCGUCCCACCUAACAUCUUUUUGGAAAGGCUCUUCAAGCCAUCCAUAGUGUGGCAAGGGGAGAGUGGCAACACCAAUCCAGAUCCGACUAUAACCCCCGAUUCCAAACACAUCGAUAUCAUCGGGGGCUCAGCCCCCAAAAUUACACUGUCGUCCCAUCUCAUCAUGGUAGUCAUUGCCCCAUGGACCGAACGCUUCUUCGCCUGCCUUAAUAGGCAGAACUCCUAGAGGAUCAGAAUGAGGCGUGCUGUAUUGUGCGGCGCUCUAAAGCCUACAAGGUUCACGAGGGAGAACUUUAUAAGAAAAGCGCUACCGGAGUACUUCAAAGAUGUAUCUCCGAGGAAGCAGGGUAGUAGCUCUUGGCUGAAAUCCAUGCUGGCAUCGGUGGUCACCACGCCGUGGCUCGGGCCCUCAUAAGCAAGGCCUUCCUUACAGGUUUCUAUUGGUCGACGCCCAAGCAAACGCACAGGAUCUUGUCCAACAUUGCGUCGGAUGCCAGCUUUUCACCAACCAAAGCCACAUACCACCCACCGCUCUACAAAAAAUCCCCAUCACUUGGCCUUUCGCGGUCUGGGGGCUUGAUAUGGUCGGACCUCUUAAAGGAGGAAGCCAUAAGAAAAAGUAUCUGUUGGUUAUGGUGGAUAAAUUCACUAAGUGGAUAGAGGCCAAAUGAGUUAAAACGGCCGAAGCCGGACCAGUGAUAGACUUCAUAUCCGGCGUUGUGCACCGUUAUGGUGUUCCACACAGCAUCAUCACCAAUAACGGCUCCAAUUUCACAGCUGAUGAGGUGGAAACCUGGUGUGCCAAUCUAGGCAUUAAGCUUGAUUACGCCCCCGUCUAUCACCCACAAACAAAUGGUCAAGUCGAACAAGCCAAUGGUCUUAUUAUGAGCGGCAUUAAACCCAGAUUAGUGUGGUCUUUGAAAGAAUCAGACAAGCACUGGGUCUAGGAGCUCGACUCUGUACUCUGGGGGCUACGGACCACGCCCAAUCGCUCUAUCAGAUAUACACCUUUCUUCAUGGUGUACGGCGCAGAGGUUGUGUUACCCUGCGACAUUAUUCAUGACUCACCUCGAGUGCGCAUGUAUGAAGAGAGAGAGGUCGAGCUUGAUCAGCAGGACAACCUAGAUGCCCUGGAGGAGGAGCACGAUGUUGCAAAAGCCCGUCCUGCAUUUUAUCAACAACAGGCCCGUAAAUAUCAAAGCAGAGAAGUAUGGGCCAAGACUUAUAAUGUUGGCGAACUUGUUCUACGCUUGCCGAAGAAGAAAAAGGACAAACUCAAGCCUAAGUGGGAGGGUCUCUUCAUCAUUGACGAAGUCCUCACUGGAGGAUCGUACCACCUGUGUGAUGCAUCAGACAAUCGCCUGGAGCCGAACCCAUGGAACGCGGCUAGACUCCGAAGAUUCUAUGCCUAGCGCCGGACUCUUUGUUCGUCUCCUUUCUCCCUUUUGCUUACAUUAUUUAUUUUCCUCUCUUUUCACCUUUUAUUUUUUUAGCCUUAAAUCUCUCGUGUGGCUAAACUGUACACCUACGACGCACACAUUCUCAAAUAUGUACGUCAAUUAUACCUGGGGGCUUCUUGUAUGGAAGCUUAUUAUUAUUAUUUUCCGAGCAUCGAGCUCACCACAUAUGUGUCUUUUCUGCGUUCUUCGCCAUUAUAUGCAUCGAUAUGACUUAAGUUUUGGCCAAGCUGGGUUGCCUGGCUCCUGUGCUUAUGCCCUACGUUCUCGUUAGUUCGGCUAGGGAAUAAAGGGAGCACCUCUGCAAUUGUUACUGUCGGGUCAUCCGUAUGUGUACCUCAGACUAGGUGAAGCCGAAAGCUAGCGUUCUUAAGGGCAUAUUCAGUCGGCGGACUAAAGAUGUUCUUUACUCGUUACACUAUGAACCCCCAGAUGUUACGUAUGUUGUGAGUUUUCAAUCACAGUUCGGACAAGCACGUUAACGCAUGCUGACCCAGGGAAAGGAACCCUUAACGGAACUAUUCUCUCUGGAAGAUGUUUCUUACGAUCAAAAUAUAAUAUAACAUAGCUAGCCGGAUACUUGUCUGUUCAAGCAACUAUGACCCCUAUGCGUGGUUUCCACGCAUACCCCGGUCUACAUUACCGAGCGAGUAUUCGGAAGCACUCCGCACCUUCGGGUCGAGAGGUCGAAGUGAAAAAGUCCGCCAUGACAAUCGUUUUACAAUCCGGCUAGGGACAAAUUUGUCAAUUGAAGUACAUAGUCACUUGGACUCAAAAACUUCUUCCUCUAUGCCAUCUAACAGGCUAUCUAGCCUACAAUCCUGUUGGGAAUACAUGGCGGCUACUUGUACCUGGUCAUAUACCAAACUAACAGGAAUUUCUUUUCCAUCUGACCCUAAAGGUCUGAUCCGGGCCAUGCGAUUUGGAUCGAGCUUGGUAUGCCCUGUUUUCACCAUGGCCCAGGCCUCUCGCACACCUUCCCGGCAGGCCGAUAUCUUCCAAAAUCAGAAGCACCGCCACGCUCCCUUGAAUAGUUGUACAAGCUCCUCCAUACUUCCUGGAGGGGAGUCGGAUCGCCAUAAGGCAUUGGCAAUACUUUGCAUGGCCUGCCGAGCUCUCUCGUGCAUUUGCGAUAGCUCUUGUAGCAGAUCGCCCAAAGUCCCGACAUCUCCUCUUCAGGACGGUCGGUCAGCAUACCGGCAAACAUAAUUAUGUCAGUUCCUUUCCUUGUCGAACUACGUGAAGGUAAGUUUGAACAAAUACUAAAUAUGCCACCUCGUAGCCUCUUAUUUUCCUUCACGGAGUUAGCCAGCUGGGCCCGGACAUCUUUUAGUUCCACGCCCAGCUCGGUGUUGGAAUCCUGGAGUUUCUUUUUCUCCUCCGAGACCCGUGUCAGUAUACGUUCACCCGGAGCUAGUUGCCUUUGUGCUUCUGGAUGUCCCGCCUGUGCGACUUCCGGUACCUCUCCCGGAUGAUCUGACGACUCUUCCAUAAGAUAUGCACCUGUAUUAAUAAUCCUGGUAUAUGAUUAUGUUUUCUUGAUGGAGGGUAUCAUUACCAGACACUGCCUUCUUGGAUUUCUACAGUUCGGCGGUAGCAGUGGCUAGCUGGGUCCGACACUUUCCCAGCUCCUCAGACAACAGGUUGUUCUUCUUUGUGAGCACCUGGAUAUACAACGAUCCUCAAAUCAGUUGCAUCAACUGCUUCAAGUCUCGGGGGCUACUGGUAUAUAAUUAUCAGAAUCAUACAAGUGUGUACUUACCCGCAUAUCUUUCAAAUAUUGGUCAGUGGCUCUGGUAAGCCCAUCUCGAGCAGCUCGGAUGUAUGCAUCACCCGAGUUGAAGGCGUUGAAAGCCUCUUCUAAAAAACUGGGGUCGCGAAGAGCGGCCCGCCGGCGCCGAUGAUUCAUGGCGCUUUCCACUUCAGAGUUUGUGAUGAAUACACCAUCUGAAUCCUCUAAAGAAGGACAAUCUGGUGUCACUCCAGCGUCAACCUCGGUCCUUGAGACAGGGUCCGGAAUCUGGCUAGUGGAGGCAUGAUCGGCAGGAUCCCCGGACAUAGUCUGACGAAUGUUUUUCCUGAUAAGACACAAAGGAUAGCGUCACACUUCAUUGUGACAGCCAAGGAGCAUAUUUUAAAAACCAUACCUCUUUGAUGAAGGCUCGGAUGUGUUUUUAUUUACCUUCCUCUUUGAAGGUCUGCCCGGCAUAGGCGCCACUCUCUUGUGAGUCGCCUCAGGUGCAGCGUUGAGCGUCGAUCGCCUCCCCUUUGGAGCACGAGAUAGUGCAGUGGGUGAGGCAGAAUGAGGAAGUUCUUUCGAAGGAGAGGUCUCCUGAUUACUUACAUGUGAGGCAGGGAGAAGGCCGGGAUAGUCAGCGGUGAUGGCCACUUCCAUGCCGUCAUAGCUCACCUGGAUCCGGGGUCAAGGGCCCGGUUGUGGUCCUCUAGCACUGGUGCGGGGCUAUGGAGCUCCUUGGUGAUCUUCCGCCAUUCCUGUUACAAAUGGACGGAUCAAUAUUUAUGGAAAGUGACUCGGGGAGUAAACUAAGUGGAGUAGUGGGAUGGAAACUCACCCAGCUGGGAGGGUUGUGCAUGGAAAAUCCAUCUCUGCGCUUAAUGCGGAUGAACUCCUCUUUCUCCCCUUUGUAUAGUCCGGCCAGUAUUUUGGCCAAAGCGGCGGGGGUAUCUAGACCCUUCUGACCGCAGCGGAUGGCAUCGUUUUCUCCGUUAUAGUGCCACAUGGGAUGCCCUCUGUGUCGGAGUGGCUAGACCCCCCGUACUAUGGAUGUCACCAUAGCCUCGACUACCGACAAUCCAGACCGGACGAGCGUCUUUAUCUUGCUCAUUAAUUGACGGACAUCCGUGCUAUCUUCCUCCCCGAGGCUCCGGGGGCGCUAGCUAUGGCGUUUCUUCAACGGCGCACUUGAAAAUUCGGGAAGACCCAUUCGGACUCAGUCAGGAAGGGAGACGUCCUCAAUAUAGAACCAUUCGGAAGGCCACUCUUCGGAUGUCUUCUUCGAUGUGUCGGACAAGUAUCCGGUCCUAGCGAUGCGCCAUACCUCGGUGCCGCCUAGUUGAAAUAUUGAUCCCUCUUGAUUACGAGGGACGAGGCGAAAUAGUUCUUCCAUAAUUCAAAAUGGGCCUCGCAACCCAGGAAUAGCUCACAAAGAGCAACGCAACCCGCAAUGUGCAGGAUGGAGGCAGGAGUGAAACUGUGCAGUUGGAGGCCAUAAUACUCCAGAAGCCCUCGGAGGAAUGGAUGGAUUGGAAAUCCGACACCUCUCAACAAGUAGGGAACAAAGCAUAUUUGUUCCCCCACGGAUGGGUUGGGGAGAUUCUCCGCCUGUGCCCCACCAUCGAAGGAAUCCAAUCCGGCAUGAACGGGGACUAGAUCUGCGGGGCGAAGAAAUCCCUGUGUCUGCAGCUUCACUAGCUGAUUGUGGGAUAUGGAACACUUUUCCCAAUCGCUUUUUUUGGAGCUGUGGGGGUGGGAGGAAGAGCUGGGAGCGCUAGCCAUGUUGGAGUUGUUUCUGCUGGCAAGCUCUAAGGAUUCCUCGCUUGGUGUGGACUGAAUCUGAAGAUCCCCAUCUCUUGAAAUAGACAACUUUCUUACAUGGUCAGAGUGGUAUGUGCAAAAAUACCCCGACCUCUCGUAUUUGCUGGGCACGUGGAAGCUGAAAUCAUGAAGGUGCAGAAGCCGAUGAGUGUGACAUUAAAUGAAAAGCCGGAUACUGCUCCUUAAGUCAGGUACUUUGAAGUGAUCGGAGAAGGAACCCGCCUUGCAAUGCCAAAGACAAUCUGCGCGUCGGACACCUCGUCAUUGAAGCCUGGUUCGGGGGUUACCGAGGGAGUCCUAGAUUAAGGGGUCCUCGGACGGCCGGCCUAUUAACAUGGGCCGAGCUAUUGGGCUAUGAAGAUACAAGACAGAAGACUUCUUCCCGUGUCUGGAUGGGACUCUCCUUUGCGUGGAUGGCAAGCUUGGUGAUUCGGAUAUGUAGUUUCCUUUCUCUGUAACCGACUUUGCAUAACCCUAGUCCCCUCCGGUGUCUAUAUAAAUCGUAGGGUUUAGUCCGUAGAGGCAGGCAUAAUCACAUAGGCUAGACUUCUAGGGUUUUAGCCAUUACGAUCUCGUGGUAGAUCCACUCUUGUAAUACUCAUAUUCAUCAAGAUCAAUCAAGUAGGAAGCAGGGUAUUACCUCCAUAGAGAGGGCCCGAACCUGGGUAAACAUCGUGUCCCCCGCCUCCUGUUACCAUCAGCCUUACACGCAAAGUUCAGGACCCCCUGCCCAAGAUCCGCCGGUUUUGGCACCGACAGUGACCAUGUGCGAGCUCGAUGCCCUGUCCAUAGGGGCCAUCGACUCAUGGAAGACCCGGCCACCUGCGAGAAUUGGCAAGGGGAGCCUCGGGGUCGUCCUCGUGAGUCUGGUGUUGCGUCAGAUGAAGGGAGCCGGGGACAUGGAGCCGAGGCCCACUUGGAGUCGCCUCAGGAGCAACACGACUUUACUGGCGUGCGUGGGCUCGGCCUCGUCAUGGGACACACUGCUACCGUGAGCGUUGCAUCCAUAGAAGCAGGUGGCAGGGACGCCCUCGUCCUUUUUCCUGGAGGAGACCUGAGAAGCAAGAGCAUAAGGGAGGCUUGCCGUGUGAAAAUCAAGGGAAGUAGAGCGCUUACGCGUCCACGGCGAUCCACUUCCUCCUCUUCAACGGCCGCGGAGGAAGGCCGGUGCCAUCUUCAGGCCGCCCCUCCUUCGGGGAACGCGAGGAUCAGGGAUCAGCGCACCGAAGCUCGGCGUAUGGCUCCCCACGCUUGGAGCAGGGGCCACACCCUCGCGGGACGCAACGCCAAGAGCGCCCGGAGGCACAGAGACAGGCCGAUCCCCGUGCAAUUGUCACGGCAGAUGUCCUAGUGUGAGGACUUAGUCGUGAGGCCAACGCAUCUGUAACGCCUCGGAUACAACUUUCCAUAUUCGUAACUCCGACUCUUGCCUUUUCCGGAGAUGCUAUAUGAUAUUUCUUUCGUGGUUGGGUUUUUGUCUGUUGUUUUGCAUUUUGUUCUUGUUAUGCAUCUCAUCUCAUAGCAUCAUGCGCAUUGCAUCAGCAUCGUUUUCAUAAAACUUGCAUCCGUUCGUGUUCCGCCGGUUCUCUCCGUUGUCCGUUCUGAGCCCGACCACACUCGCACGCGCCCGCGGCACCUCCGAAAUAUUAUUUUAUAAGUGGCAUAAAAAUGUUCUCGGAAUGGGUUGCAACUUGUCGUGCGGUCUUAUUAUAGUGUAGACAGGCCGCCUGCCAAGUUUCGUCGCAUUCGGAGUCCGUUUGACUGCCCAACCGUUAUAUUUAUAACCGCGAGAUAGUCGGUUUAAUCGUCGGACGUUUCGGUCUCCGAAAUCGUGUCGGGCUGCAUUUCUCCUCUCUCUCCUAUCAGCCCAAGCCUCUCUCUCACACAGCCCACUAACCCCUUCUAGCCCACCUAUCUAACCCCCUCUGCUCUGGACCGUUGGAUCGAGAUCCGAUGUCCGAAAACGGAGCAAAACCCCUAACCCUAGACCCCUGCCUAUUUAAGAAGCCCCCCUUGCCAUUUUUGAGUGCCCCUAGCCUUCCCCUACCCUCAGCCGCCACAUCCCCCUCGAAAACCGCGCCACCAGCCAGAUCCAUCCACCUCCUCCCUGUUUUCCGGCGCCCUCCACCUCAUCCUCGCCAUGUGGCGCCGCCUGAGUGGUCGCGCCGCCACCCAGCAUCGCCCCCCUCCAACCGGAGCUGGUCACGUCGCCCCUGCCUCCCUCCUCCACCUCGCGCGGCCCACAGAGCCCGUCCGAGGCCCGCUCAGGCCCGAAUCGCCGCCGUCCGGGCGCCCGCUCGCCUCCCGGCCCCGCAGCUCUGCUCGAUGGGAUCGAGAGAGAUCCCGAGCGCCGCCGCCUCUCGCCUCCCAUCGGCGACCCGGCAGCCCCGCCGGAGCCAGCAGGUCAGCGCCCCGCGCCCCAUCUCCUCCUUCCCUCUCCUUCCUGUCCCUCUUCCUCCUCGCCCUCUCAUCCUCUCUCUCUCUCCCUUCGCAGUGGGAUCGAGAGAGAUCCCGAGCGCCGCCGCCUCUCGCCUCCCGUCGGCGACCCGGCAGCCCCGCCGGAGCCAGCAGGUCAGCGCCCCAUCUCCUCCUUCCCUCUCCUUCCUGUCCCUCUUCCUCCUCGCCCUCUCAUCCUCUCUCUCUCUCCCUUCGCAGGCCGCCAUGGACGCCGACCCCGUCGAGGUCUCGUCGCCCCGAGCUCGGCCUCGGGUCAGAUCCGGCCGGAAACGGGGCCCCGCCUCCUCCCGUGGCUGGAUCCGCCCGUCCCUGUCCUCUCCUCGCGCCCCGGCCUCCUCCUGGCGCUCGCCGCCGGCGCCGCCUCCGCUCGUCCUCGUCGGGCGAGGACGACGCCCUCGCCUCCCAGUCGCGCCCCGCGUGGGCCUCCCCAGCUCCAACCCAGCAUCGCGAGGCCCAGCGCCUUCCAGCCGGCCCGCAGCUCCCCAGGCCCAGCCGCAGCCAGCCCCAGGCCCCGCCGAAGCCGCGCCAGGCCCAGCUGGCCUCCUCCACCGAGCCGGCCCAAGUGCCAUGGUGAGCAGCCCCCCCCCCACUGUUGGCCCGGCUAGUUUCGGCCCAUGUAUUUUUUUUCCAUGCGCUGCGAUUUUUGUCAUUAACCAGAGACUGCCUGUUUUACAGAAAAACCGUCUAACUUCAAGCAUAUAAUUACUCAUGAACCGUGCAUCACAUUAAAGUAAUUUAUAUAUGUAAAAUGCUCAGAAAAUUGUGUAGAUUAAUAAUAUGCCAUUUUAAUCCAUGUUUAAAAUGUUUAACAUGUUGUUUGUGUUUAUUUUGCAUAAUGCCAUGCUAAAAUGAUUUAAUUCAUAACUAAAUAACCGUAGCUCGGAUUUUAAUAAACUUUAUAUGUAAAUGGGGUGGAAAAAUGCCUAGAUUAACAUGGUCCACUUUAUUUUCCUGUUUAACAACUCUAAAAUUGUGUUUAGGGCAGAACAGUACCGAAUCUAAAAUAUGGACAUGGGGAUUUUCCGGAAUUGUUGUUUUGUGGUUCCGGCCUCAUUUAAACUUGCUUAGAUAGGUAGUUUUCUUAUGUUUCACCCUCUUGCCAUGUUAAUCAACAUUUAAUAUUGUUGGGUACUUAACCGAGAUCAAACUAAAUAAUUGCAUGUGGUGUUUCGUCAAUAUGCAACUCGUUGCAUAUUGAGCUCCGCUUAACUUGUAGUACUGCUUGUUGCACUUUGCCAUGCCAUGCCUUAUUAAACCGGUCAUGCAUCAUACUUGUUUGUGCAUCAUGCCAUGAUUAUGCUCGUGCAUUUACCAUGUUGUUUAUUUCUUUCCGGUGUUGCUUCUUAGUUCCGGUAAUGUUGCGAUUGUGAGGAUUCGUUCGACUACUCCCGUUCGUCUUCUUCAUGGAUUCGUUCUUCUUCCUAGCGGGAUUUCAGGCAAGAUGACCGCUACCCUGGAUCUCACUACUAUCAUUGCUAUGCUAGUUGCUUCGUUCUAUCGCUUUGCUGCGCUACCUAUCAUCUGUUUGUCGAGCCAUCCCAUGUUGCCAUGAACCUCUAACCUUUGACACCUUUCCUAUGCAAACCGUUGUUUGGCUAUGUUACCGCUUUGCUCAGCCCCUCUUAUAGCGUUGCUAGUUGCAGGUGAAGUUGAAGAUUUCUCCAUGGUGGACAGGAUUUUGGUUGGGAUAUCACAAUAUCUCUUAUAUUAUUAAUGCAUCUAUAUAUUUGGUAAAGAGUGAAAGGCUCGGCCUUAUGCCUGGUGUUUUGUUCCACUCUUGCCGCCCUAGUUUCUGUCAUACCGGUGUUAUGUUCCCGGAUUUUGCAUUCCUUACGCGGUCGGGUGAUUUAUGGGACCCCCUUGACAGUUCGCUUUGACUUUUACCAUUUGCCUCACCACCACCUACUUUUCCCUUGGGAGUAAUUAACCCAAGGGUCAUCUUUACUACNNNNNNNNNNNNNNNNNNNNNNNNNNNNNNNNNNNNNNNNNNNNNNNNNNNNNNNNNNNNNNNNNNNNNNNNNNNNNNNNNNNNNNNNNNNNNNNNNNNNNNNNNNNNNNNNNNNNNNNNNNNNNNNNNNNNNNNNNNNNNNNNNNNNNNNNNNNNNNNNNNNNNNNNNNNNNNNNNNNNNNNNNNNNNNNNNNNUCUAAGUGUUGGUCCGAACUAGAGCCCUUUGCAGCGCCCCCUCAGGCAAACUUGAGGUCUGGUUUUAGUUGUACGGAUUGCUCAUCCGGUGUUGCCCUAAGAACGAGAUAUGUGCAGCUCCUAUCGGGAUUGUCGGUGCAUCGGGCGGCUUUGCUGGUCUUGUUUUAUCAUUGUCGAAAUGUCUUGUAAACCGGGAUUCCGAGUCUGAUCGGGUCUUCCUGGGAGAAGGUCUAUUCCUUUGUUGAUCACGAGAGCUUGUCAUGGGCUAAGUUGGGACACCCCUGCAGGGUAUAAUCUUUCAAAAGCCGUGCCUGCGGUUAUAGGCAGAUGGGAAUUUGUUAAUGUCCGGUUGUAGACAACUUGACACCAGAUCCGGAUUAAAACGCAUCAACCGCGUGUGUAGCCGUGAUGGUCUCUUCUCGGCGGAGUCCGGGAAGUGAACACGGUUUCUGGGUUAUGUUUGACGUAAGUAGGAGUUCAGGAUCACUUCUUGGUCAUUGCUAGUUUCACGACCGUUCCGCUUGCUCUCUUCUCGCUCUUAUUUGCGUAUGUUAGCCACCAUAUAUGCUUAGCCGCUGCUGCAGCCUCACCACUUUACCCCUUCCUUCCCUUUAAGCUUUGCUAGUCUUGAUACCCAUGGUAAUGGGAUUGCUGAGUCCUCGUGGCUCACAGAUUACUACAACAACAGUUGCAGGUACAGGUUGUGCGAUGAUCAUGACGCGAGAGCGAUGUUUGCUUGUCUUGAAGUGCUGCUUCUGCUUCUUCUUUGAUCAGGGGAUAGGUUCCAGGUCGGCAGCCUGGGCUAGCAGGGUGGAUGUCGUUUGAGUUUCUGUUUGUGUUUCAUCCGUAGUCGGAUGAUGCUCUGAUGUAUUGUGAUGUUGUAUUCGUGUGGCAUUGUAUGCCUUAUGUAUGUAUCCCCUUCUAUUAUGUAAUGUUGAUGUAAUGAUAUCCACCUUGCAAAAGCGUUUCAAUAUGCGGGUCUAUCCUUGGUGGGACCUUCGAGUUCCUUUUGGAUAGGGUCGCAUAUUGGGCGUGACAAGUUGGUAUCAGAGCCUCGACCGACCCUAGGAGCCCCCUUGAUUGUUGGCCGUUGUUGAGUCUAGAAGAAAACUAUUUUGAGUCUUAGGAUUAUAUAUAUCAGAGAGUAGGAUUCUUUUUACUCCUCGGCCCCCUUUGUCGCUCUGGUGAGGACUCUUGACGUAGAUGUUUUGACUUUCCUCUCCUCAAAUUUCACUAAAAAAAAUUUUAGGAUCACGCGGGUAUCCUGGAAUCAUUACGAUGGUUUUGUGACGAGAACAUUGUUCUUGGUGCCUCCUGUCUAUUUAUGUGGCUUUGACCCGGGGAGUCGAGCUCUGAGGUGUUGUCGUCACAAUUUUAUCGUUGCAGUUCUGUAAUACCUAAGAUUUGCCGACAUCGAAAAUCUCUUUUAUGCAGUUGUUGGUGAGAUAACCCCGAUAACCAAGUACUGGGGCGAGCUCGGGAGUACUGCCAUAACUCGUAUAACGGAUGCUUUUCGAAGGUUGAGGUACACGAUUUCCGGAGUUUUCUUGGUUAUGUGUUGACGGAUGGAUACAGCUGGAUGUAGGUAUUGUUAGUUUGGGUGAGAUAUAUUGCUUCCCCUGUAUCCCCAACACCAGAUUGCAUAACCAGAAAGUUUUCGGAGUUUUAUAGGUGGGAAUUCAAAUAGCUCCUAGAAUAUCUUUUCGACAGAUGCAUGAUAUGAGAUUGGGGUUCGACAUCUAGUGGUCCGCCUUUCCACGGUCGUUUUUACAGUGGUCUCGUUGUGUCUUAAAGAACCCUUGGCUAUGCUGGUUCGGGGACACUUCGUAUGUCAUGUGCACUGCCUUGUACAUGAUGGUGCUGUACACUCGAGCCCGUGUGGGCCCCACCACGAAAACUUCGGACGAAAUCUCUAUCAUAUGUUUGUUCCGGCUUAUUCUGCAAGCCAAAUCCUUUGUUUUGUUUUAUUUGUGGUAUUCGAGUUGCUUCGAAGUCAAAUGUCGAAUCCAUACCUUUCAAGCGGUGUUCUCAUAUUGCUAUGUGAAUACUAAUCCUUUUGAUCAUCGAGAUCGUCAUGUUAAUUCUUUUUCAACCGGUGUGCUUCUCUUCAAGUGGUUCCAAUCUUUUUCAACAUCCGCAAGAUCAAUUCUAAGUUUUCUCAACGGUAUCCGUUUCAUCCGUCCCAAGUUGUCUUUGUUUUUCCCCACCCUCCCACCCUUUACUUCAAGGACUCAUAUAUGUUAAUCAAGUAUCCAUUUAUUCAUAUGAAGUUUCUCCAUUCUUUUCCUGUCAAUGUUCUGAACCGGUGAUCCCUCAUGAAGAUGCUCACGAGCUUCAAAUUCAUCAUCCUUCGUUCUUUUUUUUUCUUCUCCGGUGGAUUUAAUUCAAGAUUUCGGUGUUGAUCAUAUCCCUUUCCUCGUUUCAAAUGUUUUUUCCACAUCGGUGCACCUCUUAAUUGUUCACCUCUCUCUAUUCUUAUCCGGAGUGCUCAAGAUAUCUCAGAAGACUUGUGUUUCCAUUCUCAAUCCGUUCAAGAUAUUUGGAGAUUGUUAUCUCAUUCAAGUCAUUUAAUUCAACCGGUGCAAUCCCCCCUUUCAAUCAAUUGUUCAACGAUGUUUCUUUUGAGUGGGCCCUAACCCACAGGCCUUUUUUCCCAUGAUCUUACCUGACUCUUCGAAUUAUCAGGAGCGAUUCUCAAAUUCAUUUGAAAGUUUGACGUAAGAAUGAAAUAUCAUCAGUCAAAUGUCUUUCUCCAAGAUCUUUCAAAUUCUUUUCAUCGUUGGUUCAACAUUUCUAUUCUUCUUUGCUCCGGAGUGUCUCAUAAAUUGUUAGGGUGGUUCUCAUCAUCUUUCUCAACUUUUGAAGACCGAAGAAGGAUUUCUCUUAAAUCUUGCUCCAUUCUCUUCAAGAUUCAUAGCUCUCUUAAAUUCUUUUCACCCAUCCGGAGCAAUUCAAGAGUCUUUUCAGAUUGAUUCUCCGUAGCCCAUCAUCUUAGAAUUAUUCAUUCUCAGCCUUAAACUCUCGUUCUGGAAUUUUUCCGAUGCAUCGUUCAAAUAUCCUCUAAUCAGUUCAUGGCCUCUUCGUUCUCAUGUAUCUAAAUUCCCUCAAGUAUCUUCAUUCGUUCUCUAAUUCUUACCGGUGAUUCACCCCUUUACUUCUUUCAUUUUCAAUUAUUAUGGUGGUUCAUUCAAGAGUUCUCUUUUCUUGGUUAUCAUAUCAAUUCAUUCGUUGUUUCCAAAUUCCACCGGUGGUUCCAUCUAUACCUUCUCAAGUUUGUGCUAUAUCUCUCUUAAUUCUUUCUACGAGAAUAAGUAGUAUGCCAAAUCCGUUGCUUGUCAUCAAUUUAAAUUGGUGAAGGAUAGGCAUGACAUAAUUCUUAUUCUUGUUUCAUCCAAGUGACUAAUUCUUUUCUUUCGGAGAUUAUUCAUGAUGAAUAAAUUCUUGAUUACAAGUGAUUCAUCUUUCUUUCCGGAGUUGGUCAUCAUAUCACAUUCUCGGUUCGAGAGGUUUCAUCUUUCUUUUCGGAGUUCCAAGCUCUCUCAAUUAUCUUGUCGCGAAGCUCCAUCUAAAUCAUCGCAAGGCUUCACCUUGUGUUUUCAACUUCUCUUUCUUUUUAUCAUCCUUUUAUUACCGGAGUUCUUCAUGGAGGCUCUACUUGAUGGUUCGUCAAGGAUUAUUUUCAUUCUUCAACUGUUCUUCAAGAUUUCUCUUGAAGUUAUGAUCUGCUAAGCUUUACUCUAAAAUAAACAUGGUGCUCAACACAUGUUUUGUUUUGAGGAGCUCAAGUAUUCUUCAUCUUGCAUUCUGAAGUGCAAUUCUUUCUACCUUAUCAUUUGAGGUGGUGUUAUGUCAUUCUUGACAAUUUGAGUUCGUGUUUCAUGAUUCACAUGUUGUCAAGAAUGAGAUAUUUUAAAAACCAUCAUUUUUCUCUUCGAUCAUGAGGUAUUUUAAAUCCAUCAAUCUCUUUGUUGGAGUUAUCUUGGGUUAUAUUUCACCUAAAGCCUUCCAUUGGGAAUGUUGCUAUUUGUGGUGCUUAUCAUUGAUCCAAGCUUUCUCCAUAUCCUUCUUGGUGAAAGAGGUUUUUCAUCUCUUCGUUGAUCUCAAACAAGCAAUUUUUUUUCCGUUAGUGGCAGAAUGUCAUCUCAUAGUCUUGCGAUGUUUCCAUAAGCCCACUACAAGCUUAUUCUUUUCGUUUUUGGUUUUCCAACAACCCCGUUGUAACCAUCUUGGAAGGGUGCUUUCCAAGCUCAUUUGUGGCAGAAAUUGUCAUUUUCUUCUCCGCCCCUUUUAUCCCAACAAUCUAACUUCUAUUCUUUCGUCCCGAAGGCAUUGUGAUGUUGCUCUCUUCACUCAUCAUCUCGAUUUAAAGAUCAUGUUCUUCUCCUUGCUUCUCCAUUUAGCCAGAGUGUCGUGUUUUCAUUCGAGUUCUCUCAUCUUAUCAAGUUUUGCCCCCUUCACAACCGAAGUGCUAUCUGAAAUCUUUCUUACCCCUUGUGCCAUUUUUUUUCAAUAGUUCCGGAGGCAGUAUGUUGUUGAUUUCAUCAAUUAUCCUCUCAUCUUGUCAAGUUCAUGCUCAAUUUCUUCCAUUUACAGUCGGAGUGCUGUCCAAAUUAUAUCAUUCUUAUUCAUUCUUAUCUCGUUUCAACUAGAGUGGUUUCAAUUCCUUCUUGUCCAUUGUGCUCGUUAUUCAUAGAUUUGCAACCUCCAAGGUUCACAUGGUGUUCCUUCUUUCUAUUCUCUACCACAGUGCUCUCAAUUAUGUUCAACUCUGUUGUGUUCUCUCUUUCAACUUUUCAACCUCUCAAGGUUCGUGGUUUCACUCGUUUGUCGAAGAAGCAACUUAGUUUUACCGCUUAUCUUCCUCUUUCUUUUCCCUCCGGUGCCAUCCUAGAUCUCGGGACGAGAUCCUCUUGUAGUGGUGGAGUGUUGUAACGCCCCGGAUACAACUUUCCAUAUUUGUAACUCCGACUCUUGCCUUUUCCGGAGAUGCUAUAUGAUAUUUCUUUCGUGGUUGAGUUUUUGUCUGUUGUUUUGCAUUUUGUUCUUGUUAUGCAUAUCAUCUCAUAGCAUCAUGCGCAUUGCAUCGGCAUCGUUUUCAUAAAACUUGCAUCCGUUCGUGUUCCGUCGGUUCUCUCCGUUGUCCGUUCUGAGCCCGACCACACUCGCACGCGCCCGCGGCACCUCUGAAAUAUUAUUUUAUAAGUGGCAUAAAAAUGUUCUCGAAUGGGUUGCAACUUGUCGUGCGGUCUUAUUAUAGUGUAGACAGGCCGCCUGCCAAGUUUCGUUGCAUUCGGAGUCCGUUUGACUGCCCAACCGUUAUAUUUAUAACCGCGAGAUAGUUGGUUUAAUCGUCGGACGUUUCGGUCUCCGAAAUCGUGCCGGGCUGCAUUUCUUCUCUCUCUCCUAUUAGCCCAAGCCUCUCUCUCACACAGCCCACUAACCCCUUCUAGCCCACCUAUCUAACCCCCUCUGCUCCGGACCAUUGGAUCGAGAUCCUAUGUCCGAAAACGGAGCAAAACCCCUAACCCUAGACCCCUGCCUAUUUAAGAAGCCCCCCUUGCCAUUUUUGAGUGCCCCUAGCCUUCCCCUACCCUCAGCCGCCGCAUCCCCCUCGAAAACCGCGCCACCAGCCAGAUCCAUCCACCUCCUCCCUGUUUUCCGGCGCCCUCCACCUCAUCCUCGCCACGUGGCGCCGCCUGAGUGGUCGCGCCGCCACCCAGCAUCGCUCCCCUCCAACCGGAACUGGCCACGUCGCCCCUGCCUCCCUCCUCCACCUCGCGCGGCCCGCAGAGCCCGUCCGAGGCCCGCUCAGGCCCGAAUCGCCGCCGUCCGGGCGCCCGCUCGCCUCCCGGCCCCGCAGCUCUGCUCGAUGGGAUCGAGAGAGAUCCCGAGCGCCGCCGCCUCUCGCCUCCCGCCGGCGACCCGGCAGCCCCGCCGGAGCCAGCAGGUCAGCGCCCUGCGCCCCAUCUCCUCCUUCCCUCUCCUUCCUGUCCCUCUUCCUCCUCGCCCUCUCAUCCUCUCUCUCUCUCCCUUCGCAGGCCGCCAUGGACGCCGACCCCGUCGAGGUCUCGUCGCCCCGAGCUCGGCCUCGGGUCAGAUCCGGCCGGAAACGGGGCCCCGCCUCCUCCCGUGGCUGGAUCCGCCCGUCCCUGUCCUCUCCUCGCGCCCCGGCCUCCUCCUGGCGCUCGCCGCCGGCGCCGCCUCCGCUCGUCCUCGUCGGGCGAGGACGACGCCCUCGCCUCCCAGUCGCGCCCCGCGUGGGCCUCCCCAGCUCCAGCCCAGCAUCGCGAGGCCCAGCGCCUUCCAGCCGGCCCGCAGCUCCCCAGGCCCAGCCGCAGCCAGCCCCAGGCCCCGCCGAAGCCGCGCCAGGCCCAGCCGGCCUCCUCCACCGAGCCGGCCCAAGUGCCAUGGUGAACCGACUCGCUCCCGCAUAGGCUAGGGUUCCCCCCGCCGCCGCCGCCGCCCCCAGUCCCUGACUCGUAUGCUCAUCACCGCGGCUAGCUCCGGCGACAUGACCAGAGGGUAGGAGCCAUCUUCCGUCGCUUCUCCAACCUCGGGCAUGACCCCUACCUUCCCCAGUGGCCAGGAGCAGCUCGUGUUGGUCCCGUCGGUGCCCUACUCCGGUGGUCGGUGCCCCACUCCGGCCGCGACCCAGUCCGACGAGAAGGAGCCCCGUUCGUUUCCCUCCCCUCCUCAGUCUGUGGCCAUGAGCUCGGCCGGCAAGGUGAGCGGCUCGUUUGAUUUUUAAUCCAGAUUUGCUAUCUGGUGCUGCUGAUGGAUGUUAUGAACUGCUGGUGCUGUAUGAUGUAUGUGGUGUUGCUUAUGUAUGUGGUGCUGCUGAUAUAUGCUAGAACUAAUUUUGAUAUGGAUGUGUUGGUUGUGUCAAGUAGUAGUACAAGAUUGUUGCCCUCUGGAUGCUACCAUUUUAUUUGCAUAGACGAAAUAUUGAUGGAUGUGCUGAUUGUGUCAAGUAGUAAGCAAAUUUAUGUUCAUUUGAGCAGCAAAAUGAUAAAAAUAACACAAUAUCAUUUAAUCAGGACAACCAUAUGUCCAAGGGCAUUAGAUAAGCUGAAAAAAACUGGCACUGAAAAGAACUGGCUAUCUUAUUAUUUAUCUGGAGCUUAUUUCCACAUGAGCUUAUCUAGAGCUUAUUUCCACAGGAGCUUAUUCUGACAACAUAGCUCAAAAGAACUGGCCGUGAAGCGGACUCGCGCGGAGGAGCUCUGCCUCUGGGCCAGGCGCGUAGCUGGCGUCCAUCUCGGCGCCGGGGAGGGAGGAACAAGGGCGCGGCUGAGUCCGCUGCCUUCGCCACUCACCACUGCCUGCCGAUGUGGUUGUCUGCAUCUUCAUGAGCCACGACCGACCACCCCGUCGUCGCUAGCCAUUCUCGCGCCAGAGAUAUCCUUCGACCGUUGUUGUGUCCCGCCAGCCCCUAGGCGCCCUUGUCCGGACAAGUUCCACUGUUCCCCUUCAGGUCCUCCUCAACACCCAACCGCAACCGGCAACCAAGGUAUGUCUCUGCAGGUUUUUAAUUUAUUCCAAUACAUUGCACCUGUCAAACAAACUAUGGCCACUUGAUUCCUUUUCACGAUUGAACUUGAUGCCAUUUGUUUUACGGAGAAUGUGUAUUAUUUCACCUCGGGCAACCAACUGAAAUCUGGAUGAACUGCCAAAAUGCUAGCUAAAAUAAAGAACUCAGCAAUUUCGAGUACGUUUAUGUUUCUGUAAACUGACUUUGGGUGUUAUCUGAUGUUUGUGUUAACUGAAUUGAUGUGACUCAACUGAAUUUGUCAACUGAAUCUUUAGAGUUAACUGAAUGUUGGUGUUAAAUGAAUCUUCAGUGUUAACUGAAUGUUGUUUUUAACUGAAACUUUAGUUUUAGCUGAAUUUAUGUGCUACCUCAAAUUAGCGUUAAUUGGAUCCAUGGUGCAUUUUUCAGGGUGGGAUUACCUCUGUAAUUUGCAAAAAGUAUCUUAGAACUGGUUUGGCUAUGCCACAAAACGCAGUAAAGUCUUCUUCACCGCACACACAGGCAGGUAGAGUUCGGCAGCAAUAACGAAUAGCAGUAGAUAAUAGGUUGCGGUUGUAAACGUGUAGUGGCUAGAUGAAAAAUAUAGUGGAUGGAAGUAGCACCCUGGUGUAGUACUAGAAUAUAUGGGUCAAUUAGGCUAACGAUGAUCAGCGGCAGCGAUGGCGGCAGAGUAAUUAGCAGAUGGAUAAUGAGAACUUGUAGAAGCUGGAGGAAAUAAGGAUUCGUCCUUUGCAGAUAGCAAGAACUGAGUUUUUUAGCACAACAGUGAAGAAGAUAACGACGUCAGUCCUUUAUGUGCCUGGGCUAAUGCUUUGCCAAAUCCGACUUUCGAAAAGCUUGAUCGAGUUCUCGUGAGCGUGGAGUGGGAACAGAAGUUCCCUCUUGUUACGGUUCAAGCUCUCUCGCGGGGCGUAUCCGAUCACACGCCCCUGUUUGUGGACUCAGGGGAGCCGAACCACAUGGGAAACAAGAACACCUUUUCUUUCGAGAUGGCCUGGUUCGAACGCGAAGGGUUCUUGGACCUGAUUGCCAGGGAAUGGGCUAAGGGUGCGGGAGGUAGGACUGCGGUCGAGCGUUGGCAGAACAAGAUUAGGCAUUUGAGAAGUUUCUUACGGGGUUGGGCUAAGCACCUUAGUGGGGUGUAUAAGAUUGAAAAGGAUAGGCUCCUUUCUCUUAUACAGACCCUAGACUUAAAGGCCGAAUCCAUGAUUUUGCUGCCAGCUGAGCUUCAGGUUAAAAAUGAGGCAGAGAAGAGGUUGAAAGAACUUCUCCGCGAGGAAGAAUUGAAGUGGGCUUUGCGGGCUAAGGUCCGCAAAGUGGUCCAGGGGGACACGAAUACUCAAUUCUUUCACUUGAUUGCUAAUGGUAAGCACAGAAAGAAGAGAAUCUUCCAACUUGAACAAGAUGAGGGCACUAUUUUAGGACAGGACAACCUAAAAAACUAUAUAACCGAGUAUUAUAGACAGUUAUUUGGACCUCUGGAGGAUAAUUGUGUGUCCCUCGAUGAGUCCAGGACUGAGGAUGUGCCUCAACUAUCGGCUGCUGAGAAUGAUAUUCUGGUUUCCCCGUUCUCAGAGAAGGAGUGUUUGAUGCUAUUGCACAGAUGAAAAACAAUAAGGCUCCUGGACCGGAUGGAUUCCCGGUCGAGUUCUACAAAAAGUGUUGGCACAUUAUUAAGGGGGAUUUGCUACCUUUGUUUCAUGAUCUGUUCUCUGGACAACUAUCAUGCUGCUUCCUAAGAAAACAGAUGUUGUGAGAAUUGAGCAGUUCAGGCCGAUAUGCCUUCUCAAUGUUAGUUUCAAAAUCUUUACCAAGGUCGGGACUAAUAGGCUCACACAGAUUGCGCAUUCUGUGGUGCAACAAUCCCAAACUGCUUUCAUGCCGGACAGAAACAUCCUUGAAGGGGUGGUUGUCCUUCAUGAAAUGCUCCAUGAAAUCCAUUCCAAAAAAUUAGAUGGAGUAAUUUUUAAGGUGGAUUUCGAGAAAGCGUACAAUAAGGUUAAAUGGCCUUUCCUCCAACAGGCAUUGCGUAUGAAAGGUUUUGAUGAAGCCUGGCGCCGUCAGUUUGAAUCAUUUACGCAAAAAGGGUGUGGGAAUUAAAGUGAAUGACGAUAUUGGUCAUUACUUCCAGACACAUAAAGGCCUAAGACAAGGAGAUCCGAUGUCCCCUAUCCUGUUUAACAUUGUGGUUGAUAUGUUAGCGAUUUUGAUAGGAAGGGCUAAGGAGAAUGGUCAAGUAGGUGGCUUGGUACCUCAUCUUGUUGAUGGAGGUAUAUCCAUUCUUCAGUACGCUGAUGAUACAAUCAUCUUUAUGGAGCAUGACUUGGCCAAGGCGAGAAAUAUGAAGCUGGUGCUAUGCCUUUUCGAACAAUUGACCGGGUUAAAGAUUUUAACUUUCAUAAGAGCGAGUUGUUCUGCUUUGGUAGAGCCAAAGACGAACAGGAGGCUUAUAGGUAAUUGUUUGGGUGUGAGUUGGGGGAUUUACCUUUCUCUUACCUAGGUAUCCCAAUCCACCAUUGUAAGCUGACAAACAGAGAAUGGAAGUGCAUCGAAGACCGAUUUGAGAAGAAACUGAGUUGCUGGAAGGGCAAGCUCAUGUCAUACGGAGGCCGAUUAAUUCUAAUUAAUUCGGUGCUCACGAGUAUGCCUAUGUUUCUCCUAUCGUUCUUUGAAGUCCCAGUUGGUGUCAGGAAAAUACUGGACUUUUAUAGAUCACGUUUCUUUUGGCAGGGUGAUGAACUAAAAAGAAAAUACCGGCUUGCUAAAUGGGAUAUCAUCUGCAGACCGAAAGACCAAGAGGGUCUUGGUAUUGAGAAUCUUGAAGUAAAGAACAGAUGCCUUCUCAGUAAGUGGCUGUGGAAGUUGUCAUCUGAGACUGAUGCCACGUGGGCGCAAAUCCUUCGCAGCAAGUACCUACAAACAAAAUCCUUGUCCCAGGUCACAGUCAGGCCGACUGACUCGCCUUUCUGGAGAGGACUGAUGAAAGUCAAACAAUCCUUGUUUAAUAGGACAAAGUUUGUCAUUGGCAACGGCGCCAGUACACGUUUCUGGGAGGAUACUUGGCUCGGCGACACACCCUUGGCCAUUCAAUAUCCGUCUUUAUAUCGUAUUGUUCAACGACGUGAGGUGUUCGUUGCAACGGUAUUUCAAUCUAUCCCCCUUAAUAUCCAGUUCAGACGGUCGCUAGCGGGCAAUCGUUGGGAAGAAUGGCUCCGUCUAAUUAGGAGACUGAUGGAGGUUCAGCUUUCUCAACAACCUGAUGAAUUACGCUGGAAACUGACUAGGUCUGGAGUUUUCACAGUUAAAUCAAUGUAUAUUGAUGUUAUUAAUUCGAACUCCAUUCCUACCUCCAAGCAUGUUUGGGUUGUCAAAGUUCCAUUGAAAAUAAAAGUGUUUAUGUGUUUUGUUCAUAAACAAGUUAUUUUAACCAAGGACAAUUUGAAAAAGCGUAAUUGGACAGGACCUACUAGGUGUAGUUUCUGUGAUCGGGAUGAGUCGAUCAAACACCUCUUUCUUGAUUGUCCGUUGGCCAAGGUCCUUUGGCGGACGGUCCACAUUGCUUUUAAUAUUACUCCACCGAAUUCUGUCAACAUGUUAUUUGGUACAUGGCUUAAUGGGAUUGAGCAUGACUUAGUGAGACAUAUUCGUGUUGGAGUUUGCGCUUUGUUGUGGACUAUUUGGAAUUGCAGAAAUGAUUUGGUUUUUAACAGAACAUCACGUAUUCACUUUUUGCAGGUUAUUUUCCGAGCCACGGCAUUGAUCCGUUCGUGGUCGCUACUCACUCCGAUGAAGGCCAGGGAGCAUUUGGUUACUGGAUCCAUCCGAUGGGAGAUGGUAGCUCGGGAUAUCUUCAACCGAUUUGGAUGGCGGUCAUGUAAUAGGAUAGGCAAUUAGUUUACCUAUCUAUCUUUAGCCAGCCGGUUCUGGCGUCUUUCUUUGGCUAGUUAGUGUUUCUAGUCCUUUUUGGCUCUGUGUGAGCUUUCUUUUCAGUUUUUUUACUGUUGGAGACUUUGGCACCUUGUUUGGAACCUUUUUAUUUGGUUAAUAAGAUGGCCGUAUGCAUCUAUCUGAUGCAGAGGCCGGGGAGAACCCCCUUUUGAAAAAAAGAAAGAGAAUACCAUGGUUUUCUAAAAAAGCCAUGGUUUUAAAGACUUUGAUGUGUUUGGCAUUAACAAAUACUUUAGUUUAUAAAACCGUAGUACCUCAGAAAACUGUGUAUUUUACUGUAUCUAAAAAAUAGGUCCAGACCUCUUUUUUCCAAACCGAGGGACACUCACGCCUGACUGGUCUCUCGAGUUCAUCUUCUGUCCGCCAUCAGAUGUGAGUUGUUCCUCAUGUUCUAGCCACAAACAAACCAAGCUCACCACAUGGAAAGAGAGGCACGUGGUCUUCUACACACCUACUCUACUCCCUGUGAUGUACCUGAAGACAUAUGCCGACUUGUUCACGGCAGCAUGCAUGCGGCAACUGUUAGCACAAGCUGGUCAGGUCUUAAUAAUUGGUGUAGCUGAGUUAGGUUCACCUAGCUAUCUCUAGGACGUAAUAAUAGGUCAAACCAGAGGUAACUUAAAAAGAUUGUGCUUGCCAAAUGCUCUGUAGUUUUGCCAAAGCAAAGGAAAACUUCAGUUUUCAGAAACUGUGGUAUUCAUUGCCCAAUCAUUUGAAUACCAUAUUUGGAUUGCUGUGGUUUUAGAAAUAUUGUGCUCCCAAACUAGGCCUCAGUUUUUUAGAAAUAGGCCUGAGGUUCUUUUUUUAUGCAGAGAAAAACUACAGUUUGGUCAAUACUGUAAAUAAAACUAAGGUAAUCUAAAAAAAACUGUAGUAUUCUCAAAAAACUUAGAAAAUACUCUGAUAUCAAACAUGCCGUUAGUUUCUUAAGCGACCUGAUUGUUUUAUGUUUUUCAUGCAUGUAAUGUCUACAGUGUUAUUCAGCUGCUGCUAUUUUGGUAUUUUUCUGCAUGUAGAUGCAUAGAAGUUGGAUGCAUGGUACACUGUUUUCCCGUGAGUACAUCAGUGGUAUCAAAGAAUUUAUGAACUUCAUUCAAGAUAAAUUCGGUGAGGAUGAUGAAAUACUCUGCCCGUGUAGUUGAUGUCUUAAUCAGAAAUAUCAUCUUAAUCAGGAAUAUCUAAAGCGGACCAUUGUGGAGAAUCACAUGUUGAUGAAUGGCAUUGAAAGUACAUAUACUCGCUGGAUACAUCAUGGAGAAGUCUUUGAUCUAGAUGUUGUUGAACAUCCUGUUCAUGUGCAUGGUACUGAAGAUGGUUCCGUACAUGGGACUGAGGAUGAGAACAAUGGUGUUGAUCAACUUGAAGGGAUGUUAGGAGACCUGCACACAGCAGCAGAACAAGCUCAAAAGGAAGGUGAAAAUCAAGAUGAAAACAAUGGCGCAAGCCCUCAUGAGAAUGAGUCUUUUUUUGGAGUACGCGAAGAAAGAGGCAAAGCGCCAACUUUAUCAUGGUUGCACCAAGUUUUCAAAGUUCUCCUUUGUGGUAAAGCUUCUUCAUAUGAAGUCAUACCAUAGGAUCAGCAAUACUGCAUUUUCUGAAAUAUUAAAGCUAUUGGCUGAAGCAUUCCCUGAUACCAAUACACUCCCAAAAUCAUAUAAUGAAGCAAAAAACCUUCUGAAGGAAUUAGGUCUUGGAUAUGAGACGAUACAUGCGUGCUUCAACAAUUGUGUUCUUUUCAGAAAGCAAUAUGCCAAGAAUGAUAAUUGCCCAGUUUGUGGUCUAUCAAGAUAGAAAGACCCUGUUAGGAAGAAGAUUCCACAGAAAGUGCUCAGACAUUUUCCAUUGGUACCUAGGCUGAAGAGGAUGUUUCUUUCCAAACAAGCAUCAGAAGAUGCACAAUGGCACAAGUUAAAGCGGCAGCCCAGUGAGAAAGAAAGGAGCCAUCCAGCUGACGGUGAGGCGUGGCAAGAUUUUGACCGUGAAUAUCCAAAAUUUGCAGAAGACCACAGAAACAUUAGACUUAGCCUUGCCACUGAUGGGUUUAAUCCUUUUGGCAACUUUAACAAAACCUAUAGUAUGUGGCCAGUAUUUGUUGUGCCAUACAACCUUCCACCUUGGGCAUGCAUGAAUCAGUCAAAUUUCAUGAUGGCUUUGCUAAUUUCAGGUCCUAAAUCUCCUGGCAAGAACUUUGAUGUCUUUCUACAGCCUCUUGUAGAAGAUUUACUAGAGCUUUGGAAUGGUGUGCGUACAUAUGAUGCUCUUAGUGGAAAAAUGUUUGAUCUUCAUGCUGCAGUUCCAUGGUGCAUCCACGAUUACCCAGCUCUAAGCACUCUUUCAGGGCGUACCACCAGAGGUUAUUCUGCAUGUAUUCAUUGCGACAAGCACCCUCUUUCUUACGGCUUAAGGAACAAAAUUGGGUAUAUUGGGCACUAUCGUUUCCUUUCAAGGGGACAUCGUUUGCGUAGAAACAAUGAAUUUGUUGGUCUUCAUGAAAGGAAUGAUAAGCCAGGUAAAUUCUCUAGAGAAGAGCUACAAGCAUAAUUGGAGAAGGUUAGACCUGGGCAGGAAAAGGAAAGCAGGAAAAGGAAGCGUUCUAUCUUGGGCAACAAAAAAAAGCAUCAUGUGCCAGUUUGGAGUCGGAGGGUUUGUUUGUGGGAUUUGGAGUAUUGGAAAAAAAAUUGAAGUUGAGACAUAAUCUUGAUGUCAUGCACAUUGACAAAAACAUAUGUGACAACCUUGUUGGGACAAUUCUGAAUAUAGAGGGUAAGACAAAGGACACAAUUAAUGCUAGGCUUGAUCUCAAAGAUUUGAAAAAAGAGACUGCAACUGAGGGAGAAAGGAAACUCAUAUGUGAUGCUUCCGGCUCGAUAUACCUUGUCCAAAGAACGAGUGAUUGCCUUUUGUCAAUUUUUACGAGAAUUAAAGUUUCCAGAUGGGUUUGCUUCAAACAUAGCAAGAUGUAUAAGUGCUGAUGGAACCAAGGUACAAGGCCUAAAAACACAAGAUUGUCACAUUCUUUUGCAAAGAAUCUUACCGGCUGGAAUGAGAGGAUUUUUGGACAUUGAUAUAUAUGUAGCAAUAGCUGAGUUAGGCAAGUUCUUCAGGAAAUUGUGCUGCAAAACUCUUAACAAGGAUGUGUUGGCCGAAAUGAAGAAAGAAAUCCCUGUAAUAUUGUGCAAGCUUGAGAAAAUUCCCCCCCUGCUUUCUUCGAUGUGAUGGUGUACCUUGCUGUACAUUUACCCGAAGAGGCGUUACUCUGAGGUCCCGUGCAAUAUGGGUGGAUGUACCCAAUUGAAAGGCGGUUGUAUACUUUGAAGCGCUAUGUGAGGAAUAGGGCACGACCAGAAGGGUCGAUUGCUGAGGCAUAUGUUGCUGAUGAGCGCCUGACAUUUUGUUCCAAGUACAUGAACGAUGUUGAAACAAGAUUUAAUCGGGAGCCAAGAAAUAUAGGUUUUUCAGAUGAAGAAGCCUAUGAUGUUGAUGUUUUCGGGCAUGGAGUUAAUUUUACUUCAGCAUAUCAAUAUGUAUAUGUUGAAAAUGAAUUUGAUCAAAUGGUGUGGUACGUGUUGAACAAUUGUAGUCAAGUUGAGAAAUAUAGAGUAUGUUCUGACUUCUGAAUUGGUGUAUGUUACCUUUGUGUUUUAAAUAUGUGAUCUAUUCACUAAUUUUGUUUUAUACACAAAAUGUUCAGAGGUGAGCUAGAGAGAGAAGGACUGCCAAACAUUGAAAGAAGGCUUCGGGAAGGAUUCCAGACAUGGUUCAGGAACUAUGUUAGUUUUGAUUCACAUAUAAUUAGAAUUUUUGGUUGUGAGAUAUUCACUACAGAUUCUAAUGUAGUGUUUGUGUGCGUUGUUGCAGAUAAUGAGGCUGCAGAAUGAGGAUGGCAAAGAGGUUAACAAAGAUCUCUUUGCCUUGGCAUGUGGUCCUGAUUCGAGAGUCAGGAAAUACUCAUCAUGCAUAAUGAAUGGCAUUCGGUUUAGUACCGUGGACCGUGAUAACAGUAGGAGAACACAGAAUAGUGGAGUUGUGUCCGAAGGUAGGCAUGACAGGAAGGUCAUUGACUUUUAUGGAACCCUGAAAGAGAUCAUUCAGUUAGACUAUAACUUGGACGAUAGGUCAGUCGUUUUGUUUAAAUGUGAUUGGUUUAAGCUUCAUGGGAAGAAGACCGAACUUCAAAAUGAUGGAUUUUUUACAAGCAUCAAUGUGGUAAGUAUAUGGUACAAGGAUGAUUCUUUGAUUCUGGCUACUCGGGCUAAAAAGGUCUUCUAUUUGCCAGACACAAAGUUAGGGAAAAUUUGGGAAGUUGUCCAAACAUUCGACCAUAGGCAUCUCUUCAAUAUUAGUGAAACUGAGGGUGCACCUUUUGCUGCUCUUUCAUAUCAAGAGGAGUGUUGUGAUGAGGAUGUCAGGCAAAAAUCAGUUUCUGACCAUACAUCUGAGAAGCCUUUACAUAGAGAGGAUGAGCAAGGCGUUAUUUUUGAAGCUGAUGUAGUUGCCCGUUUGAUGAAAGACAAAAACACAGAAGUGUAUGGAAAUGAGGGCGAAGAUGAAGAAGAUAACACAGGUAUGGAGUACUGCAGCGAAAAUGAAGGAGGUGCCACAAUGGAUGUCGACAGCGAUGACGACUAGAUGUUUUGAUGUAGAAGGUACCACCUUCAUUCUUGUUCUAGUGUACUAUCUUCAUCAUUUAUUUCUGGAAAAAAUAAACAAGCACAAGCAUGGCAUCUAAAUAUUGAUCUUGUGUCAGACUUCAGGAAAAUUGACUGCAAUAUCACCUUCAUUCUUUUUCUAGUGUACUGUCUUCAUUAUUUGUUUAUGGAAUAAUCAACAAGCACAAGCAGGACAUCUACAUAUUGAUUUUGUGCGAGACUUCGAUUCAGCAAAAAUACAAAUGUUGUUGUAUCAUACAACAGCAUAAGAUGACAUUUACUAUUGAUUUCCUAUAGUAUUUACUAGUGUUUUCCUUGUGAAAUACAUGUUGCAUAUGCUGCUAUCUAUCCUGGUCUUGAUAGUUUCAUAUGAAGUUGUAUAUGCUAGUACAUCUGGGUGUAUAGUGGGUAUGCUAGCACUACAAUACAUAGUUUGUUGCAGGAAAUAAAAUUGAUGGCUACAUUGGAUCACCUUAUUUUAAACUGAUUAAAGUGUUAAGAAUGACCAUUAACAUUUCCUCCUUGCUAUAAGAAUGCAUUCCCACAAAUACAACAUCAGAUGAAAUUUUGCCAGUCCUGGCUGGGUCAGAAUUGUAGUUUGUGAAUACUACAAUAAAAGGAAUUCUUAUUUCACUUGAUAAACUGAUCUUAUUCACUUCAAGUCCCAACUGUGGUCAAUUUUACAUUCAACAUUGUAUGUACAAUCUUUUAAGGGUUGGAGCUUGUAAGGCUAUACUUAGAUUGCCUUUAGCUCAUGCCAGCUUGAUGGUUUGUGUUAUGAAACAAAUGCCUUCUUUAUUAUGUCAACUGUAGGCACUUCCUCUGAUCCAAAUUAAUUGACGCAUCCUCUAUACAAUCUCCAUACAGUGAUGUAUAGAGGAUGCAUCAAUUAAUUCAGAUAGGAGGGAGUACCUUUUUUAGAAGCUUUUUUUGCCUGUAGUAGACUCUCAAAGUUUAUUUUUUGUUGCAGUUUAUCGUGCAUCAAAGGGUAUCACCAGUCACAAGAUUCCAUCUCAGUGUCGUCAACGUACUGACUGCUUCCCCUCUGAAUACAUGUUUGCUCAUGCCUAAACAUGAUAUGAAUAGGAGUAAAAAAAUUGUAUGUGGUAUAUCCAGUUGAUGUAUCUGGAUUGGCUGUAAGGUAGCCAUUUAUGUUUAGAGUACUUUCUCGGGUUCACGCCAAAGGGAGAUAAUGGCCUUACAUGUGGGCCUGUAAUUUUGAUUUACUGUAGUGUAAGGAGAGCUGAUUGUGCUCACGUAUUGUGUUUUUUCGCUGAGUUGUAUGUGUAAGUUAGGCUUUCAUCAUGUGCUGUUGUAUGUCAAAUUUGGUUGUGUUGUUGCAUAUGGUUCAGUUAUGCUGUAUGUGGAAGUUUGGCGCUUUGGUUCAGUGAAUCAAAACUAGGCUUUUGCAUGACUGGCCGCUAUUCCUUUGAGAUAUCAGUACACGAAUAUUUAC
rnacentral:lncRNA from 1 species